CAAAAAAAAAAAAAAAAAAAAAAAAAAAAAAAAAAAAAGCACGGCUGGCUCUUCCUCUGCGAAGCUGCCCUCCCUGGGCUGACUGUGUCUUCUGUGCUCCCAAACUCUGGCUGCCAAGCCCACCAGGCACCAGCGCAGGCUGCAAGCUCACUAGCUCCCCCAUGCAGGCUCGCACUCUAGAAGGGCUUGCCUGCAGUCCUCCCUGGCUGUGGGUUCUUCCGAUACUUCCGUGUCUAGUCCCCACCCCUGGCAUCUCUGGGAUGCUUUCUGUCUCCCUGGGCCAGACUGCCUCGAGCAGGGACCCUUCAUGCUUCUGUACAGCUGGUCCCCCGGGCUCAAAUGGCACAACCCGUAUCUUCUUCACUUAGGGCCAAUGACCUCUCUUUCUGGCCAACGUUGCCCACACGUGUGAAAGGACAAGGGACAGAUUUAGGGGACUGAUAGAUGGGGAGGUGCCGCUAGCAAACGGGUAUGCAGGAGUCUCUAUCAGUCUUCCUGGAAACCAGCUGGUUUCACGGAGUCCUUUCGUUUCCUCCUUUCUGAUGAAUGAAUAACCCAGUGAUUCACACUGAACUGCUAGUUAGAGUUUGCAACAUGUUCUCACUCGUUCUGUCCUAUUAGAUCUUGCGAAAUGGGUUGUAUUUGGUGUGGUUUUAGGCAAAAAAAAAGCCAAUUCUUACUAUAUUUUCACUUAUUUUUGGUGAUUUUCUUUUAUUUCUUGUUUUUCCCCAAAGAAGCAUGGUUUAAAAAUGGUUUGAUAAGCACCACAUCUGACCGUCUUAUGUUCAGCAUAUGAUUUUAAAGUGGUAGAGGGGGCAUAUGAGGCAUAGUCAGUAUACAGGAGUUCGGCAAAAAUAAUGGGAUUUUGGCCGGCGCUGCGGCUCAAUAGGCUAAUCCUCCGCCUUGCGGCGCGGGCACACAGGGUUCUAGUCCUGGUUGGGGCACCGGAUUCUGUCCCAGUUGCUCCUCUUCCAGGCCAGCUCUCUGCUGUGGCCCGGGAAGGCAGUGGAGGAUGGCCCAAGUGCUUGGGCCCUGCACCCCAUGGGAGACCAGGAGAAGCACCUGGCUCCUGCCUUUGGAUCAGUGCGUUGCGCUGGCCACAGUGUGCCAGCCGUGGCAGCCAUUGGAGGGUGAACCAAUGGCAAAGGAAGACCUCUCUCUCUCUCUCUCUCUCUCACUGUCCACUCUGCCUAUCAAAAAAAAAAAAAAGGGAUUUUUAAAGUCAAAAUGAGGCUUAGUCAUUUUUCAUAAUGGAUCUGACUAUUAAUAGUGAGCACAUCCCAUAUUCAUUGAGCACUCACCAUAUAUUAGAUGUAGGGUUAUGAUUUUGUGUAGAUAGUCAUUUUCAUUUAGUCUUUAUUCCAGCCUUGUGAAGGAAGUUCUAUUAUAUUGAUUUUAUCCAAAGGAAAAGUAAAAUUAGCUUAAAUUAUUAUGAAAGGAAGGUUCCAAAUGAUGAGAUAGGCCAUCUGUCCUGGAAGAACACCCUCCCAUGUUUUCAACAAGAGAGCAAGGUUUUCUUUCUCAUCUGAAUUUCUUUAUGCUGGCAAAAGGGCUCAAAAUUUAAUACAAUUUUAUGAUUUGGCAAAUUUUGCUUUGCACAGAGAUGAAUUUCAAAGAGAAUGGUGCCUUAUCCACAAAUAUUCUUAGCUGUACUUGUAAAUGGCCUCACAGUGGAAAUAACACAAAUGUCUAUUCACACAUGAAUGCAUGCAUAGACUGUGGCGUAUCCAUAUGAUGGAAUAAUUAUUACUCAGCAAUAAAAGGGAAUGAACUGUUGAUAUACUCUGACAUGGAUGAAUCUUAAAACAUGUGAAGAAAGUCAGAGCAAAAGAGUAUAUACAUAUAUGCAUAUAUAUGCAUAUACCUGCUAUAUGAUACCAUUUAGAUAAGAUUCGAGAAGGUGCAAAUGACUUUACAGUAGCAGAAGGCAGAUUAGUGGUUGCUUGGUGUCACCUGGGGGUAUUGUGGUGGUAGUAAGGAUAGGACCAUGAAGAAACUGAAAGGUGAUGGGUAUUUAAUUAACUUAAUUUUGGAGAUAUUUGUGUGAGUGGGUAGGUGUGUUAACAUCAUUAAAAUGUACAGGUUAACUAUGUGCAGUUUAUUGCAUGUCAAUUAUAGCUCUGUAAUACUGUUGAAAUAUCAGUGCAAUAAGGGAAAGCAAAGAGAGUAUCAUGAUUAUGCAUGGGGGUAAUAAAAGAGACAUUUGUUCAGUGGUAGACUCAAUCUUGGAGUGGCCUUUGAACCACAGAGGGGUUGUUUUCUGGUCAAUCCAUCAGCAGAUAUUGGUUGGACCCUCUGCCAGGCACUUUGGUAAGAUUGGACAUGUGAGUAAGACAGCACACCCCUCUCCUUGGCAGUGGAUUCAUUUGAAGAGAGUGAGAUUCUUGGGUUGUUCUGAUGUGGGUUUGAAUCCUGGCUCUCCUCUUCCUUAGUUUAAAGCUUUUGACUCCUUUACCUUUUCUUAGCUUUAGCUUUGUUGUGGAAAUGACAGUGUCCUUAUUUCAGGGUUGUGCUAGGGAGUAAUACAUAGGAAAUGCUUGCCCAGGGUGAGGGUGCAUUGUAGGAAGGCACAGAUAGCAGUCAUCCUUUUUUUUUUGGUUGUUUUUUAAAGAUUUAUUUGAAAGAGUUACAGAGAGGCAGAGGAAAGAGAGAGAGGUCUUCACUCCCCAGAUGGCCACAAUGGCUGGAGCUGCGCUGAUCUGAACCCAGAAGCCAGGAGCUUCUUCCUGGUCUCCUAUGUGGAUGCAGGGGCCCAAGAACUUGGGCCAUCUUCUACUGCUCUCCCAGGUCAUAGUAGAGAGCUGGAUUGGAAGUGGAGUAGUUGGGACUAGAACCAGCACACACAUGGGAUGCCGGCACUGCAGGCAGUGGCUUUAUCCACUACACACCACAGUGCUGGUCCCAGCAGUCAUUCUUUUUUUUUUUUUUUAAGAUCUAUUUAUUUAUUUGAAAGUUGGAGUUACACAGAGAGAGGAGUGGCAGAGACAGAGAGAGAGAGGUCCUCCAUCCGAUGGUUCACUCCUCAAUUGGCCGCAGUGGCUGGAGAUGCUCCAGUCCAAAGCCAGGAGCCAGGAGCUUCUUCUGGAUCUCCCACACGGGUUCAGGGACCCAAGGACUUGGGCCAUCUUCUACUGCUUUCCCAGGCAAUAGCAGAGAGCUGGAUUGGAAGUGGAGCAGCUGAGUCUCAAACCGGCACCCAUGUGGGAUGCUGGUGCUUCAGGCCAGGGCAUUAACCGUCUGUGCCACAGUGCCUCCCCACCCUGCUUGUUUUUUUUAAAGAUUUAUUUUAUUUAUUUGAAAGACAGAGUUAGAGAGAGAGAGGUAGAGACAGAGAGAGAGGUCUUCCAUCCACUGGUUCACUCCCCAGAUGGCCACAACAGACAGAGCUGCGCCAAUCGGAAGCCAGGAGCCAGGAGGCUCCUCCGGGUCUCCCACGUGGGUGCAGGGGCCCAAGGACUUGGGCCAUCUUCCACUGCUAUCCCAGGCCACAGCAGAGAGCUGGAUCGGAAGAGGAGCAGCCAGGACUAGAACUGGUGCCCAUAUGGGAUGCCGGCACUUCAGGCCAGGGCUUUAACCCGCUGCGCCACAGCGCUGGCCCUCUCCCCCCAGCAGUUAUUCUUAACCAGCAGUGCGAGGUGGUGGGUUUUUACUGUGAAACUGGACACAGGUAUUUCAGGAGGAGGAUGGAGUUGCUGUGGGUUGGGAUUCUUCUUAGGUGAGACUUUGCUUGUGUAUUCACUUUCGAAGACUGCGCAGGAAUUAGGAGGACUGGAAUGAGCUGAGUCCCAGUGCAGAAAUGGGACUACUUAGAACAUUUAGCUUUGUUUUGGACCAUGGGUAUGGGAUCAAGUAGAGAAAGGGCAAGAAGCCUAGUGCUAUCAUUGGGAUGUGGUUUGAAUGUCCCUAAGGGUUCAUGUGUAGACAUUUAAUCCUCAUUGUGAACUGUCGAGAGAGGGCAAAUUGAAUCCAACAGUGGUGUUUAGGUAUGCGACCUUUGAGGAGGAUUAGGUACAGUCAUCUCGAUGGAGCCUCUGUGACUGAAUCCUGGUGGCUUUAUGAGAUUGGGUAAUGAGCCCAGUAGACACACAUGCACACCCUCUGUCUCUUGCCACCUGAUGCCCUGCACUACUUCUGGACUUUGCCGCAGGAAACUCCACCCUAGAUGCUAAGCCUUUGAGCCUUCAGCACUGUGAGCUCAGUAAACCUCCUUUCUUCAUAAAAUUACUCAGCCUCCAUUAUUCAUUAUCGCAAUGUAAACUGAACACGUGUAUCUCUGCCUGCUUACUAAGAAAGACAGUUUCUUAGAUAGUUUGGGGUGUGAAUAGCCAGCCAUCGUCAGUGCUGUGGGGGGAACUGGAUGGACAUCUGGAAACUACUUCUCUGAUUCUUUGGCAUUAAUGACCUAUUGAUCUGGGUUAUUUGUUGCUGUGGGACCUUCCCUGUAUGUAGUCAACAUCCCUGGCCUCCACUUGCUGCAUGCCAGUAGCAUGUCCCACCCCGUGUCCGCAUGACAAUCAGAUGUAUCUCCUAAGUGUCAUGUGUCCCUGGGUGGUGGUGGUGGGGAGUCGUUGAGGACCGCUGCUCUAGUGAUUAUACCAAGUAUCACUGAUGAUGAGAUUUAAGAGUGGAGUUCAUUUACAAUAAUGGACUGAACUGCUCUAAUUGUAGAGGGUAGGCUGAAGUUGCAUGGUUCAGAGCACUGACCAGGAGGAGGUCACUUACAUGCUGUAUGGCCUUUGAUAAAUUACCUAUUUGUACUUCCAUUCCCUUAUCUGUAAAAUGAGGUCAAUAAUAUUAUGCACCUAGGCUUGUUGUGAGGAAUAAAUUAGUUAAAUUGUAACGGAACCCACUGAUGAUUUGCUUAAAUAAAACGGCCUAGCAUUUCUUUCUUUCUUCAAGAGACUUUGAAAGCAAUCUCUUGGAGAAAAGUGAACCUUCCUGUGUCUGGCUCUCUCAAGUUGAUUUUUAAAGUGCCCGUCUCUUGAAAAAAGACCUGUUAAAAAAUUAGUGUGAAAUGAGGGCAUUGAAAGAUAAAUGUGGAAAAGUGGCACUUUGUCCUCGAGCUGAUUUCCUCUUUCCUGGGCCCACUGAAAGAUCCUCGUGUUAUUAAGUCAGGACGGAAUCUGCUUGAGCAGAGCAGGAAAAUGCUGUUGAGGGCAUGAAGUGGCUGUUACCGCCGUGAGUGGUGAUGGGUUGCCGGGGAACUUCUGAGGGAGAGUCCCCUUCUGCAAGUGGAUGAUGGCCCUCCCAGACGCAAAGGGGCUCAGAGCAGGCUUGCAUCCCGGCGGCAUUUUUCAGGGACGCUGGGGAACCUCUCCUGACCAUUUCCCACCCCAAGCCUCCUGCUGCUUCUGUAGCACACUUGUUUUAAAGGCUACUUAGGAGAUACCAUGAAGGAUGUGUCAGGUUCAACAAAUUAUAAAUUUCCUCUCCACUGCCCAGCGAAGGUGGCAGGUGCCCAGCGAAGGUGGCAGGUGAUGGGUGGAUGCGCUGGCUUGUCCAGGUAGUGAGUGGCAGCCAGCCCCACUGGGUCCCCACUUCAAAGAGGGAUCCCCAGGACUGCACCAGGCCAGGGUUGUGUCCGAGAUUCCUUGGAUUCCAAACACGCAAAGGAGGGACCCUAGUCCUAGAGCCGCUGUGCCCUAGGGAAGGCAGACUAUUUUUAAGCUUUUGUGUUGGUUUCACUACCAAUGGAUGGCUUCUCUGUUUUCAGCAGAGGCUACUUAAUCAGAUUUGCUUCUUCUGCUUCUUCUUCUUUUUUAAAGAUUUAUUUUAUUUAUUUGAAAGAGAGUUACAGGGAGAGGGAGACCAGAGAGAGAGAGAGGUCUUCCAUUCCGCUGGUUCACUCCCCAAAUGAUUGAAAUGGCCAGAGCUGAGCUGAUGUGAAGCCGGGAACCAGGAGCCUCCCCUGGGUCUCCCACGAGAGUUGGGCCAUCUUCUACUGCUUUCCCAGGUCACAGCAGAGAGCUAGAUCAGAAGAGGAGCAGCCGGGACUCGAAUUGGUGCCCAUAUGGGAUGCUGGUGCUGCAGGCUGGGGCUUUAACCUGCUGUGCCACAGUGCUGCCCCCAGAUUUGCUUCUCAUUACUAACUUUUUUUCUUUACCUGAUGUAAUGAAUCUGAACCUCUUUGGAGCACCCCUUGAAAUACUCUAAAACAAAGUGAGAAUCACUUGGCCCAGGACUUCUUUUGAAGAGAUGAGUAUUAAAGGGGUUUUAGGGUUUAUGUUUUGUUUUAACUUCAAAGAUUUGGAGCUUGUUCUGUGACUUGCACAUGUCAUUCUGUGAACAUGAUGCCAACAUUAUCCCAUGUGUCUUAAAAAUAUGUACAGUAUCCCAGCAAUUCACUUUCAUUUGACAGUGUUGCUGAAUUUACUAUGGGUUUGGACUGGAAUGAGAAAAAUGAUAGAAAUACAAGCAACCUUCCCCCAAAAACUAAAAUGGCAGACAAAGAAAUGGAGACAAAAUAUUUAUUCAUAGCUUGUUAACCAGACCAAUUGAUUGGAAUAGAAGUUGCCAAAAUUUUUAAAAUAUCCAACUGCAUGUAUUAUGGAGAAAUGCUCUGAGAAUUUUUGGGGGUAUUCUUUCAUAAAUAAUUCUGUUUUUUAAAGAUUUAUUUAUUUAUUUGAAAGAUUUACACAGAGAGCCAGAUCAAAAGAGGGGCAGCCGGGUCUCGAACUGGCAUCCAUGUGGGCACCGGCCCCAUUUCCUAAAUAAUUCAACCUGAUAGAUAAGGAUAAGAAUUUAUCAUUUUGCCUAUUGUUUUUGUGGUACUUUAAUGUUGAAUUCCAGGAAGUAGUUUUAAUUACACUGACUUAUGAGUCUGCUUCCCUUUGUUAAAAGGUGGAAAAUGGUUGACAUGGUUCACAUAGGAUCUUAAUGAAGGGAGACAUUCAGGGGGCAAAGACUCCUAGCUUCUAAGUCUAGUUCCUCUGUUAGACCCAAAACUAUCUGUGAUGCUGGAAAUAAGCUCACAUCCUGCAUACCUUUACUUUUUAGGAAGCCUGCAGUAUGGUAACCCCCUUUCCAAAGGCCAAAAGCAAGGCCACGGCUGAUUUCAAAAUGUGGUUACACUUCUGCUGGGAAUCUGUAGCAGAAAAUAGUAGGCUGGCCAUGUGGAGAAAUAAAGCCAGAAGAGACAGUGUAUUUUCAGGAGCAAUUUAGUGCAUGAUUGAUCUUACUGAUACUGUUAGUGUCCUGUUUAUAGCUGAGUGGUUUUACCUGCAGCAACUGGCCAGCACUGUGUGUUAGGGAAAAAUCAAGGGAGAAAAUACAUUGAUUAGUAGGCAACUCCACACUCUAAAAUUAGGAAACCAGCCUCUCAUUGCUAACUUGGAAAGACAUUGAUAAUAUCCUAUAUCUCAUGAUUUCUGGCCAGGGUCACUUUUACUUCACCUUGUGCAAUCCUUGUCCAAUCAGGUCCUCUCCUAUUUUUUGUUUUAAGUUUUAUUUAUUUCAAAAAGUGCCAGGGUAGGGAGGGAGGAAUAUUCUCAGUCCAUCAGUUAUUUUCUCAAAUGCCUGGAAUAGCCAGGCUGAAGCCAGGAGCCAGGAGCUCAGUCUGAGUCUCCCAUGUGGGUGGCAGGUACCCAAGCACCCUGGGAAGGAAGGUAGAUGGGAAGCAGAAGUAACACUUGAACCUGGGUGCUUUGAUACAGGCUGCAGGUGACCCAGGUGGCGGCUUCACUGCUGCAGAGCAAUGUCUGCCCCCUUCCCUGUGUUUGUGAUUUUUUUUUUUCAACAGUCUUUAUUUGGACUUCGUUACUCUCAAGAUGGACUGAGAAGCUAUUGGGCCCAGGCUGUAAACUGUGUUUAUAGGAUGUUUGAGAGAUGGGGGGGGAAAAGGUUUCAAAAUUGUUUGUUAGUAUGUGUCCUGAAUUUAUGGUAAUUUGGAUAUCACUAGGUUUUUUUUUUUUUUUUUUUUUUUUGUAUUUUUGCCUUAUCCUUUCUCUCCAAUAUUAAUGACAGGAAUUCUUUUCCCAUUCAUUCUGGAUGGUGCAAUGUGGGGAAAUGAAUAUGGGGUUUCAAACAACAUUAAAAUCACACAGAACGCUGCCCCCACUCUCCCAUCUAUUUGUUAGGACAUUAUAAUCUCCAUUUUUCAUUACCCCCUUAGAAAAUCCAUCAAAAUGUUAGUGAGGAGCAGUGUACAGGUGGAGGGGCCAACUGUGACUUGUAUUGUUUUAUUUAAUAAAAAGAUUUAUUUAUUAAGUUGAAAGGCAGAUUUACAGAGAGAGGGAUGGAGAGAGAUCUUCCAUCUGCUGGUUGACUCCUCACAUGGCUGCAAUGUCCAGAGCUGGUUCAGGCUAAAGCCAGGAGCCUGGAACUCCACCUGGGUCUCCCACGUGCUGCCAGGGGCCCAAGGACUUGGGUCAUCUUCUACUGCUUUUGCAGGUACAUUAGCAAGAAAGUGGGGCAGCCCGGGCUCCUACUGGUGGUCAUAUGGGAUGCCGGCCUCACAUGCAGUAGCUUAGCCGGCUAUGGUGCAACUCCGGCCCCAUACUGUGACAUCUCAUCCACAUGCUGCCCUCUAUCAGUUUUUGUCUGGUCUGUGGGCUUAGAAUGGCUUUCAUAUUCUUAAAUGGUUAACAAUCAAAGGAAGAAUAAUGAUUUUGACAUGUGAAAAUGAUGUGAGAUUCAGAUGGCCAUGUUCGUAAAUAAAGCUUUAUUGGAAUCCAGCCAGGCUUGUUGGUUUCCUUGUCUUCCCUGGCUGGUCUCCCACCUGCUCCAGUGGCAGAGUUGAGUCGUUGCAAACAGAGACCAUAUGGCAAUAAAGCCUAAACUGUUUGCUCUUCGGCUCGUCACAGAAAAGUUUGCCGACCCACCCCUGGUGUGGAGACAAAUUGGCGAUGGAUGGAGAACCGUCAGUCACAGAACGAGGGCAGCCCUUAGAGUAAGGCAGUACAGAGUCCACGUGAGGCCUCCGCUUCCUCGAAGGUGCAAUGACUGCGGGUUACUCUACCUGGGUUACUCUACUCUCACUAGUCCUAGUGAGGAUGAGCUGAAGCAACGGAUGUGGGGCGUUUAUCUAUAUGUGGUGUGCUGCCAGGAAGGCGCAGGCAGAGCUAGUAUAUUUGCUGUCAUUUGCCUUAGCUCUCAGGUCACCUGUUCAAACAGAAUUGGAGCAAAAUCAGCCUUCCCCAAGUGAGAAAGUCGCCAGAGGGUUAGAAACCCGUCUCCCCCCUCUCUCCACCUUCCUUUACUCAGUGCAAGGUGGUGAAAUGUCAUUUUCUCUUGAGGUGAAUGGUCAUGUGGAAUUGAUCUUGACCUUGAAUGAAAGAAGAGCAACAGGGAGUAGAACUUCAGAGAAACUGCUGUGUGAGAGUCGCACCGAGUGGAGCGCUGACUGCAGGUGGAGGGUUUCACAUGUGACCUUCUCAGCCCCUUGCAGCUCAAGUCUCCCCGGCAGCCAGCGAGGGAGGCGCCUGCUUCAGAGACACUUCUCAUUGCUACACUGUACAUCCACAAUGGCCAGAGAUAAAGAGAAGCUUCCCUGCGUGAGGACGAAGGCUCAUUGGCAAUGUCAUCUUCUGUCUCUUCACGGGGACAGCAAACAGAGACCUCCCUUCUUUCUGACUUAAGUUGCACAUAUUUUUUUUCUUUCCUAGCUGGCAGCCUCAUAACAGUGGCAUUCAAAUGGUCUUUGCCAGGGAUGCGGGUGUCGUGAAUGGGGCAUUUCUUGUCUUCCUCCUGGCCCUCUUUCCCUUUGUGUUGUCUCUUUUCCAUGUAUUAUUAGCCACCUUGCAAAGUGGGAGUUUUGCCAGCAGCUUGCUUCUGGGUCCUGUAGGUUACUGCCUGAAUGUGCCACUUGUCCUGUGGAGUGAUUUUGUUUGCAGUGUUGCAGAAAGGAUAACUAAUCUGACUGUGUCAAACCCACUUAGGUUACUAGUACCAGGGUACUUCAAAAUGUUCAUGGAAAAUGGAAAGAAAAGAUUAGGAUUUUUGGCACCAUACUUUUUUGAAAUCUAUGCAUAGGCUUUUCAUAAUACCUAUGUUAUAGUUUGAAUAGAUUUUGAUAUGCAGACGUUUGAACCCCAAAGUCUUAUGUUCAUGAUGAGUGGAUCAAUGCUAAUGGUUGAUGGAUUGGGGUGGAGGCAUGCCUCAAGUAUGGUGUCAGAACAUGGGGCCUUUGGGCUGUGAUGGGAUUGGAUUAGGUUACAAAGAGGAAGCCAUGAUGAGGGCGUUGUAAGGGAGAGAUCACAGGGAAGGUGGAAAAGAGUGUGCUCCCUGUGGCUCUCUGUCCUUUCUGGUCUGCAUGUGAGCACCCCUCUGCCAUCCUCAGGCCUCACCAAAUGCCUGAACCAGUUGGGCCACCUGCUCUUGGACUGUACUCCAACUGUACACUGAAAUGAACCCUCUACCCUGUAGUGAAAAUAACAGAGUCACUAAUACAACACAGCCUUUUGAAGACCCUUGUAUGCCUAGAUCUUAAAAAGUUUGCACCAAGAUAAGCUUAUCUUUUUAUUCCAUGAACUUUUUGCAGUACCAUCAUAUAUGCUAUCGCUCAGCUCAGUAAACUGAGAGUAAUGCUGAUGCUAUGUGCUCAGUGAAUUUUAGGUUUUAAUGUCAAUUUGGCACAAUUUGGCCUUUUACUUUUCUUGCUAACUUCUCCCUUACUGUCUCUUUCAUUUUGAAAACAUAUUUUCAUGUGGACUUGUGGUCCGAAUUAGAUGGCUAUAAUUGGGUAGGAGUUGUUACUGCAAACCUUUCACAGUAAGUAGUGCUGUGGUGGGGGGAGAAGUACGUAACAGAGCUUUAGUUCUUGUUAUUAGCUUAUGCUGAUAGUCUCGAGUUAUUUUAUAGAUUGUGUGUGGAUGCCAGCAUGGUGCUUGGGUGUGAAUAAUUUGUGCAGCUAGCCAGUGGACAAAUAAUUUUCAUCCUUUGGAUUCUCUUCAGAGGGAUUAGUCAGGUGAACUGGAAGCUUUCUUUCCAGGAGAGCUUUCACUGCUUGUGAUAAUCAGUGAACAGCCUAGUGGCUGAUUUAAUUCAACUCUUACAGAACUAGCUGACUCAUUGGCUCUUAAUUCUUUCUUAACUUCUCUGUAAUGUUUUUAAUCUUCAGUUUCCUACACAUAUACCGAUGUUAUGGUAGAUGUAGCUCUGAACUUAACAUUUCCCCAGAGAUCUUGCUCUGAGAAUUCAAAAUAAAUACCUUGUGAAAUGGGUUUCCAGAAAGCUGUUUUUCUGAUAAGUUGUUUUCUGCCUUCCUGAUAAUGGAAAAAAAAGUGCUUUGAAAGGGCAGAAUCAACUUUUUUGUGAAAAGGAGGGCUAAAACAAAGAAUAAAAGAAAAAUGGGACACAUUGGAGCCCUACAAGGCAUUAGGACUCUCAGUGCCUAUGACAUAGCUCUGGGUUUUGAUAUUGCAUCAUUUAUAGGGGGUAAAUAAUGCAUAGCUUUUGCCUUGUGGGAUGACUGGAACGUGUUCCACCAAGAGGCGGGAGUUUCUGCUCAGAUCUGCCAUUUGUUUGAUUUAUGGAUCAGAUAAAUGACUGUAAAAGGGAAAGGUGGAUUUGGGAACGCUUUCUCCCUUCUUGACAUGUUGCCUUUAACUUGUUUCCUCCUGGGUUUUGUCCAUCGGAACAAUUCAUUGAUUUGUCCCCGAGGGGGGAGCUGGCCAGGUCCUUAGGGACUGUGGUCCUGUGUCUUGUGGCUUCCAGAGAGAGAAGCCAGAGAAGUCCCAAUGUGGUGCCUCCAUGAACUAGAUUCUGCUGCUCCCCUCAAUUUUAGUCUAAAUUUAAAGAACCUGAGUGUGUAGGGUUGCCAGAUUUAGCAAAGAGGAUACAGGGCACCCAGUUAAAUUCAAGUUUCAGGCAAAUAUCAGAUAAUGUUUUAGUGUUAGGGAUGCCUGGGGGUCUCAUCCUACACCCCAAGGUGGGUGUCGGGGAACUGUGCUGCUCUUUCCUGAGGGCCCUCAGGUUUGGUCGGGUAUUCAGAGAUAACUGUGAGUGGGAAAGCAAUUGCACAAAUAGCAUAAUUGUACGAAUGGGAAAAGAGACUGCUCUUUAUUAUGCACUUUCUGUAUCAAGUGCUAGUGCUUUAGUGCUCAGCUUGAGAGGUAGAUAUUAUAAAUCCAUCAUACCUUUGAUGAUAAAAGUAGCUAACAUUUAUUGAGUGCUUUUCUCUGUGCUGGGCACUGUUCUAAGAACUCUGAUGUGUCCUUAUCCUGUGCUUGAAAUAACUCUAUGAGAGUUAAGUACCAUUAUGUUUGCCAUUGUCCCAGGAAGGAAACUGAGCUGAGGUUAGGUAGCUGGGUUAGGAGUUGUUUUGGGAUGAAGGGAAAGAAUACCCGAGGUAGGGGUGCGGGGAGGAGAGGGGCAUCUCUUGCCCAAGUCAUACCAUGAGCAGUGGAGCCAGGAUUCAAAGACAGAUGCCUUUCCUUCAACUCUUCUUAGCUUCCAGGGCUGCACAGUGGCACCACCUGGAGAACUUUACAAAGUACAGAGGUCUGGCACCACCUCAGAGAGAUGGAUUUAGUUGGUCUGAGGUUGGGCUUGGGCCUGGGAACUUGAAAAACUGCCCUCGGUAGUUCUGAUGGGCAGUGGGGGCUGAGGACCCCUGCGUCACUCCACUUUUGGAGUAAGAUGAAUUUGACUCUCUUUAGGAAAUCUGGUCACUUUCUGUGGCUCUUUCUUUGGUUCCUACCCCCUGAAACGCACCAUUCCAAAUCUGGCAGCUAAUUUUUCACGGUCUUUGUUUCUUCAUAAUUAUGUUCAGGAAGUUGUGGUGAAUAUAUGUUGAGGCAUAAACAAACCUCAAAGAAAGACCUCUUGGGGGCAUUCUGUUGAUGGAUUUUCUGAGAGAUCUUUGCUUUUUCUUUCUCCAUUGUACCUCCCGGAGGAGGGGAUAUCCCUUUGUUUUUCAUUUGGCUCCAGCUGGGUACCAGGCUGGGUAUUUGAGGAGGUUUGCAGAUUAAUAAACCUGGGGCACUGCAAUCCAGGAGUUUUCGAUUUUGGAAGGGAAGUAUAUAAAUGUCAUUCGAGGUGUAAUUGUCUAGCAGUCACUUCAGAGGAAUAUAAAAUAUUAAGGAAUUCGAGGUGGCAGGAGCAGAAAGGAAGUGGUGUGGAGUGUGGCUGUAGCAGUGGCAGCUUUGGUUUGAGUUCCUGCCCUGCCAUUCACUCCCUUUAGAACUGCGGCCAGUUCUUCUUGGUCUCCAUGACCUUGUUGGCAGGCUGGAGGGAUCAGUCCUUUGAUGGGAGGCAUAAUGAGCUGUGCUUGUAGCAUGCACUCAGCCAAGCUGGGUGAGCCAAUGGCAAGCCAGGGAGGUCUGUGAAUGGGAUGCCAGACCUAAUCCUACUAGAUGGCUGUGGCUUGGUUGGGACUGGAGUGGGGAGCAGGGGUACUCUAAGACCCUGCUUAGGCUUAAAAAAAAAAAAAAAGUCCUGACCUCUGGGCCUGGACGGAUAGGAGCCUUAGUGUAAGGGCAGUGGAAGUAGAAGCAGAAGAGGCAUUUGGUGCAAGGCUUCAGAGUCAUAUGACAUAUGGUGGUUGGGGGAGGGUGGGUAACUGAUUCUUCCAGCCUUAGUGGUGACAUUCACAGAUGCACGACACAAGAGGGGAGGCUGAUUAUUAAAGGGAAACAAAUGAUGAAUUAAGUUCUAGGCAAAGUGGUAGCCCAGGCGCCUUUGUAAGCAGUGCAGUGCCCCAUAGCGUGUUAUUGUGCAUAUGUGGUGAUUGCACACUGGGAGAUAAUGGGCAGCCUGGCUCCAUCGAACUCCACUGAAGAAACCUUCACACCACUGCUGCCAUCUCGGCUGCCAUUGAGGUUGGACUUGUGCUUUUUUUUGUUUAGAUCUAAGUAUAAUACUUUGCAUAGGAAAUCGAUACAUUUUCUAUUGCUGUUUGACCAACAGAACUUUUUUUUCCUUACUACAAGAUAGUUCUGCAAGCAAUAAAUACUUUUAAUAUUUUGAGUAUAUUUCUUUCUAAAUUAGAGUUAGAAAAAAUGAGGCGUUUAUUAAUGUCAGGCUCAACUUAGAAUUCAGAAACAAGUGAUGACUUAUAGGGACUGUUCCCAACCUCAAUUAUUUUUUUUAAAAUUUAUUUAUUUAUAUUUGAAAGGCAGAGUUACAGAGAGACAGAGGCAAAGGCAAAGAGAGAGAGAGAGAGAAAGAAAGUCUUCUAUCCGCUGGUUCACUCCUCAAAUGGCUGUAAUGGCAAGAGCUGGGCUGAUGAAGCCAGGAGCCAGGAGAUUCUUCUGGGUCUCCCACGCAGGUGCAGGGGCCCAAGGACUUGGGCCAUCUACUGCUUUCCCGGGCCAUAGCAGGGAUCGGAAGUGGAGCAGCUGGGGCUUGAACCAGCACCCAUAUGGGAUGCGGAUGCUGCAGGUGGUGGCUUUACCCGCUAUGCCACAGCUCUGGCCACCUCCAACCUCGAUUUUUAAGGUCAUUAGAAGGCUUUUGUUUGUGUUGCAAGUUCUCCACUUCGUGUAAGGUCUUAUUGAACUGUUUAGAAGGUUUCCAACACAUUUCAUUUUUGCCAGUAUAACAUGGCUGGCAUACAUACAUUUUCUGUGAAGUGUCACAUGGUAAAUUAGAUUUUGCACAUCUGAUCUCAUAACUACAAGCAACAGAAAAGCAGCCAUUGACAGUUUAUAUAAAAAUGAGCUUUAUUUUGUUCCAGUAAAACUGUGUUUAGAAAAACAUGUAGUAGACUGGAGUUUGCUCUCAGUCUAUGGUUUUCUGACCCCUUUCUUAGUACUUAGGUUACGGGCACAGAAGUUCUUGGUUUGCUCACCAUCAGUGUUAUGAUUCACUCUCACCCUCACCCUCUGUGAGUUUCCGCUUUACCAACUAUAAAAUGGAAUCAAUUUGAGAAGUCUUCAAAAAGUUUAUGGAAAAUUUGUGUACUAAAAAAAGACACUCAUGGAUUCCAAUAUUUUUCUAUUCGAUGAAAUAAUUUUCAAUUUAUUAUUAUAAUUUUUUUUCUCUCUCUCUUUCUCUCUCUCUCUCUCUUUAAUUUGUGAGACAGGCAGGCAGACAGAGAGAGCUCCCAUUCAAUGAUUUAUUCCCCAAAUGCCCACAGUGGCUGGGGCUGGCCCAGACCAACACCAAGACCUGAUACAUCAAUCCAGGCCUCCCCUGUCAGUGGUAGGAACCCAGUUAGUUUCUUUAGCCAUCACUGUCAGGAACUGAAACCAGGCAGUCCAAUGUGUGAGUCUUCACCACUGGGUUAAAUAUUAAAUGAGAUCACACAAGUAGUUUUGCAUAAUGGCUAGAACACAAGAAGGAUUCAGACAAUGUUAGCUAAAGGGAAAAAUAACCCAUUUCAGUCUACAUUAUACAGUAGCUCUGAAGCUUAAUUGCAGUCACCUUAAGGUAUAAUGGAGGCGAUAUUUUUGAAAGGACAUUUUAGAUCUUUGCUGUUAACAAUGUGCAGUUGUAUACAAGAAGAAGUUGAUUACAAAAAGGUCUACAUCACCAAUAUUGUUUAUUGUUUGGAUGAUUUUUUUUUUUUUUAUUUGACAGGUAGAGUUAGACGGUGAGAGAGAGAGAGACAGAGAGAAAGGUCUUCCUUCUGUUGGUUCACCCCCCAAAUGGCUGCCACGGCUGGUGCGCCGCGCUGAUCCGAAGCCAGGAGCCAGGUGCCUCUCCUGGUCUCCCAUGGGGUGCAGGGCCCAAGCACUUGGGCCAUCCUCCACUGCCUUCCCAGGCCAGAGCAGAGAGCUGGACUGGAAGAGGAGCAACCGAGACUAGAACCUGGCACCCACAUGGGAUUCCGGUGCUGUAGGCGGAGGAUUAGCCAAGUGAGCCACGGCGCCAGCCUGGAUGAUUUCUCUUCUUGGAAAUUUAUUUCAUUUUCUGGAAGUGAGAUGGGCUUGUACUUCUUUGUCUUUUUUUUUUUUUUUUCUUUGCAUACAUUUGGGCUUCUCUCCCCUCAUCUGCUAGGGUGUAAGGAGUAAAAACUUUUCUAGAAAUGGAAUGUAAUGAGCACUUACUGAGCGCCUGCUGUGUGCCCACGUUGAGUGAGAUGUGCCUGCAGAGGAAGUCUCAGUAAUCAUGGAACUUACAAUGGAAUUCAGUAGGAAGUACACACAUAUGUAAAACAACCACACACUGUGUUAUGGCACCCUACAAAUAAGCAAGCCCUAGGAGGGGGUGGGAACAAUUCAUUGUAAGAGUAAAGGGCUGGUGCCAUGGCGCAGUAGGUUAAUCCUCCGCCUGCAGUGCCUGCAUCCCAUGUGGGCGCUGGUUCUAGUCCCGGCUGCUCCUCUUCCAGUGCAGCCCUCUGCUGUGGCCUGGGAAAACAGUAGACGAUGGCCCAAGUCCUUGGGCCCCUGCACCCACGUGGGAGACCCGGAGGAAACACCUGGCGCCUGGCUUCGGAUCGGUGCACCUUUGGCUGUUGUGGCCACCUGGGAAGUGAACCAGUGGAUGGAAGACCUUUCUUUCCAUCUUUCCCUCUCACUGUCUGUAAUUCUCUCUCUCAAAUAAAUAAAUAAGAAUCUUACAAAAAAAAGAGUAAAGUCCUAUCAAAUUGUGUCAGUAUGUGGAAGCCUCAUGGAGAAAGACCAGGCUAGGGGCUUUGUGAGUGUGAAUUUGUCCUGGCCGGGUACUUCCCUUUCCCAAGAGAUAAUUUUGCUGUGUUCCCUAUAGACAUGACACUUGAGUUUUGGUCGAUAUACUGUCUCCCGUGAACAACAGAACACUGAAUUGUGAAGGCAAUGACAGAAGGUAGAACUGUGUGGUCCCUGUAAUGGCUUUCGGCAUCUGGUUUUGCUUCAUGCUCCAAAGAACUGAAAAGUGAGGGUGAUUUAUUUAUUCAUGAGAACAUGCCCCAUACAACUGCUCUUUGCGACUGGAAUCCCUGUUGCGGGUGACUGGGCUGAUCUGAUGAGAACAGGGAUGGGACAGGAGAGGUGGGGAACAGUUCCCUCAGGGCGGAAGUUCCGCAGGGCCUGUAGGUUCAUUGCCGUACACCCAGCGUCUUAGAACAGAGUGUGCUGUAGCGUUGGUGCUCAGUAGUUUCUAGGUAAGGGGGUGGGGAAUAUCGGAGGUGCAUCCACUGUCCUAAAUUUGGUGUUGAGCUCAUCUGCAGGGUAGUCUAGUGACAGAAUGGACAUACAACAAGUGAGAGCAGUCGAUUAGACAGGGUCUGUGUUGAGCAUUCAGGUGGGCAGAGGAGAGGGAGCCCAGCUGUCCGUCUUGGAGCUCAGGAAGGAUUCAGAUGUGGUACCCUAUGGACGUGGUCUCUAAGGAUGAGUGGAACUAGACCAGGGGUGUGGGCCACGGGACGAGGCGAGGGCAUGCCCAGCAAGAAGAGUAGUUAGGCAGAGGCAAGCUAGAAUGAAAGAACAAGGCAGAUUGAAGGAGAGUUUGUAUGGCCUGUGUGAUUGAGUUUCUUUGCUGGUGAAUUCUUGGUGUUCUUUAGUGGUUGAGCCACGCAUUGCUUGGAAUCCCUCCCUGGGCUCUGAGUAUUAAAAUCCCUUCAGCAGGGCAAACAGCAGAGAAAGAGGAAGUAGGAGGAUCCUCAUCCACACAGCUAGCAGAUCUCCCCCAGGCCUGGGGUUACUGAGGUGACAGGAUUUUCACCCAAUGCGUCUUUCCUUUUUAUUUUCUUUUUAAAUUCAUUGUCAUUUAUUUGCAAGGAAGAGAGAAAACGCUUCCAUCUGCUGUUUUACUUCCCAAAUGCCUGCAAUUAAUCGGGGCUGGGCCAGACUUGAGGCAGGAGCCUUGAUCUCAAUCUGGAUCUCCCAUGUGGGUGACAGGGACCCAAGUUACUUGAGCCAUCACUUGCUAGCUCCCAGGGUGUGCAUUAGCAAAAGGCUGAACUCGGAAUUGGAGCUAGAACUCAAGAACCAAGGCACUGCAGUACGAGAUAGAGGAGUCCCAAUCCAGGUCUUAAUUGCUGCACCAAAUGUGCACAUGUGUCUUCCUUUUUAAACACACACACACACACACACACACACUCAACUUGCAGGAAUUGAUGUUCCCAGCUUUGAAUGAUAGCUACUAUUAAGUGAGGAUCAUGAGUCAUGUGCCUGACAGCGAAUUCUUAUAUCUCUAAGAGAUAGGUACUGCCAUUGCUUCAGGACAGAUUGUUUCAGAGCAAGGCCUUAUCUGCUUUGUUUGCUGCUCUAUCUCCCCAGCCUGGAAAGGUGCUUGGCACCUGUUAGGGGCUGGAUUUUAAAUGGGCAAUCAAGUGCAGAUAUAAUUUGAACAAGUCCUAAUGGUUAUAUAAGGACUUAGAGAAUUAUAUAUAAGGGAGUUGGAGACCAGGACCGUAUGGUAUCACAGUAGAAUGUCAUCUUGCACCAUGUCAACUUCCUAAUGCCAGCUACAGGAGGAAAUCUCAAUCUUUUUGCAGACUUGAGGAAACCUUUUUUAGUGGUAAAGUUAUAGAAAUCCACACACUGACACAGGGCACUACCAAAAGGUCACAGAGAAUGGAAUUCAAAGAUAAUGUGCAUUUUCCUGUGACUUUGUGAGGAUCCCUCACACUGUGUUCAUUCUCUAAUUUGUUGUGGAUAAAUAUUUUACAAAGACUUGGGUGAUGUUUAAGUGGCUUUUAUUUCACACAUAUGCAGAAAUAUAUGCACCUCUCUGGAUUCCAUCUCCUGGGGAGGCUUGGUUUGUAGGAGGACCAGGUCCCGGAAGAUAAUCCCACUCUGAAGCUGUGAGAUGGGGAGCUUGUGAUUUAGAGCCUGAAACUGGGGAGCUUACUGUCUGCUGGAGGAGAUCAAGCUCCUGGAACCUGGGGUAGAAUGUGUGAAGUGUUUUAACGGGAGCUGUAUGCUUUAGAGAAGGUCUCUGAAUGGGGGUUGCCCGGAAUUAACUGUGGAUCAGAAAGGACAGUUCUCUUCUCUUACUCUGGUGGUAGUCUGGGUGUUCUUGAAGGAAGCACAGUGAGACCUAAGUCCAUAGACUGGAACAUGACCCUAGCCCAGUCAGUAAGUUUGCUCGCUAGAUUUUUUUGACAUAAUCAAGACUCUAUAAACAAAUAUGCUUAGAAUCUCCUUCCACUCAUCUCCCAAGGUAACCAAAAUGGUUAUGUGACGAUUGUUUCUUACAACCUUCCUUACUUUAAACCUGGGAUUCCUAUUUCAAGAGAACAGAUGUACUUGUAGGAAGAGAAAGCUGCAACGGGGUGAGCAUGAAACUAUUCUUUGAAGAUGAGUAAUUAGGGUACCACAUUUUGAAGUACAGUGAAAAUGAGUUUCUCACCAUUAUGAGAACAAAACUUCCAGAGGUCACACCUUGCAGCUCUCUACUUUUCAUUUGAGAUUUUUAUAAGCCCAAGAGCUUCUUUGUUAAUUUGCAAUUUCAUCAUUGUGAGACUAUAUAUAUAUAUAUAUAUUUAAAAUAUUUAUUUAUUUGAAAGUCAGAGUUACAGAGAGAGAGAGAGAGAGAGAGAGAUAGGUCCUCCAUCCGAUGGUUCACUCCUCAAUUGGCCGCAAUGGCCGGAGCUGCUCCGAUCCGAAGCCAGGAGCCAGGAGCUUCUUCUGGGUCUCCCUCGUGGGAGCAGGGGCCCAAGGACUUGGGCCAUCUUCCCCUGCUUUCCCAGGCCAUAGCAGAGAGCUGGAUCAGAAGUGGAGCAGCCAGGUCUCAAACCCGCUGCCCAUAUGGGAUGGGAUGCUGGCACCUUCAGGCCGGGGCGUUACCCCACUGCGCCACAGCGCCUGUCCUGAGACUAUAUAUUUUUUAAAUUGUUACAUGCUUUAAACUUUUGAAAUGUAGCCACCCUUCAGAAUGAAAAUCCAAAAUGAAAAUGCUUAAAUGGACUUAGUAGAAGUGCCGUCUGCCUUUCUACUUUAGUGAUUUUUUUUUAUUUGUGUGCUUAUUUAUUUGUUUUUAGAAGAAAUCAUCUGGCCUGCUCAGUCAGUCAUCCAUUUCAGCAGAUCAAAGGAAAGUGAGUUCUACAGCCUUUCACCUGCACUCAUAAUUCAUGGGAAUUAUUGGUGCCUGCUUGGGUGUUCAGUGAAAACAAUUCAUCAGCGUUUUCUUCAGAAAUUCUCAUUUUUCUGGCAUUUUAGCUUGACAUUACCAGUUGGUGGUCUUUCCAUUGCACAUUCUAGUUCUUCCUGUUGAACAGAAUAUAGGCUAACCUUGGAGAAAAACAGUCUGCAAAUAAAUUAAGCCUAUCUAACUCUGCAUACAUUUUUCAAAGAAUGUACUUUUACUUUUCAGAAUUUGAUGAUGCCACAAAACUUGAGUUCAAUUUUGAGUCUACAAAUAUGUAUUGGGCUGAGUGGUCUAGGUGGUAGGAUACAGGGGAGUGAACUGGGAAUUCACAAUCAGGGCCUUGAAGAUGCCUCAGUUCUUAUGGGGGUGGGGGUGUGUGUGCGCGUGUGAGAGAGAAGACAUGUAACUUAAAACACCAUCAGGAUCCUUUCCAGCUGUAGUUAAGUUCUGUGAUGAGAUGUCUAGUUCCUAUGAGAGUGAGGAGAAGGAAGGAAGCCACGGUAUGUGUUCAGAGAUUUUGUUUUUCUUGAAGUUGAUGGGAGCAGAUGUAAUGAAGAGUUUGGCUUAAAAUGAGACAGACUUAACUUCAAAUCUCGGCUUCCUUCUUGGAGUUCCCUCAACAAAUGGGGUCAUUCAUUUCUGCCCUGCCGAGUUUUUGCUAGGAGUAAAGUUAGCCCAGGGUGGGAUAGUCCACAGUGGAUGCUUGCUAGAUAGUAAAUGCUGUCAUUAGUGGUAGUGUUCUACUCGUGGGUCCUCACCAAGUACAAGGGUAAAUCUUUAAAAAGCUCCAGGAAAAUGCAUGUUAUGAAAAACACUAUGCUUAGACUUUAAAUGUUUUUCCACCAAAAUAAAUUGACUUACUUCCAUUUGCCAUGAACUUUUAAAAUUGCCCUCUGCAACUUUGGAAGCAGGCGAUGUGACUGACCUAGCUGUUUAGAAAUUACAGUAGCUCCCCUCCCUGCCAUCUGUGUUCUCUUUACAACGUUCAGCUCCCUGAGAUGAGCCACAGUAUUAAAACAUUAAUUGGAAAGUUUCAGAAAUAAGCGAUUUGUAAGUUUUAAAUUGCAUGCCAUUCUGAGUAGUUUGAGGGCAUCUCUUGCCAUCCACCAGCAUAUCCAUACUGCAUUUGCCACCUGUCUGUCACUUAGGGACCGUCUUGCUUACCAGACGGACUGUUGCAGUAUCAACAUGUUGUCAUAAUUGUUUUGUUUUAUUAUUAUUGUUCUUAAUCUCUUCCUGGAUCCAAUUUAUGAAUUACACUUUAUCACAGACGUGUGUGUAUAGGAGUGACAUCGUACAUUUAAGAUCCAUUCCUGUCUGUGGUUUCGGGCAUCCACUGCGGACCUCGGAACACAUCCUCCGCAGUUAAAGGGAGAAGUAGUGUAAAGUUAAAACCGUCAGGUCCCAUAGGCUGCCAGCAGAAAUGGUCUAGGGGCUGUGCCGAAACUGACGGGCAAACACCACGAGGUGGUGGGCUGGGUGGCCUCUGCAGUUUUAUUCUGCCUGACAGACAUGCCGAUUCUGCCGCUGGCACCACACUUUGCACAGUCCUGGCACCGAGGAAGCGCUUCACAAAUACAGAAAUUCUCAUUGAUGUCAACUGAAUUUAUAUUUUAUCCAUUAAAGGAGCAAAGAAGCUUUCAGUGUUAGUCCCUUUUAUCAUUGGCCAUUGUACAGCAUUUUAUCUUUUCAUAUAUUAAAUAUUUUAAAUACCAUUAGGAUGUCUGCCCCAUUCCUGCUUUAAAACAAAAUGCUUUUGGGACCCAGAAGUUAAAUUCUUUCUUUCUAGAUUAUUUUUAUUUCCCUUUAAAUGUCUCCCUGAAACAAGAAUUGUUUCAAAGGGGGGAAAAUUGAGAGGCUGACAACUAACUCAUCCAAGGACAUUAAACAAGUUAGUCACAGGGAAGAAAAUAUAUUUUGAGUGUUUCUGCCUUCAGUGGAGAAAUCAUAUUUGAUUUUGCCUAAUGUGUAAAACUGGAGGGCGCUCACUCAACAAUCUGUGUGCGUGUGGCCCGGGAGCAGGCACAUCAUUAAAGUUAGUGUGGGUGUGCACAAGAAAACACACUCAUUUCUCUGUCAUAAGAGGGGCGUGCUGAAAGAAUUUCGUCUGCGGACUGUUGGGUAUUUUAGGCUGACAUUGCUGUUUUUAGACAGGAGUGCACAUGUGUGUUCAUAUGUUUAUGUCAUGUUUAUUUCUGUGUAGGUUCAUGCUCUGGUGCUUAUAACAUAAUGUGCACCUGUAGAUGCUGAGUGCUGACAAGGCCUAUUCUGUUUCACAGCGGCAUUUUGCUCUGGUUAUUCUGAUAAAGUAAACUGAAGAUGCUCAUAGACAUUGAUCAUAACAUAAGAGAGUUGACCUCUAAAGUGACACAGAUACAGAAAUUUAAGUUCCCUUUCCAACUUUCUCCUGAGAGAUUUUGAGCUUAGUGUUUCUUUUUUAGAAGACAUUUAUUAUUUUCACUUCUAUUUGAAAAGCAGAAAGAGACAGAGAGAUUACAUCUACUGGUUCACUCCUCAAAUGCCUGCUACAGCAGCCGGUGCUAGGCCAGGUCAAAGCUAGGAGCAUGGAACCCGGUCUGGGUCUCCCGUAUGGGUGCAGAGACCUAAGUAUUUGGACCACCUGCUUCCUUCCAGGAACACAUCAGCGAGAAGCUGGAUUGGAAGUGGAAUGGCCAGGGCUCACACUAGGCAUUCAGCACAGGAUGUAGGAGUCCCAAGCUGCAACUGAAUAGCUUCUUACUCUAAAUCCCAACAGAAUCUUGUGCCUCUGGAAUCUGGUGACUGUUAUGGGACACAUAGGAAGAUGAGAAAGAGUAAAUAAGAUAAAGUGCUCUUGGAAAGAUAUUCCAGGAAUAGGGAACAGAAUUUGAAAAACCUUUGAAGUUCAAAGGAGCCUUAAAGAAAGGGCAGUGGUCCCUGGAACUUCAAGGAUGUGGUUGGUGAGGGUAGAGAGGAGGAAGCCAGGGAAGUACUUGAGAGACAUGAUGAAGGACUUCCUCUUCAAAGUUGGAGUUGGAAUUUCACUGUGAAUAAAGUGCUAUGACCUUAUUCAAUGGGUUUAUUUUUUUUGUCUGUUGACGGUCAUGGAAAUAACAUUUCCAUUAAAAAAUCAAAACAUUGCUGGAAUUAAAUGACCGAAAGAGAGAAAUCCUCCCAUAAUUCUACCUUGUUCAACUUAACUGAAAUCACUGUGGUAAAAUGUUUGACAGUGAUUAAGAUGGGAUGUAGUGAGAAGAGGCUCAAACUUAGACAUUAGAUAUCAUGCAAUUCACUGUCCCGUGCAGGAGAUGAGGGAGGCUGCACACCAAGGCAGGGCUGAGCCUGGGAAGAGAGGCAGCUGAGAGCCUUUAGACUAGAAAGGAUUACGGUGGAGGAAGUGGGUGAUGUAGAGGGGAAAAGGAACCCUCUGAGAUUUCGGGGUUGGUUAACUGCCUAGGUAAUGCUGCCCUUAAGAAAGCUUAGAAAUCUGGUGGGAGGAGAAUGUGGUUGGGGAUAUGUCAACUCUGAAGUGCCUACGGGGAUGGAUAUAUGAAGAUGUUUAUUAGACAGUUGAAAAUUUCAGAGUUCAAAGUGGAGCUUAGGAAUGGGUUGAGAUUCAGGCAGAUAGACUCGGGAGCCUGGGUUACAUGAAAAGAAGCUGCAGAGAAAGAGAGAUGAGAGACAAUAGGAAAUGGCUCAUUACCACUUAAGCGUUUUUGUUUGAAAGGCUUAAUGAGAUAACAGCCCACACUUUGGUUGGGAUAGUGGAAGAAGAUGAGUAAAUUAUCCACAGGUCACAGAGGUUACAGAAUCUGUUCUCAUAUGAAUUAAUCAGAUUUAUUCUCAUACUGAAAAGUAUAAAAUUCCUAAAGGAGCCAUUUUACAACUAAAAAAAAAAAAAAACUUGGAAGGAGUCCAAAUACAGAAUAUUUACAGAUUAAAGAAGUAUUUAAUUGAGAUCUUUUUUUAAAGACAUAUUUUAUUUAUUUGAAAGGAAGAGUUGCAGAGAGAGAGAGAGAGAGAGAGAGAGAGAGAGAGAGAAAGAGAUCUUCUACCUUCUGGUUCACUCCCCAAAUGGCCCCAAAGGUGGGGCUGGACCAUUCCAAAGCCAGGAGGUUCUUCCAAGUCUCCCACUUGGGUACAGGAGCCCAAACACUUGGGCCAUCCUCCGCUGGUUUCCCAGGCCAUAGCAGAGAGCUGGAUUGGAAGUGGAUCAGAUGGGAUUCCAACCUGUGCCCAUAUGGGAUGUCGGCAUUGCAGGACGUGGCUUAACCAGCUGUGGCACAAUGGGGGCCCCAAUUGAGAUUGGGGUCAUUUUCUUGGUUAUUUGGUGAAAGAAAUUGGGUUUCUGAAGAGGUUACCAUUUUAAAACUAUCUUAAACUAUUAAGAAUUUUUUUUUUAAUAUGGGUGGUGUGUAUGUUUGAAUGGUUCUAAAACCAUUCACCUGACUUCUGAGAGAAAUUUGGUUUUGAAAUAAAAAUAUUAUUCCUCUAACUACUCUAGAUUAGAAAGACAUGAUGAGGAUGACAUCCCAGUUUUAGAAUAUUGAACUUUGGGAAGCAUUGUGGUGCAGUGAGUUAAGCAGCUGCUUUGGGCACCUGUAUCCCAUAUCAGAGUACCAGGUUAAGUCCCAGGCAGUCUACUUCUGAUCCAGCUACUGCUGAGGUACCUGGGAGGCAGCAGGCAAUGGCCCAAGCACUUGGGUCAUUGCCACCCAUGUGGAAAACCUGAUUGGAGCUCCUGACCCUUGGCUUCAGCCUAGCCAAGCCUUGACCUUUAUAGGUGUUUGGGGGAGUGAAUCAGUGGAUAGAAGAUCUCUCUGUCUUUACCUUUCUCUGUCCCUUUGCCAUGCUGCCUUUCAAAUAAAAAUACAUCUUUUUCUUUUAAUUAGUAGAAGGCAGUUUUUUAAAAAGAUUAUUUAUUUAUUUGAAAGUCGGAGUUACACAGAGAGAGAAGGAGAGGUAGAGGCAGAGAGAGAGAAGUCUUGCAUCCACUGAUUCACUCCCCAGUUGGCCACAAUAGCCAGAGCUGCAUCUAUCCAAAGCCAGGAGCCAAGAGCUUCUAACGGGUCUCCCACAUGGGUGCAGGGGCCCAAGGGCUUGGACCAUCUCUGCUGCUUUCCCAGGCCACAGCAGAGAGCUGAAUCGGAAGUGGAGCAGCCUGGAAUUGAACCACCGCCCAUGUGGGAUGCCAGCACUGCAGGUAGAGGCUCCACCCACUAUGCCACAGUGUCGGCCCCAAGAAGGCAAUUUUUAAAAAAAGAUUUAUUUAUUUAUUUGAAUGGCAGAGUCACAGAGAGAGGGAGAGACAGAGAAGUCUUCCAUCUGCUGGUUCACUCUCCAGAUGGUCACAAAGGCCAGAGCUGAGCUGAUCCAAAGCCACGGGCCAGGAGCUUCUUCUGGUCUCCAAUGCAGUGCAGGGACCCAAGGAUUUGGGCCAUCUUCCAGUGCUUUCCCAGGGCAUUAACAGGGAGCUGAAUCGGAAGUAGAGCAGCUGGGACUCAAACCAGUAGCCAUAUGGGAUGCUGGCACUGCAUGGGACGGCUUAACCUGCUACGCCACCGUGCCAGCCCCCAAAUUCUUUUUAAGAUUUAAGGUUUGGACAUUUGACCUAGUUGUUAAGAUGCUUGUGUUCCAUCUGAUUCUGCCCCUGACUCCAACUUCCUGCUAAUUCACACCCUGGGAGACAGUGGUGAUGGCUUAAGUGAUUGGGUUCCUGCCACCCCCAUGGGAAAUCAGAAUUGAGUUUCCAGCACCCAGCCUAGCUCUGGCGAUUGCAGGCAUCUGGGCAGUGAACCAGUGGAUGAGAGUUCUGUUUUUCUGACUCGCAAAUAAAUAAAAAUGUUUAAAAAAAAAAAAAAGCAAAGAUUUUAAAUAGCUGUGCUGUUUGUAAGUGGAUUUGAGGCAGAUUCCAGUGGUGUGGUUUUGGAAAGCACAUUGGCGUCCAGUGGCUUCAGAACUGGAUUUGAAUUCCAGCUCUGCCUCUCACCUGCCCUGGAGAGCCACCUAAACCACCCAGGAUGGUUUGAGGAUUAAGUUACACUGAAGAUGAAAAGCUCACUCACAGUUCUGACCGGCUCGGGUUUCCUGUUCAAAAAGUGUCCUUAGCUUCCCAUUCUGUCUUUCCUUUCCCAAAACCUUACUGCUCUGUGUCUGCUAAGGUCUUUUUGUCACACUCUGCCUUAACAUGAGACUUAAUAUGUUGUCAGAAACCGUUUCUCCAUACAUACAGUGCAUUUCCGGUUUCUGUUUUAGCUUUUUAAUUAAAAACACACCUUUUGCCACUGACACUUGUGAGAGGUUGGUUCCUAGCUCUACUUUUCCAGGCGGCAGCUGACUUCCUGUUCUGUCAGCAAUGAGUUAAGCCUCCUAUGUGCAAAUAGCAACAUCAUGGCUGUUGUGCUUUGCCCAUUGGUGUAAUUGUUUUUCCUACCUCUGCAGCCCGGAUAGAAUCAGAGAGGUCCGUAGCCCCCAGUUGCCCUUUUGAAUUACAAGUCACCAUACAGGUCAUAGCAGCUCAGGAUCAGAGACCAGGUCAUGAGAACAGCCAGGGAGGACGCUAUUAUGUGCUGAUCCAUUCCAUUCCAAGAUCCCGAGGUCAUGAGGAGCUCUGUGGCUUCUGCUGUGUGGGUGAGACCAAGUCCCUGUCACCUUCAUACCUGUGUGGCCCCAAAGCCAUGGUGCUUUUCCAUCAUUGUUAGGAAUGCUGCUGUUCUUGAGCCUAAAAACGUAGCUUCUAACACCACCCACAUUCCUGAACUCUAAGAGGUGUUCUUGGCCUUUGUCAGUUUUCUUCCUGAAGACGAUAGACUCUGCCCAGCUCCCAGGAACAGUUGUCUUAAGAGAGCUGGAAGGAAGUGUUUGAAAUGGCACAUAUGCCUGGGAUUCUGGUAACCAAGGAAACGUGUCCCCAGUGCAAACCUUCCUCUAAAAAAUGAUGGUACCUUUCUGGGAUUGUCUCAGAAUCACCCUCAGCAAGAUUCCCAAGGGAUGUGGAAUUAAACUAGGUCACUUCCAGAAACUGUACCAAGAGUUGACUGCACAUGAGAGUUUGCCUCUUUAAAAAUGUACCUUGCAGAAGAGGAAUCCAAUGCAUUGUGGAUACAGUAUGCUGAAGUUGGAAUAAUCUGAGUCUUGUAUAUAAUGGGUGUUUAAUCAGUCUUACCUGAAUUUAACUUUCCUUUGCUCUUGCUUAUUAUUUGUGUUGUUUUUAUUCUUAGUCUGCUUCCCAUUUUCAAUUAGCCUUUAGCUUCUUUGUAUUCCCUUUUAACAAUAAAUUAUUAGAAUUACGUAAUGACGAUUUUACUCCUCAGCUACCUGUGUCUUGCAUGUGGACUUUGCUAAUACAUCCAUCAUGGAUAGAAUAAUAAAAAAUGUUGUUGAGUUGAGGUGACUUGAAAGCCAAUCCAUUCAAUAAAUGAGAAAGUGAAUCUUUAGGAAUAGUUACUUAGAGGCAGAAGCCAUGGCCUGAAUCUGAGUAUGUGCUUUUUAGUAACAUUCUUGAACAAAGACUUGAGCAUUGGUACAAAUCGUGUGAUAUUACCAACACCAUGUUAUCAUUUUCUUAUGCUUCCCAAGAAUUAUGAGCAGUGGGCAACAGAAAAGACAUACGGAAUUCACAAACAACAGAAGACUAGGAUGGCUCUUCUGAAUGCAGGGGUCUCAACCUCAAAUAUAGUAGCCAGACAGACUGUGCAGACCGCAGACCGACCUGAUUUAAGAGAACAGGGAGUGGGUGAGUAUUUUGUGAGUUUCAGAGGCAUAAAUACCUAGACCUGCUUAGCCUGUGGAAGUACUUUUGACAGCCAGGUAGGUGGCAACCUCUUUCUUGGACGUUUUUGUGAAGAUGCUGUGAGCUGAAGUCAUGCUGCAUUUUUCUAAGUGAUGUAUUUCAUAAUUAAUGAGGUUGAAGUGGGGAGAAGUGUACAUAGAAUUUUUGCUUGAGGGCAGAUUUUACACCUGAUGCCUUAUUAUCUAUUAAUUGAAUUAUACGCCUGGGGAUAAAAAUUCAGUUUAGUUUUAAAGUUAAAUUCUUUAUUUCUGUGAAAGACCCCAGGAAGAUUUUGUAGAAUUUUAUAGUACCAGAUUACUAGAGACUCAAAAAAUUAGUGCAGACCCUGAAACAGGUCUUUAAGGUCCAGAGGCAGUGAUUCUCAAACGCGAUCGCGUCUGCGCUCCGUGGAGGGCUUCGUGAACACACAUUCCUGGGCCUUCCAAUUCACCAGGCCUGGGGUGGGACCUGGGAAUUUGCACUGUAGUAAGUUCCUGCUCCCCCUCCUGCUCAGGGACAACACACUUAGUAUCAAUCAUUGCAUUAAAGGAAACCCGACUGUUUACUUAAUUAGCGAAGCCAUACUUCAACCCACUUGCUCAGCCAGGCGGGGUCCCUGGCUCCUUACAGAACACAUCAUAAUCAGUGUGUACCGGUAAACACUAACAAGUGGCUUUAGGGCUGGGGUGUAGGCCUGAUUUAUAGGCUUGCUUCUGUGGGGUGCACAUGCUCCACCAGUUCAGUUUAGACAACUAUUAUGACAGCAGCCCACUUGUGAAAUUCCUGAAGAUUUGACAGUCAUCUUUGGGACACCACUGAAUCCAAGGAAAUGUCAAGGGUAGUGCUGAGAUUUACCCUUAGCUGAAACAGAGCCUUAGCACCCUGUAAGGGUUAGGUAUGGAGGAGGUAAGAAAAGCAAACAACCCCAGCAUGGAGAUGAGUGCAGUCAGCAGGAAGUAGACACUAUUGCUGAUCAAAGAUGGAUUUUAUUGGCUCAGAAGCCCUUUAGUUUUGAAUGAGUUGCCAUCUUGAACUGAGAUGUUUCACAUGGGAGAAAAAUCUAUAUUUUUAUCUUCUAUGAAUGAAAAAUUAGAAGUUGUAGCAACUCCAGCCCUGAUCAGAUUCUCACUCAGCAGCAAUUAGCUGGAGCUGGGUAGCAGCUGUUUCCCUCCCCCCACCUGCACCUCAUUCACGCUGGGCUGGCCAUUUCUAGUUCAUCAUUGUCCUGCUUCAUUUAUUCACACUCUUGACUGCCUUGCAGUUGCUGGCAUGCCCUCACUGUCGCUGGAGGACUGGGGUCCAAGAGAAUGUGCAUCCCCCAUCCUUGCAUGCCCUUUUGGAGGGGAAGGAAGCGUGUAUCCACCCUUAAGAAUAAAAAUGAGUCAGGGGUCCCUUUGUGUUCCUCUUCCUUGUUUUCAUCUCUCCUUUCUUUUGAGAAUAGGAGAGGAAGAAAGGCAUUGCAUUCUAGAAACAGAAACAAAGACCUGAAGAACCUUCUAAUUUCUCUUUAUAAACACUAGACCUGGUGUCUGGGUUAGGAUAUUCCUGAUAAGAGAAUCCAUGCACCUAGGUGGUUUAAUUAUUGUUUAUAUGACAUACUUUUCUUUUCAGAGAUUCUGUUUUUGGUCACCCCAAGUCUCUCUCUUCCCAUUUUGUCUUCUCUCAGCAUCUUGUGUCUGCCCUGCACAGAUCAACUUUUAUAUCCUUAGCUUUUGUUCUGAGUAUGGGAAAACACAAAAUUCUUGCCUCAACCAUGCUGUGGUUACUGUAUUUGAGGGUGGAGGAAGAAGGGAGAUGUUUGAAGAGUCUCAGAGAGAAAAACUAUGGUUUUAAAUCUAAUCAUUAUCAGAUUGAGAGCUAAAUACUUUAGCAACUUUCCUGAGGGAAUAGCCCUGGGAAUUUUCUGGAUAAGUAUCAUUCUUACAUUUUGGCAGGGUGCAGAAUUGAGGCCACCCACUUUGGGGCAGAAAACUGUUUAGUACAGUUCAAAUAAUGUAUUUCGAGAGUUUGGGUGAACUUGUAAUUUAACCUGGGGGAAGAGCAAAUGCUCGUGGGAAAAUAUUUGUGCUGAAAAUGAAUAAGGAAUGUGCAAGUACUGUGCCCACACUCUGGGAGCUCUGGUUUGCAGUUGAAGCUGCUGCCAAGUGGUGUGGGUCAAUAGCAAGUAGAAGAGAGCAAAGCAUACAGGAGGUGACUCUUGGUUGGGUAGAUUUUGCUUGCUGCUUAAGAACACUGCCAUUGGCUACUUGGCUUGUGGCAUUCCGAUCAGGUUCACCUGCAGAUGAAUAAUCAAAUCACUGAGAUUUCUUAAGCAUGUACUUGGUGCCACAUAGUACAACACAGGUGUUCAUUCCUAUCGAUAUCCUCACUUGCGAGUUUGGGAAACUGACUCUUGAAGUUUGUGACUUUGUGGUGAUCUUGCAGCUGAGACCAGAAUUUGGGUUUAGCUCUCCUUGAUUCUACAUUUUAAAUCACACAUGGUCUGGUCUGCUCUGUGGCGCAAUAGGUUAAUCCUCCGCCUGUGGUGCUGGUAUCCCAUGUGGGUGCCGGUUCUAGUCCCAGCUGCCCCUCUUCCAAUCCAGCUCUCUGCUAUGGCCUGGGAAAGCAGUAGAAGAUGGCCCAAGUGCUCAGUCCCCUGUACCUGCAUGGGAGACGAGGAGAAGCACCUGGCUCCUGGCUUCGGAUUGGCGUAGCUCUGGCUGUUGCAGCCAUCUAGGGAGUGAACCAACGGAAGGAAGACCUUUCUCUCUGUCUCUCCCUCUCACUGUCUGUAACUCUACCUCUCAAAUAAAUAAAUAAAAUCUUCUUUUGAAAAAAAUUACACAUGAUCAUGGGGCUGGCAUUGUGGCAUAAUGGGUAAAGGUGUUGCCUGUAAUGCCAGCAUCCCAUAUGGGUGCCUAUUCAUGUCCCGGUUGCUCUACUUCUGAUCCAGCUCCCUGCUAAUGACCUAGGAAAAACAGCAGGAUAUGGCUCAAGUACUUGGGUCCCUGCUGCCCAUGUGGGAGACCUGGAAGAAGUCUCCUGGCUUCUGCCUGACCCAGACCUGGCCAUUGCAGCCAACUAGGGAGUGAACCAACAGAUAGAAGAUCUCUCUUUCCCUCUCUGUCUGUAUCUCUGACUUUCAAAUAAAUAAAUCUUUUUAAAACAAUCACAUGUGAUCUUCAUUUGCUGUGACUCUUAAAAAAGGAUUACUUAUACUCUUUACUUGUUAACUUUAUAGAUGUCCAGCCUACAGAUUAUCUCCAAAAGUUUCAUAUUUCAAGCCCCCUAAGAUGGGUAACAUGUCUUAAUUAUUGUCUGGUACGUACCCUCUAUCCAACUAUGCAGUGAUCCUUUUUGACUUCUCACAGAUAUGGAUAUGUGUUGAUGGUGAGUCUGUCCUAUUUUAUAACACAUUGCUUUAUGACUUGCCUUUCUUCUUAUUUAUGUAUUUUUCUCUGCGUGUAACUGAUUUAUCCACCAACUAGCCAUAUAUAUAUAUGUAAACAAGGAUAAAUACAUAUAUAUAUCUAUAUAUAAUUUCAUUUGGACAAAUUGGAGGACACCAGAUUUUCAGGCACCCGUCUACUAAGGCAGGCAGAUUCCUAUACUCUGUAAGAAGUACAGCAUCUGGUGAAUGAAGCAUGUUACAAUUUCCAUUGAGAAUUCUCUCAUGCAUCAAUUUUCUGGAGAUAGCUGCUGCCCUCUCAAUUAACCCGGAAGUAGGCUUUGAUAAAGAAUUUAUUUUUCCUAGAGGCCAGCUGCGUCCCUGUCCUUUCUCUGACAUGGCCCUGGGCCACCAGUGGAGUGUGAGUUGCUGUGGAAAGAGAGCGGCUGCUGCUGGGGCCUACGCCUGGGUGCCUUUGCCAUCCGUCCAGUAUUGCACGGUUUUAUUGCUUUAGAUGUUACUCUUACCACAAGGGCUUUUGGGGGUUAGGGCUCAUGUCAGCCUCCUAUACUCCCAGUACACCUGCAUGCUUAGUUGGAAAACUUUCACUCAUAGGUGAAACUCAUUUCGGCAAUCAUUAAUUCCGCUGUAAUUCAUUUAGAAACUGCACCGUUUCUAUUAAUGGAAAAGGAAGCUCAGGAAUCAAACAGGGAGGCUCACCUGUGCUGAUAACUGCAUAUGGCUGAUAACUGUAAACUCUGUGAUUGCACCAAUAAAAGGUAAUAAUUCCCAAGACAACCAGGAAGGGGAGUGGGGAGCAGCUGCGUAUUCAGCCCUUGCCAUCGUGCCGGCGUUUAGUGGCAUUUAUGUUGGUGGGAACUAACGUGAGUGCUGAUAAUGCACUGGGAAAUUUUCUCCUAGGCUACAUAAGAGGGACUGGAGACGGAGCAUUUGUGUCAGUGUGGGGACGUGGGAUGUGACUGAUGAUGGAGCAGAGGAUUUCUCCAGACAAUUGCUAAGAGUGGCGCGUGCUUCCAUGAAGGCUGCAGCACAGCACAAUCCUUGUGUGGUCAAAAAGGAAUCUGCUUGCCUUCCGGAUCCACGGGCUGUGGAAACUGAUACUCAGAACAGGCAACCACAGAGACGGCUGAGGCUGUUUGGAGGAGCUUGAGGCUGCCUCUAUCAUAUAGAGGAAUGCCCUUUAACCUGACCUGUUCAGUUCUUUCCAAGUCCAGUUCUUCGACAUUUGCAGAAUACAGCUAUUCCUGUAAAGCUGUUGGGGGCAUUAAUGCCUACACAGUAGUCCCUUGGUAUCAGUGGGACAGUGGCUCCAGGAACCCCUGAGCAUAUCAAAGCCUGCAGAGGCUCAAGUCCCUUGUACCGAAUGGUGCAGUAUUUGCAUAGCACCUGCAUACAUCCUCCCAUGCACACUCAAUCAUCUCUACAUUGCUUGCAAUACAAUGGACAUGGCAUGUAAGUAGUUGUUAUAGUGCAUUAUUUACAGAAUGAUGACAAGAAAACAAGUCUGUACAUGUUCCGUGCGGGUGCAGUUUUCUUUCAGUGUAAGGUUGGCUGGAUGCAGGGAUGGGGAACCUGUAGAUAUGGAGGGCUGACUGUGUAAGAAACUGCUUAGCAAACCUGAAGCCAAACAUGAAUAACCCAGGGAUCUCCUGCCCUUUUAAAAUUUUCAUUUGAGACAAAUAGGCCCUGGGGGUGCAUCAUUGUUAAACUCUUCUGUACACUUAGGGUUCUUGCAAAACUGCCAACCCUGAGUGGGUUCUACAGUUUCCCUCUUUAAAAAAUUGUCAUUAGAAAGCUCCAUUUUCUGGUGCUGAAAGUGCUUUUUUUGGUAAUCAGGAUUCCCGUGGCUGUGCAUUGUGUCAUUAUUUUGGUCUGAGAAGACCUCAUUUUCUGUGUUUCCCAGCACACUCUGUAGGGCUUGGAGAAAGCACUGUCCCCAUGUAGCUAAUGGAUGGAUUGUGGGCGUGGUCCAAACCAUGAGGUGGCUCAGUUACCCACUGUUGUGGAUAGUACCUAACACCAUAUUUCUCCUCAAAAACGAAGGAAGCAAAAACCAAUUAAUUGGUUUACUCUAACUAUAACAGCCUUAAUGACUGAGAUAGAAAUCAAAUGCAGAUCAACUUGUUACUAUUCCUGAAGGAUUUUUUCCGCAGUAGUUUAGCAUGGGUCAUUUUCCUAAAGAUGGCGGUGAUGAUGAUGAUGAAGGUAAUUUCAACAGUUUUGACCUUUUGAAAAUUUAAAGCUUAUAUUAAAAACCUGUCACUAAGGGGCAGGAUUAUUAUGUUUAAUAACAUUAACAGGAACAAAAAGAAUUGAAACGGAGAAAUGUCCCAAGAUUAUUACCUUUUUAUCUUUAUCAGUCAGCAGCAUAUGGCAAACUUGGCUUAAAUAAAACAACAUAGACUUUCAUCGUGCAAUUCUAACCACAUAAAUGUGGCUUUGCUGUUUUCUCUCCCAGUCCUCCUCACCCUUGUCAGUGCUGAAGUUGUGGACAGGGAAGAGUGCAUUAUGUGUGAGCUGGAAGACUGGACUUUUCUCUGCAGGGCCUGUGCGGCUCCUGAGAACCUCUUAGGCCUUGGCGUUGGCCUUUGUGUCUCUAUUGUCUUUUAUGUUCUCCCCCUGGUGGCUGGGGUGGGUGGGGUCUCUUCUCCUAACUUCUGCAUCACUGGACUCGUGUCUCUGGGUCUCGGAGACACUCCUGUCAGUGGAGUGUGCCCCUCCCUUCCAGAGCAUGGCACUGCUUCUCUUCCCUGCAGGAGCUUUGCCUUGCCUUUCUGCUGUUAGCAAAGCCUUCUCCAGCGAGAGAUUGAUGUGCCUGGAUGAUUUAUGGCAGUGGUUGUCAGGGACUUUUGAAGCCCAUCCAAUUUCAGGAUUCGGGUUCUCAUUUCUUGUCAUUUAUGGCACAGUUGAUGAAUUCUCACUAUCAGCCGACAUGUUUCAUAAUUGUCAAAACUUUGAUUGAAGUGGUAUUUCUGAAAAAAAAAAAAAAUUAUCAAAGAGGAAAAAAAUCAAGGCUCCUUCACCACAUUUUUACUUUCCUGUGCCCGUGCCCUAAACUGCUGUGACUGGAGUUUGCAGCCCCAUCCUGUAUCCUCCCGGCAGCUUGCUGACCUGCCAGUGCCAUCUCCUUGUGCUGCUUUGCUUAUCUGCGCCUUUUCUGGACCAGAUGGUAAAAGCUGUUGACAGUGGCGCCUUGGAGAAUGCUUCCCAGCUCUGCCUUCAGCAGUCUCUGGGGUGCAUCCGAGUAGUGGGGCGGGAACAGAUACAAUCAAGCUCCUUCCCUUAUCUUCACGGUGGUGUGCUUUGUGUGGUUUGUGCGUUCAUUCCACAAGCCAACGGUUUUUUGGCUGCAAUGUCAGCUCUCCAGGUCUUUGGCUACUUUGGCAACCUCGAAAUCUGCUCUUGUGCCUUGAAGCAUUCCUCCUGGUCAAGCCCAGGAAAGUCAGCCAGGGAUGGAUCUGAUCUCUGUAUUUGCAGGCUUGUUGUGGUUGUUGCCUGUGCCUGUGCUGCACCCCAGUCCUGUGUGUCUAUUUCUUGCAGAGGAAAUAUCUUACCAACUGUCUCCUUUUCUCUCUACUCUGCCCCUCCCCUCCCCCCGGAAGGAUGUGUCCUUCCUCACAAGCAGCCUCCACUCAUAGUGCCUUUUGUAUCUUCUUGAGAUUUUGCCUGUGUAGAUGAGGGCACUUCAAAAAGGUUGAUGGGAAAUCACGUUUAAUGAUCAAUUUACUUUGGUGCAAGAAACUUUUGAAAUACAUACGUUCAAGGAGUCUUGAAAAUGUUCAUGAAGGAUACACAUUAUGGAAAAAAUACCCUUUAAUUCCAUUUUCCACAAAUGUUUUGAAAUGCCCUGCUAUACUGUUCACUUUCAUACAUGCAACGAAACACACACAAGUAUACACACACACACCCAGAGAUAUGGUUUGAACUCAGAAAUCUUUACGUUACCACCUAUUGAAGACUCACUGACAUCUGCUGUCUCCGUUCUGCUGCUUGGAUGAAGACAUCCUCCUUAUCACAUUCUGCCAGGACCUGCCUUCUGUGAUCAGAGUCUCUAACCCUCCAGCCCAGUGUAGCACCACUGUCUCCACUCUCUCGGUGCUCCACGCCUGCCCUUGCUCUUCCUCAAUGGGAGUCUUCCCGGUUUCUUUCGCUACAUCCAACACUGUGUUCUCUAUUGUAUGGGUUCCUAGACUGUUCAUUUAUAGCAUUUAUCGCAGUUUGUAAGUUCUUUUUUGUGUGGUUAUUUGAAUAACAUCUUCUCCUCUCUACUAAACUGCAGGUUCCACAAAGAAAACUUGCUCCUUUUUAUUUUAGAGGGCAUUUUGUCCCGAGAGCUUGUGCAUUGUUUGGGAUAUAGUAGAGUCUCCCGUCGAUAAUAGAUAAUACUGGAAUGAAUGAAACGCAAAUGAGGGACUGGCUGGGUGAAUGCAGUAUAGGAGCUUCCUUGGGUAGGGAGGAAACACUACCUUUUGGACCUGGGAAUUUUCUCCUUCUUGUUUCUAACCAGUUCUUAAGAAGCCAGCCACCCUGGAGAUGUUGAUCAUGAAGCUUAUAUAGGAACUUAGCUUGCAGCAUUUCCACUUGUUCACCUUUCUUAAUUUGUUUUGUUUCUAUGAUGGCACAUGGUUUUGAAAGAUGAGUGUUCCCUGUUUUUAUUUUAAAGUUUUGACAUCUCUCAAUGGAACGUUUAGAAGAUAAGGAUGUGGGGGUGGGCGGUUGAGAGGAGGGGGAGGUGAGCCACUGCCACUGUAGGCUUGCUGUCCGCUGAAGGUGAGAUUCGUGUCCCUGAUCAUGCUCGUGUUCCCAGCAUCUGGCACAGGGUGGGUGCUUAAUAUGCAGUGUGGGCCGAAAUGUGGGGAUGCGCAGAUAUGCAGGAAGAAAAGCCACUGCUAAUUCUGGAGCUGACAUUAUCAUUAAUGAGCAGCCCUGAGUCUAUGUUCAAGUCUUGCUCCUAAUCAGCUGCCGGAGAUCAUGUAUGUGUUACUUGCUGCGGCAGCCACUGUUCCAAGUUUGCCAUCUCCAUUCUCCCUUGAGUGUUAAUCUUUGACUCCACAAAAGGAAUUAAAAAUAGAAUUUGGAGUCAGGGCAUCAAGAUUAAUUUUGAAGUAUAGUUCUGCAUUUGGAUGUGGUCCUCAUUCUCUUUAAAAAUUUGUUUAAAAGGCAGAGAAAGAAGUAUCUCCCAUACCCUGGUUUGUUCCCCCAGUGUUUGUAGUGGGUAAGGCUGAACCAGGCUAAAGCGAGGAGCUGGAAACUCAUCUGGAUCGCCCAUGUGGGUGUCAGGGACCCAACUCUCUGAGCCAUCACCCGCUGCCUCUGAGGAUUCACGUCAGUUGGAAGCUGAAUCAGAAGCAGAGAAGCCAGGACUCAAACCAGGCUUUUCUUUUUCUUUUUAAAGAGAGAGAAAGAGAGAGAGAGGGAGAGAGAAGUCUUCCAUCUGCUGGCUCACUCUUCAGAUGGCUGCAGUGGUAUGAGCUGAGCUGAUCUGAAGCCAGCAGCCAGGAGCUUCUUCUGAGUCUCCCCCUGGAUGCAGGGGCCCAAGGACUUAGGCCGUCUUCUGCAACUUUCUCAGGAUGUAGCAGAGAGUUGGAUUAAAAGUGGAGCAGCCGGGGCCAGUGCCGCGGCUCACUAGGCUAAUCCUCCGCCUAGCGGCGCUGGCACACCGGGUUCUAGUCCUGGUUGGGGCGCCGGAUUCUGUCCCGGCUGCCCCUCUUCCAGGCCAGCUCUCUGCUGUGGCCAGGGAGUGCAGUGGAGGAUGGCCCAGGUGCUUGGGCUCUGCACCCCAUGGGAGACCAGGAAAAGCACCUGGCUCCUGGCUCCUGCCAUCGGAUCAGCGCGGUGCGCCGGCCGCAGCGCCCCGGCCGCGGCGGCCAUUGGAGGGUGAACCAACGGCAAAGGAAGACCUUUCUCUCUGUCUCUCUCUCUCACUGUCCACUCUGCCUGUCAAAAAAAAAAAAAAAAAAAAAAAAAAAGUGGAGCAGCCGGGACUUGAACCAGUUCCCAUAUGGGAUGCCAAUAUUGCAGGCGGCAGCUUUCCCCGCUAUGUCACAGCCCCGGCCCCCAAACCAGGCUUUCUGAAUGGGCUGCUGGCAUCCGAAGCGAUAAUGUCUUAAUGGCUACACCAGUGGCCCAUCUCAUUCAUUUCUGAAGACUGAGGGUUUUGGCUGUGUUUACCACAUUGUCCCAGUAGCCUUGGAGCUGAAUAGGUCCUCUUUCUGCAUCCAAAACAUCUGAGGGAGACCAACCAUUCCUAUUGGAAGCUCCCUUUCUGUGCCAGUGCCCAAGACGGCUUAUUUUUGGCUCUUACCCUUUGGUUUGAAUGUAGUAUCCCUGUACUUCAUGACCAGUGGUCAGGAACAUUGCUUCUUCCUAAGAAUCCUUGAGUUAUUUAUAAUUAGCCCAUUGUUUGUAUACCGGUGAUGUUAUUGUAUUUGAAUUGCUUGCAGAUAGUUUAAUCUCUUUCAAGUAAAUGGUUUCUCCUUGUUUACCUUUUUGUCAGCAAACUUCCUUUUUCCUUAAAUACUACAAAAGUAAACUUUACCCCAUUUCGUCUUAUGAAACGAAAUGAUUUUGCUCAUUUGUGAAACAUUUUGAAUGCUUACAUAACAAUUGGUUACAUUCCAGAAAAUAACUGGGACUUGGCCUUGAAAUGUUUUGUAGUGCAUGAGUCCAUUUAUGAAACCAGACGGGAGCUACAGACAAGUACUGUAGCCACCUGUUCUUCUUCUCUUACCUCAUUUGUUUGACUUCUGAUUUUGCAUGAAGUUAUCACAUGUCAGACUAUGCCUGGGUGCUAAAGACUAUGCCUUGAUGCUAUGACUGUUCCAGGGUUCCCAAUACUUGGCACUCCCUGCCUUUCCCAGGCCUUUUCUUCUAUACACGGUAGGAUAUACUUCUUUGUGUCAUGAGAAGCAGUUGGUUGUUUCCUUUACUCUGCCCAGUUGCAUUCCUGAAAAUAAUAAAUCACUGAAAUUAAUUAAAAUACUGAGCAACAGUUAGAGACAUUAUUGGGUUAAUCUUGGGAGUACAUAGCUAAUGAAGGCACAUUAAGAAUGCAUGUUUGGCCGGAGCAGUGGCUCUGUAGGCUAAUUCUCCGCCUUGCGGAGCCGGCACACCGGGUUCUAGUCCCGGUCGGGGCGCCAGAUUCUGUCCCGGUUGCCCCUCUUCCAGGCCAGCUCUCUGUUAUGGCCCGGGAGUGCAGUGGAGGAUGGCCCAGGUCCUUGGGCCCUGCACCCGCAUGGGAGACCAGGAGAAGCACCUGGCUCCUGGCUUCGGAUCAGCGCGAUGCGCCGGCUGCGGCGGCCAUUGGAGGGUGAACCAACGACAAAAGGAAGACCUUUCUCUCUCUCACUGUCCACUCUGCCUGUAAAAUAUUAAAAAAAAAAAGGAUGCAUGCUUAUUUUUAUAUUCCCCCAAACCUUGCAUUAUUUUUUCUUCUUGCUCUCCCAGUUAUAUAUAGUGUCAACCUCACUUAUACUAACUAGGUUGUUGGUCUUAUGGAAGAUAAUUUGUACCCAAUACAAAGGCAGUCACUGAGAUUUCACUAAUGGCUGUUUACUUGGAGUUUUAUGCAUCUGGAGGCUAACUGAAAUUCUUGGUUUUCAGCCAAGUUUCUUUCUUAUUUCAUGUGGAAAACUUUUAGUUAAGACCUGGCUGUCUUGCUCUUUGCCUUUGCUAACACAGGUUGAUCAGUGCAACUAAAAUGAUUAAGAGGAUGCUGUGGAUUUGGGUAAAGAGCAAAAGGAUUAGGACUUCAGAGUGGAGAGAUGAAUGGAGACGUGUGAGAUAUAGUCCGGGGGAACUUGGACUUGCUCACCAAAUCCCAGAACGCUGUAACAAAAGGGCACCUCUUUAAGCUCCUUAGUUCAAAGGAAAUGGAAUGUCUUUGCCCAGAGGAAUAACAAGCAAAUAGAACUCACUUUUCUCUGCACCUCUACAGUCUGGAGUCCCAGGCCGUGUGUACAGCAGUGAUUUAAGCAGAAUCUGAUGAUGGUUUUGCGAGGUUUCCACACAUCCAGACACCAGCCCUAACCUUUGGGUGCGUCAUCACACAGUGACAUGCCUCUGCUGCAUAGAAUGUCUUUUGAUGCUCUUGUCAGACAUAAAGUCUGAUGGGAACUGGACUUCUUGUCUGACCUGGGGUGACAAUUUUUAUGUUUUUAAAAUUGGCCAUCUUCCAGAGUGUCCAUUUUAUAGUGCUUCUAUCUCAGUACCUGAACUUGUGCAGAGAAGUUUUAUUUGAGUCAUAAAUUUUUAAUGUCAAAACCUUCCUGACAAUUAUUAGCUAAAUGUUUAGCCCAGAAGAGAGAUUAAAUACAUAGAUCUUAUAACUUAGCUACCAAAUAACUUGACUCAGAAAAGAUUUUCAAGUUGGAAGUAGUUUCAUAAGAUUUUGGGGCAAGACAGCUGAAGAUCUUAUAUAUUAGUAGUCAGAGCAAAACUGUAGUGUAACACAUUAUCAUCUGCCUGCCAUAUGAAAAAUACACUUGUAGGCACUUCUUACCAAUUAAAGCCCUCUUCUAAUUUUUUUAAUAAAUGUUCAUAUUUGCACAAUAAAUGAUUUAUAGAGAAAUUUUAAUGUGUAUGUUUUCCACCAACUCUAAAAUAACUGAAAUUAGAAAGCUUUGAACUUAUAAAUAUUGUUCUAACAUAUGAAGUGCCCUGGAAGCUCUAAAAUGUACAGCAGUUUAUCACUGAAAAGUUAAGCUACAUUGAAGGAUGUAGAUUUGGCUUAACUCUGUCAUCUCCACGUAGCUCAGUAGUCUGAUGUUGAGUAAUUUGCUAAAUGAUUUUUUACAUAUAUCAUUUUAUUUGAUCUGUGCCACUACCCAUAAAGUCAGAAGGAGGGCAGAUAUUAUCGUCAUUUUAUAGCCUAGGAAGCUGUGGUUGAGAGAGGUUAAGUGACUUGUUGGAAGGUCGCUGAAAUGGGAAAGGGCUGAAGAUCACAUGGACACGACGCACAAAUUCAGAUCUCUUCCCACUGAGCCAUGGAAACCCUUGUUGUGAUAUCGUUUGGUCAGGCACCACCUGAAAUAACCUUAUACAGUGCUUAAUGUUGAAGGGCAUAUGCUGUGUUUUAAUCAAAGAAGACAAAGGCAGUGGGGAUUAACUGUACUGGUGAUCCCUUUGUUGAAUGCUGGGAAGCCAUAUAUUUUAAAAAGCUCUUAAUAUGUGUCUUUGAUCAGAUAAUUCACUAAGCAUUGUCUUAUAGAGGAUUAUCAUGGGAUCUACAAUUUUAUUUUUGAUACCACAACUCAGAUAGUUCUGAUUCUACUGGAUGCUUUUAAAGCCACAAUUAUUUUGGACACAUGUGAAGAGAUUCCAAAAAAUUUGUAAAAUAAUGGAACUAAAAGAUGCUUAUUUUGGUGCAAAAAAAAUUUUUUUUAAACCCCUGAUUGAUUUUUCCAUAUUAUGUGUUUUCCAUGAACCUUUUGCAAACUUCUCAUAGUAGGAUUUGAUUAAAAUAUAGCAAAAAAGCUAAAAGCAAGGGUGUAUAGACAAAAGGCCAUGAAGUAUCUUUUUCCAUACUGCUUAUGGUUUAUGUGAGUGUAGGAACCAGGCCAGAUGGGUUUAUGGCAUCAGCUGAUAAUUUCCAAAUAGAGUUUAUUGAAAUCCUCUCUAGGUAAGAAUUUUUAAAUAGAGAUUACUAGUAAAGUCUCAAAUUCAGAUACUUAGAUUCUCUUAUAAAACAAAGCAAGUCACUUCUGAAGCUACUGGAAGACCUUUAAAACAAUACCUUUCAGUAAAAGUCAAAGAGAUAUAAGACUGUGAAGAACCCCAGAGGUGAUAACCAGGGUUGCCCGACCUUGUUGGAUACCUUUUCCGCACUGGCCUGGUCAGGUGUCUGACACCUGGAACUAUAAAGCAGUGUUCUUCAUGCACUGGAUUUAUUGCUUUUGGUUAGUCACUGCCUUCUUUAAGGCAGUGUUGCUGGGGCUGAAAAGGGCAGAGUCUGGAUCCUGGGCGCUUGAGUUCUCAUCCUGCCCCUGCCAGUUCUCCUGACUAUGUGAAGGAGAUGCGUCCAGUAUUUAAUACAUGGCAAGCGUGUGAGAUAGUGCCAGGCACACACAACUUCCUUCUGUUCAGAUCAUCCAGUUAGAAUAGUCGGGCAUGAUGGGAAAAGAAGACACAAGGCCUUGGAGACUUUAAGGCUUGGUGGAAAGGAUUCUGAUGAAGAUCUCGGCUUCUCUUUCUCGGUCCAGGUGGCGCAUGAUGAAUAGUGACAGGAGAUGCAUCUUUCCCGCAGUAGAACCUGAACCCACCAUUUACCUGUGGUUCUUCCCACAGGUUAAUGCUGGGUUACUCAUGUUAAUGAUUAUUCCUGUUCUGACAAGCUGCUGUCUGAAUCAUAUUCAUUCUCUUUCUCAUCUCCGCCCUCCUUUUCUCCUCUGCUUCUCUCUCUCUACUCAUAUACUUUUUGUUUGUUUGUUUGUUUGAGAACAGCCAUUCAGGGCACUACUUAGAGAAAUAUGUGCUCAAGACUAAAGUCUUUCCUUUGAAUCAAUUUUUCUGAUUCUCCCUCUCCCUGUUACUGCUACACCUUCCUACUACCUAAGUGAAAGAAAAAAGGAAUCCAUGGAAGUUAGGGAUAUCAAAGAUUUCAGAAACAAAAACUGGGUUUCUAAAGCAUUCAUACUGUACCGAGUUAUUUUGUGUCUAUUUCUUUAAGACUUUUUCCUUCCUUUCUCUGCCUCUGGAGCCACCAAGAGCACAUUGAUCACGUUUUACAGCUUUGCCAUGAUAGGUGCAGUGGUUGCUUUUUUAUUGAACCGUAGAUUGCAGCAUUAUAAAACAUACUCAUUCAGAGGAGUAAUGAAGGCCAUUUUUAAUUGCACUUGGGAAGCAGGGCCCUCUUAUUAAAUUAUACCUGCAUGUGUAUUAGAAGGAAAAGAGAGAGAACCGGAUUGUGUUCUCCUUGGCAGUCGAGGUUUCCUGGAGCUGCAGUGAAUUCAGGGCUGCAUGACAAAAUUUGGGAUUUCAGCCUUUUGGGAUUGUGAGUCAGAAUUGGCCCAAGUCCUGCGAUUAGCCUAGUGCACUUCUAACUGUUGCAAAUCAGGCAACCUAGGGGUUGGUAAUAACCAGGGUUGUCCACUGGCAGGCACCUCUCUAUGACUGAAUGGUGCCCCAAGCUUUUGAGUUAAAAAUUGUGUGGCUCUGUAUUGUAUUAGUUUGCUAGGGCUGCCAUCACGGGGUCUACAAACAUGAUGGCUUCUACUGCACAUAUCUAUUGGUGCUUAAGGAUGGAAGUUCAAGAUCAAGGUGUUGGAAGGGUUGCUUCCAUCUGCAGGCUGUUAGAGUCUGUUCCUUUCCUCUCCCAAGCUUCUGGUGCUCAGUAGCGAUCCUUAGUAUUCCUUGGUUUGUAGAAGCAUUACCCUCAUCUCUGCCUUCAUCUCAUGUUUCUUUACCUCCUGUCUGUGUGUGUGUGGGUCCGAAUUUCUUUGAAAGGGCACUGAUCCUAACUUAACGAAUUACAUCUGCAGUGAUCCUAGUUUCUAAAGAAGAUCCAUUCAGAGGUACUGAUGUUUGGGGCUUCACCAUAUGAAGAUGGGGGGCAAGGGACACAGCUCAACUCGUAACAUAACCUCUAGAUUUGUCCUUAUUGUCAUAUGCACGGAUGAUAAGGUUCUGCUAUACGUUGCUGAGAAUUUCUCAGAAGUGUGGAAAUUGGUCAUAAAGAAAAAAAAAUCCUUAUGCAGCAAAUAGCACUAAUUUCCUUUUUGACAUUUCAGGGAAGCUUUCCGCAGAGUGAGAUGGCUCUGAGCUGGUGGAUGCAAAUCCUGUGCGAGAGCUCCUUCCUUUUGUUGCAUUUUUCCGAAGAUUCUUUUGGCAGCACUGGGCUGAGUCCAGAUGCCUUCCGCGUCAGGUGGUUUAAGCAUGUGUGUACACGAUCGGGCACAGGGUUGUGCGAAGCCAAUUACAGUUGGAAACAGUUGCUUAGCUGGCAAUUAGCUUCCUCACAAUCUCGAAUUAUGCUGCUUUAAAUUAAGAUUGUGCAGAUUUGAGUUGCUUUGAUAAUUUGCAAAGGCCAUUUUGGGGCAAUCACUACAAAUGUAAUCUUCCAGUUAGGAGGUUUUCUACCUCAUACCUGCUUUGUUCAUCAGAUUGCAAGCUCAUCUUAAAGAUUUAUCCUAUGCCUUCUAAACCGAAGGCAGAGUGCUUGCAUUCCAACCAGGUGAGGGGCAACACAGAGGCAGAAGCCUGGCUCUUUGUCUACUUCUGACUGCAGCUUUCUUGAGGGCCCACUUCUGGCUUGGUUACUGUUUACUUUAGCGACUCAGGUGAAAACAUGCAGCAGAUAAUCUUGCGUUUUGUAGAAAAUCUGAGGUUUUGCAAGAGAAUGAACCUCUCAAAAGUGAGUCCUGUUGUUUAAACAUGAAGUAGUAUUCUCUUAUUAACCCAGGCCAGCUGAGACAAGCUUUUUAAUUAGCCUACAAAACAGAGGAAAAUGCAUACGGAAAAGGAGGUAGGGUGUACACAGCAGUCUUGGAUGUUUAAAAAUCACUCUAUGGCUAUCAAGAUUCAGAUUCAAGCAGACAAAUGGAUAGCAGUAUUGUCAGUUCCAGGUGAUGGACCUCUUACCUUGAUACAUCAUCACACCAGUGCAUCUAGGGGAACAAUGUUACACGUUCCCUCUUUUAUUGGAAAUUGCACAAAUGUUCCAUGCAUAUUGGGAGGCUCACAGGUGACCAGGAUGCAAUUGGAUGGUUUUCCACAAAGUGAACACAUGUAUGUCACCAGCAUCCAAAUCAAGAAACAAUAGUUGCAAGUGCUCAAAAGUUUGUGAUUUUGUGAUCGCAACUAAAUCUUGGGCCUCACCGCUGCCUCCCAACCCCCAUGCCUCUCUGCUAGCAGUAAACACAUUAACAUCGUGGUGUUGUUUAUGUUGCACAUUAACUUUGUGCGGUUUUCAUGCUUCUCCUCUGUUCUGCUGGAGGGUGGGUUUAGCUCCCUUGAGCUGAGCCUUCUGGUUGUUGGUGGGACAGAGAGCAGACGUGGCCUUCAGUGCAGCCAAGCAAGGUCCUCCAGCUCCUGUCUACCUUCUCCCUCUUCCCACGGGCCAGAGCUUCUGUGCUACCUUGAGACCACCAGGGGCUGCUCCUUCACCUCCAGGUGUGUGCCUGUUGCUCACCCCUGGCAGACCCCAGCUCCUUUGGCUCAUUGCUACUGUGCUGGUUUCCUGCAGCUGCUGUAUGGAAGUGUCACAGAUUGGGUGGCUUUAAACCACUGAAAUCUCUUCUCUCACUGCCCUGCAGGCUGGAAGUCAGGAUCUCGGUGGCAGCAGGGCGGAGCUGCCUUCCACGCCUCUUGCAGGUUCUGGCAGCCCUUGGUGUUCCUUGGCUUUGACAGUGGAACUCCGGCCUCCGCUGUGUACACCUUAACAAGGCGGGGCCGUCUACUCUCUCCAUCUGUGCCUCUCUGUGUCUUUGCAUGGUGUUUUCUUCUUCAUAGGACACCAUCAUACUGGACUAAGGCUCACCCUACUCGAGGGUGGCAUUACAGCACCAAAACUGUCUUCUUUUCCAAAUAAGGCCCCACGUUGAGACCUUAGGAAUUAGAAUUCUGGAGAAUCUUUUUGGGAGACUCAAUCAGCUCAUAACAUGCAUUCCCCCCUUUUUGGUUCAAACAUCUCUCUGAAGUCUUCUGGUGAUAUUCCUACCCCCAGCAUCUGGCUCUGGUGUGCCUCUGGACAUUAGAACUCCUCCCAUUAUAACACUCCCCAGCAUUUCCUAUAACGAUUUCUUUGUAUUUACUGCUGGUCUCCUGGCAGAGAGAUGUCACAGAUAGUUCAGUGCAUUUUACAGGCCCCCCCCCCCCCCCAAAUUAUCAGAAGCCUAACUUUACAGAAAAGUGGACAUCUGUGCAUUUUGAUGUAACUUAAAAUACUGCUACCUGAAGUGUUGUCAUCAUCAUCAUUUCUUUGGUGAUGGGGGAGGACAAGAUGCGAUACUUCCUGGGUUAUUGAGCUCUACCCCUGUCCAGUUUCUGGCAUCAUGGACACAGUUUCUGAAUCCUUGGCUUGAACACCCAUGAUUGUUGAGCAGAUGUGGCAUCAGUGCCUUCCAGGAGCGUAAGGAGCUUACCGAUGCAGCAGUUUAAAGACUGUUUACUGGCCGUGGUAACAUUACUUCUGGAUGCCUGUCUUAAUUCAUUUUAGAUUAAUCUGUCUUGUAGUUCGAGGGAAAAUGAAUUGAGUCAGUAGCUUCAAGACUUAUGUAAAAUCUGUACAGUGCUAAAUAAUUGAAUGGGGUUUUAUGUACGGUCUUGAAAUUGGAAUGUCAAUUUGACACAAAUGCUCCAAAACAGAGUGUUAGAUGAGUUGAUGUGUUCCUCACAGAAAAGCUGUGAAAAUUCCAGUCCUAGAUCACCAUUCCCCUCCUUUGCGGACUGUCUCAGGCCUGUUUGUUUUCCUUGAGGGAUGCUUCCUCUGGGGGAGGUGUGUCUGCAGGUGUCACUGUUAGGCUUGGGGCUGCAGUUUAAGGGUGCUGGUGACCAGAGUUGAGGGUAUGAAGAAGUACCUGGUGAGUUUCUUGUUGCUUCCUGGGCCCCAUUCCAGAGUCUCUGACUUGGGAGUUCUGCUGUGGGAUGUCCUGCAGAAAAGUCCUUUGGAACUGACAUCCUCAGACUACAUUUUAAAGAAAUAUUGGUUGAGGGGAUGCCAGGUUUUGUGUGUGUGUGUGUGUGUGAGAGAGAGAGAGAGAGAGAAAGAGAGAGAGAGAGAGAAAGGGGAAAUUCAAGACUAUUUCUCAUGAAGUGCAUUUAUUGCAGCCACGAAGCUUGAAAAUACUUUUGGGUGAGGGAAAGGGCAUUUUGCCAAUUCAAAGAAAAGAAAUUCUUGAGAUUUCCCCUAAGACCUGUUGUGGGCGGAAGGCUCUGAUUGCUAUCUGAAACUAAAUUUGAAUCUUAUGACUAAUUCCUAUAAGCCCAUUCUACAGAUGGGAAAUAUUUGAGGCUCAAAGAGCUAACAUUUGUUGAGCACUUAAUACAUUAAGUAGCAUCAGUAUUAAUAGUUACUUUUAUUGUCAUCACUGUGUUUAUUUCAUUUAACCUGGAGAACAGCCCUGUAAAGUAUUAUCAUUGCCUUUUUAGGUAUGUAAAGAAAAGAGGUAAUUCAAGCAAUUCUCGGGGUGGCACAUUCAGUUUGUGACCAGCUUUCAAGCAUAGGUCUGUUUGAUUCUAUAUCUAUGAUCUUUUCUAGGGUUGCCAAAUAAAAUAUAGAAUCCUCAGAUAAUUUUUAAUUUCAGAUAAACAGUAUAUUUUUAGGAUAAACAUAUUCUAUGAACUAUUUGAAUAUGCCAAAUAACUAGGGGAUAUUACUCAUACUAAAACCUUCAUUGUUUAUCUGACAUUCAUCUUUUUUUAUUUUUUAUUUAUUUAUUAUUUAUUUUUGACAUUCAUCUUUAACUGGGUGUCCUGUAUUUUCAUUUGCUAAAUCUAGCAGUCCCAUACUGAUGUGUGGGUCGUGGGUUUUUGAGUUGUAGGCAUGUACCCUUCUCACUUCUGACUCCAAGUCCAGCCCUCUUUUCUUAAGCACCAUGUCUUGCUCAUACCUAACACCAGGUCUCUGCUGUGUUCUUUGGGGUGAGAGUGAGUGGCUUGUCUAACACACACACACACACACACACACACACCGUAGAGACAACACAGCCUAGGCCAGAAUAGUGUCUGUUUCACAUCAGUGAACACAGACAUGGCACAGACUUUCGUACCUACAACAUGGAUAUUUCCAUCUGCUUAAAGAGCAAGAGCCUGGCAGUUUGCUUCUGAGUGAUAGAAAGAAUGAGAGUUCUGCUCUGCUGUGACAAAUUUAGGAAAAGGCUUUCAUUUUAGGUAAGACUAGUGUCAGAACAGUUAGAGGAAAUUAACAAAUGGAGCAGCAGAACACCCCACAGUAAAAGUUUUACAAGAAACACACUACUAAUUUUUUUGAUUAAUUGUAAAUUGAUCACCCAUUAGUGCUGGUACAACAUACAUCAUUCUUUCAGGCUGCCCUGGGAGGGUAGUUAAUAUCAUCCCAUUAUAAAGAUGUAGAAGCUGGUAGAGAAGUGAUAGAUGCAGCCCGAGAUCAAACAGCAGUGGUGUGCAGAGCUAGAAUUUCAACCAGGUGUGUCUACACCAGAGCUCUGUUUCUGGCGCUCUGAGCUGCUCUUGAGUUUGGAGCCUUCUGCAUAUGCAAUGCCCCUGCACACUGCCUUGUCAGACGAUGUGCAGGCUUCAAGGGACCGCAGCCCAAAGGAUGUUGUAAACUCUGACCCAGGGCCAGUGCGGAAAUCAGGUCUCUACCACAGGUUCCAACAACUUCCUCUAUUGAAUUGUAAGAAUAGCAGCUUCCUAGGAAAGGGGACACUCCUGCGGAGACUUUUGACACCUGUGGCAAACUAGGAAGCCCCAGUGACUUCCUCAGGUUUAGACCUUGACCCUGCAGGGGAAAAAAUAAACAGAUGACCAUCUGUCGUCUUCUGUGUGCAGCAGAAAGCUGUCAGCAGCCUUCUUAACUCUUGAUGGUUACAGAAUAGCUUUGGGCUUAAAGUUGACAUCUGGCAUGCACGUCGCUGAAGAUUCCUUACUUUGGGCGAGAGCUUGUCAAGACCUCCAUCCAUGUGCUCUCCUUAUUAGUGAAUGCCGGUGAAGCGCUUUAAAGGAAGGAAAUGUGAGUGGGUAACUCUUGCUCUGUGAGGGGGAGCCCUGAGCUGGAGCGCAGGUCCUUGGAGGAGCCUCCCCUGGGGCUCCUGGACCACCCUCUGCCCUCGCCUCUCAGACCCUGGCGCCAGGGUCAGUGUGUCUCAUAGUCUCCGUAUUCUCUGUGGGACUCUUGGCUGCCACCAUAGUACUCCCAUCUAGAGCCAAUAUAAAAGCAAACUGUUCCUGUUUCCACGUGCUGAAUCGGGUUCCUUGAAUACAGUGAGAUCCAAGGGCAGUGCGGAAUUUGUCUCUGAGUGAUUGUUGUUUGAUGCCAUAGAGCACGUCAGAGGGAACUUGAUCUUAGGAAAGCCAAAUGAAAGCCCUUAGGGGACAGAGAGUGGGAGGGCAGUGCAGGAAGAGAAAGAUGUGUAGGACUUGGGAGUCAGACAAAGCAGUAACAAUCACCUUCUACAUAUGUGGCUUUGGGUGAGUUGUCUUAGCUUCUCGGAACUUUGGUUUCCUUAAUCUGACACAGCAGUGGUAUUGCUAAGGUCAGAGAGUCCCAGGAAUUAAGUCAAAUAUUGCAUAAAAGAUGCUAGGCCUGGUGACCCAUACCCAGGCUUCAUUUACUCAACACGGUUUUCCCUCCACAUACUCUAUUGCAAGGGAUCUUCAAAAAGGUCUGGGGCCUUGGGGUUCUGAUGCUUUCAUCCCACAUUCAAGUGCCUGGGUUUCAUUUCUGCUUCUGGCGCCUGACUGUGGCUGCUUAUCCAUGUGGACCCUGGGAAACUGCAGCUGAUGGCUCAAGUAGUUGCAUUCUUGCCACUCACAUGGAAGACCUGGCUCUGGUCCUGGGCUAGUACUGUCCAUUUCAGGCAUUUGGAGAGUAAAUCAGAAGAUAGGAGCUCUUGUCCUUCCCCUAACAUCUGCAUGGGAGACCUGGUUGGAGCUGUAGGCUCCUGGCUUCAGCCUAGCCUAGCCCUGGCCAUUUUGACCAUUUAGGAUGUGAAUCAGCAGAUGAAAGAUCUUUCCCUCUAUGCCACUCUUUCAAAUACAUACAAUUAAUCCUUUAAAGAAAUUAAAGGUUCUUGGGAAAUGCAUACUGUGAAAAAAACAAUAUGACUUUCAAAAUAUUUUAAAAGUUUUAUUUAUGGAUUAUUUCAGAAACAGAGAAAUCUUCUAUCUGCUGGUUCACUCCCCAAGGGCCCACGACAGCAGGCCUGAGCCUGGUUGAAACCAGCAGCCACUCAAUCUAUCUCCCAUGCGGUGGCAGUUCCCAACUAUUUGAACCAUCACCUGCUGCUUCAGAGUGUGCGUUAGCAGGAAGCUGGAUCUGAAGUGCAGUGAGGACUUGAACCCAGGCACUCCAGUAUGGAAUUUGGUCUUCCCAAGUACCGUCUUUUAAUUAAUUUAUUUAUUUUUUAUUUAUUAUAUGAAAGGCAGACUUAUGCACAGGCAGGAAGAGACAGAGCAGAAAGAGAGCAAGAGAGAGAUCUUUCAUCCAGUGGCUCACUCCCCGGAUGGCCGAAACAGCCAGGGCUGAGUCAGGCUGAAGCCAGGUCCCAGGAGCUUCAUCUGGGUCUCCCAUGUGGGUCCAGUGGCCAAAGCACUUGGGCCAUCCUCUGCUGCUUUCCCAGGCACAAAAUUAGCAGAGAGCUGGAUCAGCAGUGGAGCACCCAGGACUUGAACUAGCACCCAUAUGGAAUGCCGGCCCUGCAGGUAGCAGCGUUAUUAACCCUGUGAACUACAGUGCCACCACCCCACGCCCCAAGUAGCAUCUUAACCCCUGUGCCAAAUGCCUGUCCCUCAAAAAUUUUUGUAGCAAGAUAAACUUAUCUUUUAAUCCCAUUUUCCACAAACUUCUUGAAUUACCCUUGUAUGCUAGACGGAAAUGGAUUUUAAUUCACAGAUAUUUGAUUUCAUAGACACAUUGUAAAAUUAAUGCACAGCUAUUGCCUGAUUCUUGAAAUUCAUUCAUUAUUAUUUUUUUUUUUUUUUGACAGGCAGAGUGGACAGUGAGAGAGAGACAGAGAGAAAGGUCUUCCUUUGCCAUUGGUUCACCCUCCAAUGGCCGCCGCGGCCAGCGCACCGCGCUGAUCCGAUGGCAGGAACCAGGAAAUUCAUUCAUUAUUAUUCAGAGCAGAAACAUUUAGUUGGCACCUACUAUGUUCCAGCCACUGCUCAAGCCGUUGGGCAUAGAGUAUUAGCAAGACAGGCAGGAUUCCUGUCACUGUACAGCAUUGGUCCUAGGCAGGCACGUGGGUGACAGAUAAGUGAACAGAGGGACUGUGCCUUUGAUGUCGGGUGCAGUCCCAAAGCGGGCAAGGAUCAGGAGUCCAAGGACACUUGGCUGUGGUAGCUGGUGAGGACCUCACUGAGGAGGUGACGUUUGAGCCCAACACUGUUUGUGUUGCACUGGCUUCCCAGCCAUAACUGACAAGUAUCCACAGCUGCCCAGAGACAGCCUCGCUUGCAUGUGCCUUAUUGGCCCUGGCUUUGGCUUACUCUGCUCUUCUCUCGCUCCACGGCUGUCCUCCCAGUGUCAUCUUACUGAACGGAGUUGAGUUACCCCACCGAAAGCUGUCAUUAAUCUUGUCCUCCCGUUGGAGUGUUACUGUAAACCUUGGCACCCAGACAGCCUGUCGCAGACGUAGCUUCCAGCAGAAGGAGAAACCGAAGCCCGAGAGAGCGAGAUGGGAGCCGAGAGGCCUUACACAUUUCAUGAGGUGCCUGGAGUCCCUGGCAGCACCGGGGGCCGCUCUGUUGCUGCUGAGAGGCGACGCCGUGGGCCCACGGUGCUGGAAGUGUCCCAGCCCAGUGUGCUGCACCAUGUAGACAUGCCCCCUGUGGACCUGAAUGCUAACACGCCGUGGCAUCGUGUCAACGCUUCUCCAUCCAAACAGAUGAGAUGGAUUUGGGGAGGCCAGGCAGACAUGGUCAAGUGAAAUUUACGUUGGAUUACUUUGUAAACAGUCACAGUCGGAAUUCUUCCCAGCUGGUGGUCGAACUGCUGCUUUUUUCACUUACUUGCUUUGAUGCGAUAUGGGGAGAGGUGAAACGGAGGUUGGUGGGAGAGGGAGGUAAAAAAUCUGAAAACAUGCAUACUUCCUGCUGGCCCUGCCUCCCAAGAUCCAUCUCCGAUAAGCGUGAAAGACAUUGGUAGACAUGGAUUGCUCGAAGUUUCCAUCUGAGCUCGGGGAUUUGGCUUCACUUGUUCUUCAGCCCCAUCUGCAACUCUUGGCCACUUCCUAGAACACGGUUUCUCACCAGCCUCUUCCCUGCCUUGUUUUGCCCUAAAUGUUUUUGCUCCAGGCAGGUGUAGACCCAAUGUUGGCGGAUGCAAAUGUUGCACACCAUUUUGGAGCCACGGAGUGCUGGCUGGUAUCUGGUCUUUGCUGUGCUCCGAUUCUUUUUCUCUGUCCUUUUGUUGGCUUUGUUUCUGUGAACUGGAGUCACCCAUCUCCGAUGGCCUCAUUUUCCAGUAACGAAAAUGGGAGUAGGUGACCUAGCAGUUCUAUUUCUUUCUUCCAGGACUGAGGUAAUCUGGGAAAUGCAGUUUGGCUGCCAAGAAUUUGGCAUUUCCUAGACAUUCUGGUGGUUGAUGAGAACAAGAGAGGAGUGUGUUCAAAUCUGAGAGGUGUGUGUUUUUUAUUUAUUUAUUUAUUUAUUUAUUUAUUCCUCAAAGUAGCUCAGGAGGUGCUGUUUCCAGAAAGGACUGGCUUAUUUCUGAUGUCAGUAUUGUGAUGUGACCUCUGGGGCAUCUCCAUGGUGAUCCAUGGGCCACACUCUCUCACAUAUGUUGGUUUCCAAACCCACAUCUUCUGGGAUUUCCACAUUAAUCCUUGCUUCCUUCCCUAUUCCCUUUUAAAUGUCCUGGAUGUCCCACUACUUGGAAUUUUUCCUAAUGGUAUACUCCUAUAGGUAAGAGAUGACCUAUAUCAUUAACAAAAAUCAGAGGCAACACUUGCUUAGCAUGUCUUGAUUCUAGAAACUAAGGAUUUUUAUAUAUUUUCAACACAUAGCAUUCUUUUUUUUAAGAUUUUAUUUAUUUAUUUGAGAGAGGUUUACAGAGAGAGGGAGACAGAAAGGUCUUCCAUCCGCUGGCUUACUCCUCAAAUAGCUGGAACAGAAGGAGCUGGGUUGAUCUGAAGCCAGGAGCCAGGAGCUUCCUGCAGGUCUCCCAUGCAGGUGCAGGAGCCCAAGCACCCAGGCCAUAGCAAAGAGCUGGAUCAGAAGAUGAGCAGCUGGGAUAUGAACUGCCGCCCAUAUGAGGUGCUGGUACUGCAGAUGGAGGCUAAGACUACUAUGCCACAGUGCUGCCCUCCCGCUUAUCCCCCCCCCCCCCCAUUUCUUCUAAAAAGAACAGUGUGAGAUAAGACUAAUAGUAUCUCUAUUUCCAGAUAGGACCCUGUAAAUAGUACGAUGCUGUAAAAUUUAUGUGAAGUUAACUAAAGACAGUUCUUAAAUUGCAGCUUUUUUUUAAUUAAUAAGAAAACACUGAAAAAUAACCUAGUUGAUGUGUCUAAUUAAAUACAUAAUGUUUUCGCUUCCAUAUUAUGGGAUAUUGUGUGUAGCUUCAGAAAAACAGUAUCAAAAUUUUAACUUAUUAAUAAGAAAAUUUCCAUGUUAUAUGAAAUGAAAGCAAGUGGAUCUGUAUACAGAGUAUAGGAGGGUAUUUCAAAAAGUUCAUAGAAAGUGGUAUUAAAGCAUGUUUAUUUUCUUGUAGCAAUUUUUAUGGUCUUUGCAUAAUUUUUCAUAAUGUUCAUCGUCCAUGAACUUUUUGAAGACCCUUCAUACUAUGCGACAACUGUGAAAGGGGUUAGAGGGAAGAUGAUUGUGUUUCAUAAUUUCUAGACCAUUACCCAAGAGAUUAAUGAUAGUGAUUAUCUGUGGUAGGGAGGAGCCAUGCGGUAGAUGAGAGAGGCAGGUAGAAGGGAGAUUUCCUUUCUUUCCAUUAAUUUAUAUGUGCAUAUUUGUUGUGAAUCAUGUGAAUGUACUGUCUAUUCAUGACUAACAAGAUAAAUUUAAAAUAAUAAUAAUGAACCUCACUGAAGCACUAUUAUGUGUGAAACAUAAACAAACCGGCCCACAUCAUAGUUUCAGCAACCAGAAACGACAGCAGGCACACACGUUUGUUGAUGCAGACACUUUGCACAUAUGAACUGAUCCCAGCAGCCUUGAUGUGAUCCAUGUUCCUAGCUCUCUUUCAGAGAAAGGAAACUGAGGACUGUUGAGCAACAGCACCAGCCUCGAGGUGAGGAUGGCCAGCUCAAAAGCUCUCUGCCACUUUCUGCCUUGUCCCUGGAUUCACUGUGCCCGUCAUUGGGCAAAUUAGAUCCAAUCAACCUGAUCAAAUUACAAAUUAUAUUCUUACCUUAUAAAUUUGCCAUGUUUUUUUUAAACAAAUGUGUCUCUGUAGUUAUGUUUUUCUUUGUUUCUUUGAAACUUUAAUUUUAAACUACAACUGAAGGCUGGUGCUGCGGCUCAGUAGGCUAAUCCUCUGCCUGUGGCGCCGGCACACUGGUUUCUAGUCCCAGUUGGGGCUCCAGAUUCUGUCCCAGUUGCUCCUCUUCCAGUCCAGCUCUCUGCUGUGGCCCAGGAAGGCAGUGGAGGAUGGCCCAAGUGCUUGGGCCCUGCACCCGCAUGGGAGACCAGGAGAAGCACCUGGCUCUUGGCUUCGGAUCAGUGUGGUGCGUCGGCCGCAGUGGCCAUUGGGGGGUGAACCAAUGGAAAAGGCAGGCCUUUCUCUCUCUCUCACUGUCUAACUCUGCCUGUCAAAAAAAAUAAAAAAUAAAAAAUAAAAAAACAACUACAACUGAGGCACCCUUGGAGUAGAUUUGUGCUCUAGACUUUUUGGGCAAGAUUCAGAAUCUUGGACAAAAUUAUAUCCUAACCUGGGGUUGUACAGUGUCUUUUUUUUUUAAAAAAAAAUUAUUUAUUUAUUUUAAAGGCAGAGUUACAGAGAGUCUGAGACAGAGAGAGAGAGAGAGAGAGAGAGAGAGAGAGAGAGAGAGAGAGAAAGAGAGAAAGAGAGAGAAAGAGGUCUUCCAUCCACUGGUUCACUCCCCAGAUGGCCACAAUGGCUAGAGCUUGUCAAUCUGAAGCCAGGAGUCAGGAGAUUCCUCUGGGUCUCCCAUAUGGGUGCAGGGGCCCAAGGACUUGGGCCAUCUUCCACUGCCUCCUCAGGCCACAGUAGAGAGCUGGAUUGGAAGUGGAGCAGCCGGGACUCGAACUAGUGCCCAUAUGGGAUGCUGGCACUGCAGGCGGUGGCUUUACCUGCUACGCCACAGUGCCAGCCCCAUACAUUGGCUUUUCAAAGUUUGUGAAGCUCUAAGGAACUGUUGGCAGGCUUGUGUGUGUAUUGAUUUGCAUGGGGUCAUUUUGCUUGGAUGGACGCCCCUGGUUUUCACAAAGAUACCAGAAACUGAAGACCUCUUUUCUUCCUUAGAAGAGGUCAUUGUCAUCCUCACAAGGAUGCAAUAGUUCUUAUGAUAGACAUGUUUUCCUUGACCAUUACAAUUUUUUUUAAGAAAUUGAAUUAAUUGCCAAUAAUACAAUUGGAAGGUUUCACAUAAAAAUCUAGAUUCUGUAAGUAAGAAAGAAAAAUUGAAAGAUUUGUCAGCCCUUGGUUGUAUUUCUACAUGGUAGCUGUGUUUGGGAGAGAAGUGUGGGGCCAAGUCCCUUUAGGGUUUGUCUCAGGCCACUCAGCAGGAGUUGCCACAUGCUGUAGUCUAAAUGGCAUUGGCUUAGGUUCAGAAGUGGGUUCUGGUCUCUUUUCUCCCUACAGCGACUCUGAACAUGCAUAAGUUUCACAGGUGACGAAAGUGAGACUCACAGGACGGCAUCAGCUCAAGUUGUACGUUGAAGCGAUUUAGAAUAACAUGAAAACUGAACUCCUGUUACCUGACUUCAUUCUAAUACCCUUUCCACUGUACUGCAGUUGUCUUCCACUUCAUUUGAAUUUCAUAACAUGACGAAUGACAAUCCAAGUAUUAUAUCCGUUUUACAGAUGAGCAAGCCAAGACUUGGGUUAACUCUGAAAAUGGAGGUGACUUUACUAGAAUCCCGAAAGGCCAGAGCUAGUAAUAUCUAGUCUUGGAUUUUCUGACUCCAGACACUAAGCCCUUUCAGUUGUACUCAGAAACUUCAGAGACUUCCAUGAAUUCUGAGACUCUUUGUAGCUGUUAAUGAUUCUAACAUGUUUGAUUGCAACAGAAGCAGGAGAGGUGAAGGGGUCCCCGUUGUUGAUGAGAAUCGGUAGCAAGUUGCCGAGGUCAACCAGACAACUUGUAAAAGGAGACCUGCCUUGUACAGAGCCCUCCUGGUGUGAGCGCUGUGCAGUCUAAGCUACCAAGGAGUAGAGAUGUUCUGAGGAAUUACAAAAAACUCUCCAGAGUCCUGUAAACCUAGCUGGACAUCCCUGAAAGGAUUUAACCCCUGUGUACAGGCCACAUACCUGUUACUAUUACUUUGACUGUUGUUCCCUAGAGUGCGCUGUUGUAUGCUGUGACUCACAGGUGGCUGCUUGAUGGGACCUUUCGUAUUCGGGGCCUACUGAUGGGAGCCAUAUAUUAGUGACCUAAUUUGUAAGGUUGAAUGUUGUCUAUAGUGAAUGAAGAAACAUAAGGUGUGCUGUUUUCUUGGAUGGCCUUUUCCUGUUGAAGAAUUGGAAGCCAUUCUACCAUCUUCACUCACACGUGAUGUAGGAGGAAAUGUGCAGAGAGAGCCUGUGAUCUUAAAAGACAGUUGGGUGGUGGUGAGAGCUCUGGGCUGCGAGCUAGUCCAUCAGAUUUAAUUGUUGGCUUUAUCCUUUCCAAUUUGCAUGACCUUAGAUUAUUUGCAGGUUGCCUCCCUUUCUCCCUCGAUUAAAAUGGGAAGAAUAGAAAAAACUCAGGUUCCAGCGACAGUCAACAUAUGUCUUAGGACAUACAAAACGGUGCCAGUGUGUUAGCUGCUGCUGUACUGCUGUUUUUAUCAUUGUUAAGAUGCCCAUUCUGUGUCAAAUAGAGCUUGGUCCCGAGAGCUAAGGAACUGGGGACCCAGGCAGCAAAGCUGUAAGUAUAUAUCCUUAGAGGUUAACAGUCAUCACUACCAGUAUCAGAGCUGCAGACACCCUGGGCUCCCCUUCAGUCACAAGGAGCAUUGCUAACACUUGAUGGUCUUGAAGUUGGCCCAGCCCCUUCACACAAACCCUCGCUGGCCAGGGUUAGGGGGAGGAACGGGAGCUUUGAGCCUCGAGUCCUGACCUCCGCUGCCAGCCUUCUUGGUCUCUGGGCUCUGUCUUCCCCACACCCAUGUAAAAGUGGGUCGACAAUAUCUUCUCCCAAGAUUGCUGGGAGGAGCAAAUAGAUAUUGGCUUGUAAAUGUUCUGCAGAAUGUGGUGGCCCAGUGAGUGCUCAGUAAGUGUCCAUGGCUCUCAGUACGCUUGGGAGUGAAAAAAGUCUAGCUUAAGAUCCUGAACAUGAAUAUCUUUCACGCUAGCUCCUUAAACAAAAUUGUUGCCCAAGAUCCUCAGCCUGUUUGAAGACCCAUAAUGCCAUUUGUGUAUUGCCUGAAGAAUGUGGGUGAACUAAUUGCAUCCAGGCAGGGGUUGAUUUGCUUGAGAUUAAAUCCAAAGGAAUUUCCUGGGUUUGUGAUGUAAGGGAAGCUUUCAAGUGCUGGUUAGAAUUCUCAGGACACUAACCCCCAGAUGCAGAGCCCAGACCACUGAGAUGCAAGUGACAGACGGGGUUGGCAGUGGAAGUGAGCUUCCUCCCUGUUCAGUGUCCCCCUUUAAUGACUGGAAGGUGUGGUGUGGCCCUGCUCUUCUCCCCAGCCAUAAGGCUUCAUUUUUUCCUAUCUUCUGCCUACCCUCUCUUGCCUGCAUUUGCCCUGUCAUUCAGUAAGUAUUUACCUGGCUCCUAAACAUUUAUCUAGGGGCUAAAUGUGUCAGGUUCUGGAAAUGCAGUGGUAAAACAUGCAUGCAUACACAUACACACUUGCACAUGCACCCCCCCAUGCACACACAUACGCACUUGCACAUGUUACCCCCCCCCCCCAUGCACACAGACGUGGACACACAAGUACGUGAGUCCCUGUCUUUGCAAAGUAUACCUUAUAGUUUGAGGAAGACAGGAAAUUUACAAAGUAAGAAAUAAAGCAUGUUUAGUCUCUUUAGCAUUGUUGUGGGUUUCCAUAUAUUUUUUUUUUCUGACUGCUAUUUGAGACUUGUGUAUUCUGUUCCUAUUCUUUGAGGGACUCCUAGCUUAAUUGCUUAAACUUAAAAACCCCUUCAAAUUAUAUUCAGACUGCCACUUACAAGGCCUUAGUUGUCCCAUACUGUCACAUUUAGGGAUUAUGGUUUCAUCUGCCAUUCACUACAAGUUUUGUAAAUAGGAAUGGACUUUUAGCCCACAUUGUAGUUAUCUGGAUUUGAUUCCCAGCUCUGGCACCUGACUCCAGGUUUUGCUAAUGUGGACCAUGGGAGGUAGCAGGCGGUGGCUCAGGAAAUUGGCUUCUUGCCACCCACGUGGGAGACCUGCAUUGAGUUUCUGGCUUUAGGUUUCCUGUCUGUCCCAGUCCUGUCCAUUGCAGUCAUUUGAAAAGUGAACCAGUAGAUGGGAUAUCGCUCUUGGUCUCUCUCUUUCUCAUCCUGUCUCUCAAAUAAUAAUAAUAAUAAUGAUAAUGAUAAUAAUAUAUUUGUAAGCAUUUUAUAAUUUGAUGGUUAUCUGGCUUUCUGUUAAUUGUGCUUUUAAAGGGAAGAAUAUAGUUAAUAUAAGAAAUGUGAAAAGUACCUAACUUAAGGUUUAUACAAAAUAAAGGGUGCUUUUUACUUCCACCAGUUGUCAAAUAAGUCCUGUUAUUCUGCAGGAUUUUUCUUUAGAAAUUAGGAUAUAGUGGGUUGGCGUGUUUGAUAUGGAGCAGUAUUUAUAUUGUAUCCAAAGUGGGCAAAAUUUACAUUUUGAACUAGAACAUGUAGAUCUGAUUUUGGGGCAAAUCAAAUAGGCUGGCAAUGAAAUUUUAAGAAGUCUAUAAAGUAUUUUUAAGUUUAUUGGAAAAAUCUCUGACCUUGCUAUACAUCUUGCAGGCUUGUAAAGGGUGCUUUUCUUUCUUUUUUUUUUAUUUUUCAUUUUGAAUUUUGACUAAAAGUCUAGAUUCUUGUAAACAUUGUGUAAGAGUUCUAAUGGGACCUAGGAAUUCUCAAAAUCUUAAUUCUUAGUGGCUUCAUGCAACUUUAACAAACACUGGGAAACCUACACAUUUUUUAAAAAAGAUUUUCUUUAUUUAUUUGAGAGUUAGAGUUACAGACAGUGAGAGGGAGAGACAGAGAGAAAGGUCUUCCUUCUGUUGGUUCACUCCCCAAAUGGCUGCAACGGCUGGAGCUGAACCAAUCUGAAGCCAGGAGACAGGUGCUUCUCCUGGUCUCCCACGUGGGUGCAGGGGCCCAAGGACUUGGGCCACCUUCUACUGCUCUCCCAGGCCACAGCAGAGAGCUGGAUUGGAAGAGGAGCAGCGGGGACUAGAACCAGUGGGCCUUCAGAGGCCAGUACCUGCCCAUGCAGAUACUGGGAGCCAGGAGCUCAAUUCAGAUUCCCCACAAGGAUGGCAGCCACCCAACUGCUUGAGCCAUCGCUGCUGCCUCUCAGGGUCUGCACUGGCAGGAACCUGGAACCUGGAGCUGAGAAUGAAGCCCUGGCACACUGACACAGAACCUGGGGGUCUGAGCUGCUUGGCCAAGGACCCUGCCUAUAAGCUGAGCUCUAAAAUAGUUCAGCAUGUCCCAUCACUUUGCCUUCAUUAAAUUUUUCUUCUUUAUUACUAACGUGAUGAACAUUAUUUAGAAAUAUUAUUACAUCUUAGUUGUAUUAUUUUUAUUUUGUAUAUAUUUAUAACGUACAUUUUUAUCUAGUAGAGUAGUGCAUGUAUAUUACCUAAAACUAAGCCUGUAUGUAGGAGCUGCGUGGUCGAACUCCAUUUUUGAAUGAUGGGUGAGUGUACAGUGGAGAAUUUAGAAGACCACAGAAUGAGAUAUCUUCCUGUGACAAGGGCCUCCCAGGAACAGGCUCAUUGUGUGUUUUAUUUAUUUAUUUUAAGAUUUAUUUAUCUGUUUGAAAGGCAGAGUUACAGAGAGAGCACAAGACACACACACACACACACACACAUAUACACAUGCAGAGAGAGAGAGAUCUCCUACGCACUGGUUCAUUCCCCAAGUGGCCUCAAUGGCCAGGGCUGAGCCAGGCCAAAGCCAGGAGCCUGGAGCCAGGAGCUUCUUCUAGAUCUCCCACAUGAGUGCAGGGGCCCUACUUGGGUCAUCCUCUGCUGCUUUUCCAGGCCAUUAGCAGGGAGCUGGAUCGGAAAUGGAGCAGCUCGGACUUGAAUUGGCACCCUGUGGGAUGCUGGUGCCACAGGCAAAGGCUUUACCCACUACACCACAAUGCCGGCUCCUAUUUUAGAAGUUUAACGAAUUAAACACAUUUGGAUUACUAAAUGAAGAAAACAUGCAGGACAAUGGGGAAUUACUUCUCCUUAAUCCACCCUUUCACUUCCUUGUCUCCAGGAUGUGUUGGACCCCCAGUUUUAAUUGUAUAGGGACCUUCAAAAGGUCAUAGACAGUAUAUAUAAUGAAAACACCAGCCGGCGCCAUGGCUCACUAGGCUAAUCCUCUGCCUGCGGUGCCGGCACCCCGGGUUCUAGUCCCGGUUGGGGUGCCAGAUUCUGUCCCAGUUGCUCCUCUUCCAGUCCAGCUCUCUGCUGUGGCCUGGGAGUGCAGUAGAGGAUGGCCCAGGUCCUUGGGCCCUGCACCCGCAUGGGAGACCAGGAGGAAGCACCUGGCUCCUGGCUUCAGAUCGGUGCAGUGUGCUAGCCGCGGCGCGCUGGCCAUAGCAGCCACUUGGAGGGUGCACCAAUGGAAAAAGAAAGACCUUUCUCUCUCUAACUUUGCCUGUCCAAAAAAAAAAAAAAAAAAAAAAAAAAGGAUGGUUUUCAAUUUUUUUUUUUUACUGAAAUGGACUUAUCUUUAGAGAUUUUGCUACCUUUAUAAGUACAGUCACUUUCUUUGUGUUUGUAGAACUGUGGUCUCUUUCCCUUCCUGUCUCUAAAAAGAUAAGCAUCUGACGGUGACAUCCAUGAUGUGAUGAUUUGUCAAGUGUGCUAUUUCCAGUUGCAGUUACUAGGAACUGCACGAAGGCAUUGGAAAAUGGCACUUGGCCUGUGCUCUGCUCUAUUCAGAUUGGCUGUUUUCCAAGGCCCCGUAAGAUCAAUGAUGCAUGGAGUGCUAAAGGGCAGCUGCAGGGUCAGGCAUAUUUACUGCUUGCUGGGGCAUGUUAUUGACCAAUAAGAAGUUAAACAGUGCCUAGCUCUCCUAGCGAAGCCGGUGCCUCUUCGGCAGGAAGACGCGAGAUCACCUCGGGCAACAUCCGUUUACACAGACAGACGUGUACAGCGGAACCCAGGCUUGCAAGCUCCAGGCAGCUCGUGUGUCUCCAAGAAUUCCACUCUAUCUGGGGGCGGUCGCGAAGUUCUGCCGCACCUCCGUGGUGGCGUGUGUGGUUUGCCUCUGCCUUCAAGGCAGACAGGGAUCAUUUCAUUUUGAAACCUCUGACCCAAGGUCACUGCAAGGUUUGUCUAGGUGACAUGUACUGGCUCAUGUUUCUCAUGCUAAUUGCCUCCAUCUUUCCCUGUGUCCCUUCUCUCCUUCCUUCUUUAGGGCCAUUAGGGUCUAUCCUAAAGGCCCUUGUGGUUUAAAAACUAGGUCCCCACUCCCUAUGAGAUAGCCCUUUCAUUUUUGUUUCUUGCAUUGAGGAUUACAUUUGUGUGAGCUUCCUAAAAAGCAAGAAUCAUGUGUUUCUCUAACCUCUGCCUUGUAGUGGAAAUUUUUGUCAUGUUAGAUGGUUUGUGUUUUGGGAAGGCGUAGAUCUGAAUAUCCCUAGCACUUCAAAAGAGUGUCUAACGCUGAAGUGUAUUUAGGAGUCCAUUAUUUCAUCACAUUUAAUACAGCCACAAAGAUGAUAAAUACAGCAUGUGCCUGAGGUACAGUCUCCAUGAAGCUUUGUACUUUCUGCUAUUCCAGUCUCUAUAGAAUCAAAGUGUAGGAGUUAAAUUGUGUGGUAUCUCAUAUAGAUUUAUCCAGAAUCAUCUCUCUUUAAAAUCUGAUUCAAAUAUUGACUGUUACUUAGGCAUUACUUAACUGCUUUUUACUGGUUUAGGCAGUGGGAAAUGUUUUGUGCAGAAUUUGGCUGUUUUCAGACCUAAGUAAGCUAUUGCAUUGUUUCUAAAUGAUUCUAUUAAAUACUAAAUUAAAUCAACCAGCAUCAUAAAUGAUGGUGCUGUGUAGUUAUUGCUGGGUUUUCACAUUCUCCUUUGAAACCCAGUUGGCUUUCGAUAUGCCAAACUCUCCAGAAUUUCUGAAAGGAAGAGGAAGAGUGAAUUAAUGUCUCCCAUGGCCUGCUCUGUCCCUGCCGUUGUGUUAUACAUAACUUAUACUCCUUCUUUUCUUGGAACUCCUGUGUGUUCCUGGCAUUACCUUCCUUUUAUAAGGAGAGAAAGAUGAGCUAGCUUGGGCGAGGCCACUCCUCUGUUAGGGAGUCUUUGAGCUAGAAUUAGAAUGUAGCGCUGACUUCUGUGCCUAUAAUUUUCCUGCUUCUGUUUCACUAAAGUGGACUCCUUCAGGUUCAUUUGGUAUUGCGAGUUUGCCUUUGGUAACAAGUACCCAGGAGCACCUGUAAUACAGCUCUUGUAUAUUUGUAUGAUGGGCACAGAACUCUUUGAUAUUUACACUUUCUUGUCCUCAAGGUUAGCUUGAAUCCACUGACGGAAACAAUGUCCUCUUUAAAAAUGCAGAGUUUUGGCCGGCGCCGCGGCUCAAUAGGCUAAUCCUCCGCCUUGCGGUGCCAGCACACUGGGUUCUAGUCCCGGUCGGGGUGCUGGAUUCUGUCCCGGUUGCCCCUCUUCCAGGCCAGCUCUCUGCUGUGGCCAGGGAGUGCAGUGGAGGAUGGCCCAAGUGCUUGGGCCCUGCACCCCACGGGAGACCAGGAGAAGCACCUGGCUCCUGCCUUCGGAUCAGCGCGGUGCACCGGCCGCAGCAUGCCUGCUGCGGCGGCCAUUGGAGGGUGAACCAACGACAAAGGAAGACCUUUCUCUCAGUCUCUCUCUCUCUCUCUCACUGUCCACUCUGCCUGUCCCCCCCCCCCAAAAAAAAAAGAAAAAAGAAAAAAGAAAAAAGUCAGAGUUUCCCAAAUGCAGGAAUAGCAGGGGAUUCCCUGUCUCACUGAAGACCCUUUGCAGAAGUAUGAAACUGGUGAUCACAUGGGCAAGCAUUUGGCGGUAAUUGAAAAAGAAAAAAGGGUGCGUGUUCUUCCCUUCAAUCAUGUGAGGACCCAGCAAGCAGGUGCCAUCUGUGAAACAGAGAGCGAGCCCUCACCAGAAACCAAAUCUGUUGCUGCCUUGAUCUUGACUUCCAAGUUUCCAGAACUGUGAGCUGUACAUUUCUGUUGUUUAUCAGUUACCUGGUCUGUGAUAUUUUGUUAUAGCAGCCUGAAUGGACUAAGACACCAUCUAAGCAAAUUGAUUACCCUUCAAUUAAAAAAAAAUUUUUACUUUUUUAAAGGAAGAUUUUAAAAGAUUCUUUUUUAUUUUGUUUAUUUGAAAAGCAGGGCCGGCGCCUUUGCUCAUUAGGCUAAUCCUCCACCUGCGGCACCGGCACCCAGGUUCUAGUCCUGGUUGGGGUGCUGGAUUCUGUCCCAGUUGCUCCUCUUCCACUCCAGCUCUCUGCUGUGGCCCGGGAAGGCAGUGGAGGAUGGCCCAAGUGCUUGGGCCCCUGUACCAGCAUGGGAGACCAGGAGGAAGCACCUGGCUCCUGGCUUUGGAUCAGCUCGGUGCGCUGGCAGUGGCGGCCAUUUGGGGGGUGAACCAACGGAAAAAGGAAGACCUUUCUCUCUGUCUCUCUCUCUCUCACUGUCUAAUUCUGCCUGUUUAAAAAAAAAAAAAAAAAAAAAAGCAUGUUCACUCUCUCAAAUACCUGGAGUCACUGAGACUGUGGGCUGGGCUGAAGCCAGAAGCAUGGAGUUCAGCCCAGAUCUCCCACCUGGGUCACAGGGAUCCAACCACUUGAGCUGUCACUUACUGCCCUCUAGGGUGUGCGUUAGCAAGAACCUGGAAUGGAGAGUAGAGGCAGGACUUGAAUGCAAACACUGCAGUGUGGUCAGCAGGCUUCCCAAGUGGUAGCUUAAUCCCUGAGCCACACACCUGGCCAUUUCCCUUUUUACUUAGGAAUGGUCUUCAAAAAGUCCAUAGAGCGUGUAUAUUAUGGACAAAUAUGCAUGGAUUCCCCAAAUAGUUUAUACCAAAAUAAGCUUAUGUUUUAAUUCUGUCUUCCACCACUUUUGAACUACCUUUAUGUAAGUCAGUUUAACAGUUUGUUCAUGUUUCUUCUUCCUUGAUCUCCUCCCCAAAGCAGUUUCUAUUUGACUUUGUGACAUUAACUACUUGUUCUUUAGCCUAUAUUAAGAGCUGCCAAAUUAUGGCCCAUGGGCUAUAUGUGACCCUUACAAAAAAAAAAAAAGAAUUGUUAACUUUGGCCUAUAUUAAUGAUUUUGGCUUUAUUGUGUGUAUGCAUUUAUUUUAAGCAACUACCAAUCCUUCCUGAAAGUAGGUGGGGGUAGAAAUCUAAAUCUGUAUCUAUCAUUUUAUCCCAGUUGGUCAUGUUGAAAGUUUGGAAUUAUGCCCAUCCUAGUUUUUAUAGCAAUUUGUGAAAAACAGACAGACAUAGCAUGAUGACCAUACCAUACAGCAAAGGGCUAAUUAUUGCCCAGCUUCUGAUGUCACCACUUACAUCAUACAGACGAGCAGACAUGGACUCUCCCUCUCCCCUAAUGAGUGAGCUUCAUUGCAGUUGAGGAUUUGGAGUGCGGUGCCCUUUCCUUCACGUGGCAUUUGCUGCUUAUUGAUUGCCCAGGCACAAGGAGGUGCAAGUGUGACACAGAGGAAUGACUGACAAGUUUGUGCAAGGACAGAUAAGAUCACAGAGAAGUUGUCUAGAAUAAAAGUCGUGCUCUGUUGGCCUGCACCUGCAAAGGUACUGGUGGAAAUUUUAGCUGCUUCUCCUAUAAGAUGUUAACUGCUUGGCCCAUAAUGAGCCAAGAGGCAGUGACAUAGAUGGAGUGUUCAAUUGUGUUGUUAUAGGCCUCUUUACCAGGCCUGUUUACCCUUUACCUGUUGCUUUUCUUUUCUUCUCUCCCGUCUUGCUUUAAGAAAUACAAGAAUAAUAUAGUUUUGCAAGAGGUCUAAGAUAUUCUAAUAUCAAAGAUUUUUUUUUCCAGUUGCUGUGGAUGCAUCACAAAUUACUCCAGAAUUUACUGGCAUAAACAGCAGCUUAUUAAGCUGAUGGAUACUGGUCGGGGGUGUCAAGCUACGGAAAGGGCAGAGCACAAACGAUUUGCCUUUGCUUCCUCGUGGAUGGGGCCUCAGCUGAGGAGCUCAAAGACUGGGGCUUGAAAUUAUCUGAAACAGAGCUGUCUAAUAGGACUUCCCGUGAUGCUGAAAAUAUUCCAGAGUGGUGCCCCCUUAUCCACAUGGGGUACAUUCCAAGACUCCCAGUGGAUAUCUGAAACCUAGAACCAAGCCAUUUACUCCUAUACUUAAUAGUAUAUUAUUUAUUUAUUUUUUAAAAUUUUGUUUGGAAAUCAGAGUUCCAGGGAGAAAGGAGAGACUGAUAGAUAUUCCAAUGGCUGGUUCACUCCCCAGGAGACAGGAGAGACAGAGAGAUAUUCCAUUGGCUCGUUCACUCCCCAGAUGGCUGCCUUGGCUGGGGCUGGGUCAGGCCAAAGCCAAGAGCUUCCCACGUGAGCUGCAGGGACCCAAACACUUGGGACAUCUUCUGCUGCUUUUUCCAGGCAUUAGCAAGGGAGCUGUAUCGGAAGUGGACCAGAGGCUGGCGCUGUGGCAUAGUGGGUAAAGCCACUGCCUGCAGUGCCAGCAAUCCUGUAUGGGUGCUGGUUUGAGUCCCGGCUGAUCUACUUCCAAUUUAGCUCUCUGCUAUGGCCUGGGAAAGCAGUGAAAGAUGGCCUAAGUCCUUGGGCCCCUGCACCCAUGUGGGAGACCUGGAAGAAGCUCCUGACUCUUGGCUUCUGCUUGGCAUAGCUUCCUUCAGCCAUUGUGGCCAAUUGGGGAGCGAACCAGCGGAUGGAAGACCUCUCUCUCUCUGCCUCUCCUUCUUUCACUGUGUAACUCUGACUUUCAAAUAAAUAAAUAAAUCUUAAAAAAGAAAAAGAAGUGGACCAGCUGGGACUUGAACUGGCUUCCACAUGCAAUGCUGGUGUCUCAGGUCAUGGCUUUACCUGUUGUGCCACAAGUAUGCCACAAUGCUGGCCCCACUGUGUUUUUUCUUAUAUGUAUACACCUAUGAUAAAAUUUAAUAUAUACUAGGCAAAAUAAUAAUAGAUAAACAAUAACUGAUAACGUAGAACAGGUUACAUGGGGAGGUACGGCAAUUGGUGGUAAGGGUGGCUGUCUCCAAGACCUAUAAUAUCUAUCAUGAUAAUAGGCUGGCAGUAGAUAAGGGCCCGUUAGUUUAGACACAUAGUCUCUGAAGAAACAACAGGACAACUGGAUCUUAACUUUGCACAGGAGUGGCUAAGGUAUUUACCAAAGAAAAGUUAUUUAGGCAAAAAGUGAACAUUUAUGAAGGAACUUUAAAAAAGUCACAUAAAUUGCAUAUUAUGAGAAGAACUGAGUGUGGAUUUAAAAGUUUUUUGCAUUAAGGUAAACUUGCCUUUUACAACCUUAUAGAAGUACCUCCAUACAAAGGCAGAAAAGGGGGAAUAGCUAGGCUUUCACUGGACACGACUCAGCCCUGCGGUGUCAGGGGAAAAAAGAGUGUACAGCUGCCCCGUCAAAGCAUAGCCUUCCUAUGAUUAUAUGUCCCACUGGCACCAUGCGCCCUGAGAACCAGGCACAUACUCGGCAGGUAGCCCAUCCAGAAAAAUCCAUAGCCCAAGGGGGUAUCAUUGAUAAAUGACAGACAAGUUGCCUGUCAGCAGGAAGCGUGGAUUGGAUUAGAGGAUCCUGGGACCACGCUGACUUUUCUAAAGAAGAUCUGCCUCCAAGAGGACCAAAGAUGCCUGAACACAGGAUCAGCAUUGAAAACAAAUAUUGAUUGGACCCUGCUGGGGAGCUGAGCCAGAGUGGGUUAGAAUCUGAUAUCAGACAGUGCUGGGUGUGGAAAACCAUUAACUGUGUUGAUUGACCAGAAUGAAAGCUCCAUUUAUUUUUAAGAUCUCAAAAAUGAGCCUGAAAUACUCGAGUGUGUAGAAGGACAGAAUUGACGGUGAGAAUUCAAGACUGGGCAAAGGCAUCUGUCCCAGGUGGCUGCUGCUACUCUGGGCACUGGUCUUGGGAGAGUCUUCCAUAUCAGCUAUUCUGCAAAGCGUUUUCCGGACCCAUGACCGAUUCUUAAUGCUGUGCAAAAUCCGCUUAAUUGAAAGUGGAUGUCCAAACAGCUGAUGUUCUGUGGUUUUCAGAUUUGGGAUUCAGACCGUCUGCUGGGUGUUCUUAUUACACUGGUAGAAAAAUACUCUGGCUGAGUCUGAUUGCAUCUGACUGUUGACUGAGCUAGAAAUAUUUCUGUCACUGCCAGAUGUGUAAGAUACUGUAAAAGGAGCUUUUUCUCUAGCAAAUGAGAUUCGCUAGCUCUGUGGAUCUAGAUUGACUGAAGCAGCUCGCUGCUCCGUGGCUAAGGCUCGAUUUGGUUCAGUCAUUGCUUUGAAACACAGGCAUUCAGGAAUCUGAUCUAGAGUCCUUUCAGGGAAGAUUUUCAAAAUCUGCCACUUUUAUUUUUAAACCUAUGAUUUGUUUGUCCUUCGCUAUCAGCACUUGGCAAUAGAAUUUUUUGGGAUAAUGAAAUGCGCUCAAUGUGCCUGGUAACCAUGAACCAGAUAGGAACGUUGAGUCCUUGAAAUGUAGCUAGUGCAAAUGAGGGCUGCAUGUUUAACCUGACUCACACUGACAUAGCCCUGUGUGACUGGUGCCUACCCCUUGGAUCAGCACCGUUCCAGGAGCUGCUUUAGAGAUGGUAUUUGCUGAGAAGAGGGUAAGAACUGUGCUAACUCCCUAACUUUUCAGCAGUAUCUUAACUUGGGGUUUCUUCGAGAACAAAUCUCUGGAAAGAAGUAAUGGCUGGAGGUGCAGAAUAAGGAUUGAGAUGGAGCAUUGAGAAAGGGUCCAGUUCAGCUAUAAAAUCUGGCUUUUUUUUUUUUUUUUUUUUUUGCUUUGUUCAUUUUCCUAAAACAUGUUCCACAAAACAACUAGGGCAUUGCUAGUGGUCCCAUAACCAGAGAAGUUUGGGGAAGGCCAAGUUACUUUCACUUAAGCAGAUUUCCUUUCUGAAGCUUUUCCCAGACUUAAAUAUAUUGCUGCAAGUUGUGAGUGUCCCUUAGGGGCUAUUUGUGGUAUCGGUGCUAAAUAUAUUUUGUUUGAUCAGAGCCCCUUUUCUUUUUCUGGUGUUAUGUUAUGAUACAUAUGCAAUGAGUCUCUCUGCCACGGUAAAAGAGAAACAUGAGGUAUAUUAUGGAUGCUGUGUCCCUCUUCUGAGCUUAUACUUGUGAUUUGACUCUGAUCAUUCCAUCACUGUGUUUGCCUUAUUGGUUGACUCUUUGAGAAGCACAUAUCCACGUUGGCCUGGCUACGUUGCACAUCCCUCUAGGCCGGGUAUCGAAGUGGAUUUGAAGAGUUUUAGUAGCCCUUUUAGCCCAGGCUGUAACGUCUGGCACCAAAGCCUGGACAUAGCCAUUUCUUCUUUCUCUCCUGGGACGAGGGAAUACUUUGUACCUAUACUACUGCUGUGCCACUGUGGUUGACUUUCUGAGAGGUUCAGUUUAGUUCUUGUAGUUGGAGAAAUGCAAUCCAUCCAUGAUUGAUUCUCUCCAUCCUUCUCCCUCCCUUCCUUCUCUCCAUCUCUCUCUCUCUCUCUCUCUCUCUCUCUCUCUGGGCCUCAUUUAGAUGUGAGUAUGGAUGUAUGCCUAUUUUUCCAUUUUUAAAUAACAUGGUCAGCCAGCAAGAGACAGAGAGCCUCUCACAGCUCCCUGUCCCUGUAAAUGAAGUGAGAUGCAGUUAGUUACUAAAGGAAAAGAAAAGAAAGAAAUGCAAAAGUGUGCGGAGAAGUGUUUCCUCUUCCUCUCUCUCAAAAUUGUUCAAACUGAAACUCUGUCUUCCAAAGAAUAAGUGUCAUUCGGGUUCUGAACUGGGCCUGUUCUCUUUUUGGUUGGAAGGAAGUUUGUGCCACAGGACAGAAGUGAAACCAGCAAGGUGCUGUUGGUGCUGAGGGGUUGAGCUUUAUGAAAUGACAGCAAAGCAGAAAUUGUUCUGAUUGACAGUGUCCUCACUGAGGGGUGGUAGAGAAUUCCUGGAACAGGAGGCAUAGACAGGCUCUCCAGUUCUCAGCUCCCAUGCCAGCCUCACGGUCACGGCCGUCCGACUGCCAUGGAGGGAGAGCCAUCUCUCCUUCCUCCCCUUAGUGGUGAUCUGGCCUGUGCCCAUUAUCUUGUCGGGAGACAAAGGGUCUGCAGGCUGAGGGGAGCUCAGAGAGCCUGGGGAGAGAGUGCCUGGCUAAUGUAUGAGGCCUGGAAGCCUCUUAUUUGUUAAGAAGAUUCUUGAGUCUCUGAGGAAUGUAGUAAUCAGGGCUAGGGGAAGAUUUGGGGCCAACCCUUUGUAUCCUAAAUCCAUCUGCUUUAACUUUUUAAAAAAAAUUAAAAAGUUUUUUUCUAGCUAGUGGAAAAGAGGAGGUCCCAUAGAGGUUUAUUUGAGCAAAUAUUUGCUCUCCCUAAUUAUGCACCCUGAGCAGCUCUCCUGAAUGUUUAACGCAAACCUUAAUAUUUACAAUAGCAUAAGGAAGAGUUUAUGAUGUGUUUGGGAGGCUUCCGAUGUUGGGGUAAUAAUUCUUCUUUGCGCUUAUAUAAGACUUUUCUUCCUAAGAGACCUGAGCCGUGUUUACCUUAGCCACUGUUCGCACUGAAAUGAAGUAAGGGAGGUGAAAACUCUAGAGAAGGCAGGAGCCCCUGUGGGCAGCUGCAAACAUGUUUUAUAGGUGAGAUGCUUGUCUUUGCCAUAAGUUUUGAACUAGCUCCGACCAAAGCAUUUAGGAUUGCCUCCUGCUGUGCACAUGGUGAACGCCCUGGGGGCCGUGCUUGGCUGUUGACCCUAAUGGAGCUGUCUUCUGGCUCAGAUUUCUCCUCUAUGCCAGGCACAGUUUACCCCUUGUUCAUUAAAGACCGUGGGGUCUGGAAGAAAUGAAUUAGAAUCAUUCUCCAUCUUUCAUAUGGACCUUUGGAAGGUUGUUUGGGUGCUUCCUGUUUCUUACUUGUCCAGCACGUGUAAUAAAUGUCAUUCCCAUGUGGUUUUCGUGAAGAUUAGACAUAGUGCCUGGGUAAACUCUUGUGUUCAGGCAGUGGCUUUUACUCUCUCUGUCCUUGGAGAGCCUCUGGACAUGUCAGGGCCACCUUCAUUUUGCAGGUUGGGUAGCAAUGGACUCCAUCAUGCUUUCCAAAGUGUUUUUGCCAUGCCUGGUAUCCAGCAUCAUACAAAGAGGGCAGUUAUUCUGGGGUCCCAUCUUGCCACAGAAUUGCAGAGGAAGGAGUGAUUCUGUCUUACUCAAGCAAGGUGAUAAAGCAUGUUAUGUGCCCAAGACCUUAAGGUGAGCAGUGUAGACACAAGAUGCAUAGACUCAAUGCUAAUGUUCAGUAACCUUGUGAGUGGCUGCUUACUGCCAGAAUGGGUGCAAAUAGCUACAGAGCAUUUUGCUGUUGGGAAAAGCAUGUAUUUAGGUGAAUAAGAUUAAACAUUCCCUUUUUGGGUUGCUGGAAUGUGCUAUGAUGUCUCUUUGGCUCAGGAGUCUGCUGCGUUAUCCACUUUUUAGAUGGUUUGAUGGUUUGAUGGAAGCUGUGUCUGGCUUUGGGUGGUCUUGGUUUCUUAGAAUUUAACAUGAAGUCACUUUCUUCUAGUCUGCAGUCACUAAACAAAAUUCCUCUCCUUUCCUUAACUGUUGCUGUCUGCAAGGGUGGAAAACAAUACAUUUCUCUACAGAGAGAGACCCAAUCUAACUUCCAAAGGUGAAUUUGCUUUUGUCCAUUUUUCACCAAGCAAACGCAUUUGAUUGGUAGCUUAGAUGGUGUCACUUGAGCACAAUUGAUGGGGAAUCUUCUGGUGGGCUGGCACCUGUUGUUCUAGGGCAGGCAGCAAAUGCAAACAGAUAACAUCUCAUGCAGAUUGGUUCUCCUUAGUAUGAAUGUUGAUGUGGGAAGUGGACUUCCUGUUCUAGACAUUUCUUUUUUGAGGGGUUGAGUGAGUGACUGUUCUCAGACCCCAAUAUGUGACUUGGUAGGUGACAAAUGACUACCAACAGGGCUUCCCCCAAGUGGAACUUCCAUAUGCAAGGAACCCUUACAAACAGAAUGGACUUGGGGAUUGGCCGAAUAAGAAGAGCUAUUGAGCCAAUACUGCAGGCUCCAUCGUGAGUCCUAGGAAUGCCCCGAGGAGUCUGCUCUCAAGAAGAGCAUGAUCUGUUGUGGUACACAGACAACAGCCAUGGGGGCAAAAUUAAAUAGAUAAGUGUAGGGGAGUGGCGGUGGAGUAAAAGCAGGGAGAUCCUGUAGUAGGGUUUCGAUAUACUCUGGACCAGAGCAGCAUGGCUUAGAGCAGGGGGAAGCCAAGGGAGCUGGGGGAAAGAAUUUGCCUUGUAUUUUGGAAGUAGAGCCAGUGGGACUUGCCGGGUCUUGCUUCUGCUGUGGCUUGGCUGUGCUAUUUCACUUCUCUUUAAAACCUCCAUUUAUUUUUCUCUGUAAAGGGGAGAUACUCGGAAACCUCAUGGAGCUGUUGUGGUUAAAACACAAUAGGUUUUCAGUUCACAGUUGUUUUCUAAGUCCUCACACUCGUUUUCAGAGGCGAGUCCUCAUCCUAUCUCUGUGUGGCCACUGGGGGCCCAGAGUUGGUCUGACUCAGCACACAGAGACCACCUUGGCGUUUGGCAGCAGCUGGUUAUCCCCCCACAAGCCACCUUCUGCUUGUUGGGGCAGAAGUCACCCAGGGCAGCUUGGGAAGAAUCUCGUACAGGGGCUGUUCCUGACUCCGAGGGGCUGGAGGAUGCUGGCGGUAGGGUAGCUGCGGGUAAAUGGUGGAAGAGCCCACUGCAGGCCUGCCCUGGCUUGCGGCCUGGUUGGUCCUGUCUCCUCUUCCCCUAGCAACUACCAUUGUCUGCCCAUGCCUCGGUUUCUGUUUAGCACACUGGUUUGAAGACUGGGCUCUGAGCAUCCUUUGCAGUCACCUAGACUGCUGUUAAACCUGCAGUCUCUUGGUCCUACCUCAGACCCACUGAAUUAGAGUGAGUGACACUUCUCUAUGAGUUCCCUAAUGUAGUGAGCAGUAUACUCCCUAAAUUUUGGGCAUCUCUCAUUUAGGAAAUUUGAUUUUGCUUUUUAGAAUAACAGCUAAUAUUUAUUGAUGGAUAACUUUGGGAUACUGCUUGGUGUCUUACAUACAGUAACAGAAUUAACCCUGAAAAAAAUGACAUAAUAAAUAAAUAGAUACUAAUAUUACCCUUGUAUCACCGGUCAGGAAACUUAGUCAUGGAGUAUUUAAAUAAUUUGCUCCAAUACUGAUUGAAGAGCUAGUGUUACAACCCAAGUCCCAGGCUUGUUCUUGCCUGUUCUGCCCAGCCUCUGUUGAGGAGUGGGGUUUCAUGAAUGAGUUUUCCUAGUUUGAAGUGAGUGAGUGCUGGGUGACUUAACAUUAAAGGGAGCAAGUCCAGCAACAGGUAAUUUUGAAUGAAGCCCAGAAUUUGACUCGAGUGUCCCUUCUGCCCCCAGCCAGUUAUUGUAAGGCACGAUUCCCCUUCAUUCCAUUUGGUGAGUGGGACCCCACUGUACAGCCAUGCUUUUCACAUAGACCUUGCCCUGCUGGAGGGCUCUCUGUCCUGUGCUCUCCUGCAUGAUCAGCCCCUGCCUGUACAGGUGAUGCCACUGCCUUCCCCACACUUACGCUUGAUCUGUGUCUUGGAGGCUAUAGAAGGAGACAAAUCUGGGGAUUUCCCAGUCUGGAGAUUGUUGAAUGGAUUUUUGUUUCUUCUCAGUGCUUCCAGGUUAGUGUCUGAGAAAAGUUGGCUGUGAGAAGGGGACCAGCCCAAGCAGGUCUGAAGAUAGAAAUCAAUCAUUCCAUUCCUAGUACUUUCCUACCUCUGUGUCUUAUUGCUUCUUGCUCCCAUGGGGAAUUUGCUAAAGAACCAGCCUCACAAAUAACCAAAGCUGGAGGAAGAUUUUUGAGAGAUAUAUAUAUAUAUAUAUAUAUAUAUAUAUAUAGAUGGUAGGGUCCCUAGGAAAUAUUAUUUAGAACAGAGUGGGUGGGGAGAGGUUUCAACAAGCGUUUUCUCCUUGCAUCUCCGCUUCUGAACCUGUCAAAAAGUACUACUUGUACCCGAGACCAGUCCAAAUUUGCAUUUUUGAAAAUAGUUUUGUUUGCCUUAGUUGCACUUGAGCUGUGAUCACAUGGAAAAUCUGAAGUUUGAUCUUUAGUGAAAGUAAUUUUUAGAAAGAUUUAUUUCCUUGAAAAGCAGAGUUACAGGGUGAGAGGGCAUCUUCCAUCCACUGGUUUAUACCCUAAACGUCUACAAAGGCCAGGGCUGGGUCAGGGUGAAGGCAGGAGCCUGGCACUCCAUCUGGGUCUUCCACAUCAGUGGCGGGGGCCCAAGUACUUGGGUCAUCUUCCACGGCUUUCCCAGUCAUAUUAGCAGGUACCUGGAUUGGAAGUGGAGCAGUCAGGACUCAGAUCUGCACUGAUACAGGAAGCCAGCGUUGCAAGUGGUGUCCUAACCUGCUGUGCCGUGACCUCAGCUCCAGUGCUGUUUUUUCUCGGUACUUUCUGCUUAUAUGGAGGAUGCUUUGCUGUUGUUCUGGAGCGGAACAAAAUGUCUACGUAGGAGAAAACAUCUGUUCUGGUUACACCAGAUAGUUUCCUAACUCCUUGUUCUCUACACACUGGAUAGGAAAGUGUGGUGACCACAUGAGUAGUUUAUGGUGUUGCAAACAAGUAUCCUCAUGUACCUGAGGAUAUAUCCUUAUGUCCUGGAGAUAGCUUUCCCAGUUACACACUUGAAAGGAAUCGGUACAGUUGCUGGCUGGAGCCAUCACAGAAGGGACAGACAGCCCGAUGUGCAGGUCCGUGUGCCUGUCCCCAGGUGGUCAGCAUCCCCGGGAAUGCUGUGGGGGGUGGCAGUGACAGAGGAGUGUCAUCACAUUGUGUAGAGCAGGAGCAGGAGUGGCACAAGAGAAAGCAGGGAGAAGAGGGAACACAGGGAAAGAGAAAGGCCAGUCCUUGAUACAAAGCAAGGCAGAAAGAGGGGGCUUUGGGCACAGCGUGUGUGUGCGUGCAUGUGUGUGAAUCUGUGCACGUAUGCAGUUGUGGGGCUCAUUUUACACAUCACAGAAAUAAGUACUUUGUGGGGAGCAACUCGGACUAGACUAAGUUACUGGAAUUAAGACUUAUUCUAUGCAUCUGCUCUCCCACAAUAUGGCGCUGGGAGAGGAGGAAACAGCUUCUACACAGCUGCCUCCAGUUCAGCCAAUAAACAGCAGGACCUGCUCCUGAUUGGAGGAGAGCAGCGUACUCGGCGUGUGGGCAGCCGAGUUGGGAUUGGCGGAGGAGGACUAUAAAGGAGGAGAGAGAGAACAUGCACCAGGAACAUCUAAGGGGAACAUCUAAGGGGAACACCUGUGCAGCCGCCGAGAGAGCCGGCCGGCGGUGUGCCGCUCCCCUGCGGAAGUGGGGAAAGUGGCCAGGGGGAACUGCCCUUCCACGGAGGUGGAAGGGACAGCAGCCAACCCGGGAAGGACCAGCAGCAAACCCGGGGAGGGCCGAGCAGACAAAAGAACAGCGCAGGGUUUAGUGUCGUUCCUCCAUGAAGAGGGGGAGUGACAUAAUGGUGCCGUGACUCGGAUAUGAAGCCUAGGCAGGGUUUAGUGUCGUUCCUCCAUGAAGAGGGGGAGCGACAUAAUGGUGCCGUGACUCGGAUAGGAAAUCUAGGACGGAUAGAAAACUUAGGAGGGAAGAAAUGGGAAGAAAUGGGAAAAUACUGGAGAGAGAGAGACUAGCAAACAGCCUAGGGAAAAGCCGGACGAAAAAGGUGCCAGAAAAAGCUAUUGAAAGCCUAGGCAUAGACUCAGAUACGGACUACAGGGGGAAGCUGGGAGAAAUCUCUAAGGUCGAAAGCGAAAGUGAAAGCUAGAACAAACAGACUUGGAUACGGACUGUGGGGAGAAGCCAGGAGAAAUGAGGGAGGAAUAUUGUUGGAAGAAAGCUUGGGGAAACAUACCGGGUAGAGAAAAAUGUUAGGGAAAUUGAAGCCGUGGGGGGCAGGCCGAGGCGGAGAUGAAAGCCACUUUGGGAUUCUCAAGUUAGCCCGGGAAUGGGGGGCGAAGAGUUGAAACCAGAAGCGGAAACGUAAGCCAGAUUGGGAUCCGUCUGAUUAGCCCGGGGAGCAGAGGACAGGAAGCCAGAUCGUGGGGCGGAAACGUGAGCUGGGUUGAAUUCGCCAGGCUAGCCCGGGGAACUUAGAUUGAAUACUAGUGGCGGAGACGUGAGCUGGGGCUGUGUGACUUGCGGAGGCUGCCGCGCGCAGAGAGAGCGUGCGGGGCACAAGUAGAUAGGGAACGCUGGGCUAGUGCGAGACCGCGGAGUGUGCGCGCGAAGCCGAGCCGCGCAGAGCCGCGAAGCCGCGCAGAUAAGAGAAGCGGGCUGAAGCGGCUCAGCCGGGAAGCCGCCGAGAAGCAGCCUCGGGGCGGGCACCGGGAAGCCGCAGGGAUAAGAGAAACAGAAGUUUAGAAGUAAAAUGAGAGAAAUAGGAAUGCUGGAAGAUAGAAGCAAAAUGGGAGAAAUACGAAUGCCCGGAGAUAGAGAAGUAGAGAAAUAGAAAGGCCUCCCCACAACAUGGCAAUGAGAGAGCUUGGAUUCGGUCUGCCUGAUUAGGAAGGCGGUGAGCACCUGCGGGCGCCUAGCAGCUUAUGCGCCGCAGGUCACCGAAGACAGGCACGAAUUAACAUCAGUAAGGCCUCCCCACAACACAGCAAUGAGAGAGCUUGGAUUCGGUCUGCCUGAUUAGUAAGGCGGUAAGCACCAGCAGGCGGCUCGACCAGAGUAUGAGCCGCAGGUCACUGAAGACAGGCACGCAUCAGCGCCUAAAAACCUCCUCACAACAUGGCGAAGAGAGGACCCGGAUUGGGUUUGCCUGAUUGAUAGGACUUGUAAGAACCUGUGGCAACUCUAGCAAGCAGAGCAGAGUGUGUGCCACGGGACACCGAAGACAGGCGCGUAUGAACGCCAAAAAAUAAAAAGAAAGGGGGAUCUGUGGGGAGCAACUCGGACUAGACUAAGUUACUGGAAUUAAGACUUAUUCUAUGCAUCUGCUCUCCCACAAUAUGGCACUGGGAGAGAAGAAAACAGCUUCUACACAGCUGCCUCCAGUUCAGCCAAUAAACAGCAGGACCUGCUCCUGAUUGGAGGAGAGCAGCGUACUCGGCGUGUGGGCAGCCGAGUUGGGAUUGGCGGAGGAGGACUAUAAAGGAGGAGAGAGAGAACAUGCACCAGGAACAUCUAAGGGGAACAUCUAAGGGGAACACCUGUGCAGCCGCUGAGAGAGCCGGCCGGCGGUGUGCCGCUCCCCUGCGGAAGUGGGGAAAGUGGCCAGGGGGAACCGCCCUUCCACGGAGGUGGAAGGGACAGUAGCCAACCCGGGAAGAACCAGCAGCAAACCCGGGGAGGGCCGAGCAGACAAAAGAACAGCGCAGGGUUUAGUGUCGUUCCUCCACGAAGAGGGGGAGCGACAUACUUAAAUGCCCUUUUGUUCCUGGGGUGGGUGUGGAGUGCUGAAUCUCAACUGUUCAUUGGUUCUUUUUCAUUUUCACUCAGAACGUUAGAGUUACAUAUAGUAAUUACACUUCUAGUACCUCUUCCAAGGGAAUAGCCAAGCACUCAAGAGUCACCACUUCCGUUUUGCAAACAGGUGACAGUACAGUAGGUUUAUGUCGAAUUCUGUGUGCGAGCCGAGGAACUGCGGGCAGGGGAAGCAGUGAAUGCUUAAUCCAGAUUUUUGGAAAAACGAUUUGUGAAUCAGUUUGUGCAUUUUAGACUUGUUUAAAUCAUGCAUAUGAGAACUUAGUCAAAGAGACAGCAAUUGACUUUGUCAUGAGUUAGCAUAAAUAUUGACUUAACUGCAACCAGUAUAGCUCCUGUAUGCUGCUGUGUCAUAGUAUCAUUUAAAAUGUUAGAAAAGCGGCUGAAAUGGAUAAAAAUUAUUUUCUCAGGUUUUCAGGUCAAGUCUUUCUAAUGUCUUCUUUCUGAUGAUGUCUUGAUUUCCCCCCAGUUCCUCAUUUCUCACAGGCAUGAAUCUUUCUGUGGCUGUGUUGCCACACCAGGUGCUCUUUCUAUUCCCAAGGGCCCGUUCUGGAGGUCUCGUGCCAAUGUCGUCCUGUGUCUGUGCCCAGUGCUGCGGAAUCUUCCUGUAAGGACUGAGCUACAAGGUGAUAACAGGAAAGAUCGGAGCUUGCUAGAGGCUUUCUCCCUGAUGCUAUCAGGGACAAAGAAAAACACUAAUGGAAAGGGUGACUGUGUGCAUAGCACAAGGGAAGUUGUCAGGAGAGAUUGUGGCUUACGUCUGUGAGAGCUACAGUGUGAGUGAGCACGGGCUUGGUUAAUAUUGCAAGUUUAUCAGAACCGACUCUGUCCCCCAGAGAUUUGAUUUAGUGUGCUUGGGUUCCUUUCACUAAGGGUUUGGAAAAAGCUAACGAAAAAAUGUGUAUCAUGAAAAAACCAGGCAUACAUUUCAAAAUUUUUUUUGCACCCAAAUAAACUUACCUUUAUUUUGAAAAUGAAGUUAUUUAUGUGAGAGGCAGAGAGACAGAGGAAGAGACAGAGAGCGCUCCCGUCUGCGGAUUCAGUCCUCAGUUGCACAUAAUACCCAGGGGGCUGAAGCUGCAGGCUGGGAACUCAGUUCAGGUCUCCCAUGUGGGUGACAGGGACCCAAGUACUUGAGCCAUCGCCUGCUGCCCCUCGGAUGCCGUAUCACAGCCAGUUCUCGAAUCUGUGCACUCAGAUGGGGACCCCCAAGUGUUCUAACUGGUGACGUAAAUGUUAGCUCAAAUGCCCACUGUUAAGCUUAUCUUUUAAUUCCAUUUUCCCCAUGGACCUUUUGAAGUUCCCUCAUAUUAAUUCAACAGCUAGUAGCCAAAAGUUCCAAAGAGCUGCUCCAGAGUUUCUGGGUCAUUUGUGGGGAGCCUGGCAGGUGGGCAACCCUUUGUCUUUCCCAGGCACCUUGAAGGCCUUUGUGAUUGCACACAGAGCUGGAGCCGUGAGAACUGUUCGCGGCUGUCUUGGCUCCUCUGAUGUAUUCCCUGGCUAGGGCUGGACUUUGCUGGCCUGAAUCAUUUUUGAGGUGGUAGAAGCAGUUAAAACAAACCUUGUUUUCCCAUUUUGAUUGUAGGAGACACUGGACCAGUCAGCUUCUUAUCAGCUCCAUGUCUCUUUUAGAUUCUUCCCAGAGAUGCUUUUAAAUCCUGUCCAGCUCCUUCCCUCCCUCCACCCCUCCUUCAGCCAGCUGUUCUGCUGAACUGGCAGAAGGUCUUUGUCAUGGCUUAAGCCAGACCAUCCUGCCAUUUGCUCAGAACCCAUCCAUGGCUUCCCAUCUCCACGGCGUGGCUCCAGCCACUGUGCCGGCCAUCUCGCUUCACGACCCUUGCCUGGACCACUCUGCCCAAGGUAUCAGCAGGGCUCCUUCUUCAACCCUGGUGCUCUGGCUCCAAGUUAAUUGCAUCAGAGGCCUCCUGGAUUGCCAUGCCCAAGGCACUGUCUGCAGUCCGCAUUACCCUGUUUGUCGUAACCAUUGUCAUCGCCACCACCAUGCAGGUUUCAUAGCUACAGGGUGACUCCCUGUUUUGUUAACUCAUCUCUCCAGAGCACUCGGAACAAUGCCUGGCACAAGGGAAGGGCCUGGUAAAUCUUUUGUUGGUGGUGAAUAGCAGGUUGGAGAGUUUUCCAUUUCUCGAUUACAUACUCUGAUGAUUCUAAUAGGAGGGAGAUGCUGGGAAGAAUGCAAGGCCAUAAGCAAAUAAGGAAUGAUGGAUACGUACAGAGAUUGGAGGACUGGGCAGGAUGCAUAAUCAAGGCUAAGCUUAAGUAUUAUGGUUAGCUUCGGAAACAAUAACACAUCGAUUUCUGUAGCCCUUUACAACACACACACACACACACAUUAACUCAUUAGAUUCUCUCUUAAAGUUCAUAUUAAAGCAGUGUCUAACCUUAUAAUGCAUUUAAUAUUGAUCUUAUUUAUAGUAGGGCUGUCUCCAUUUUUUUCAGAGAAGGGAUCAUGCGUGUGACACAUGCAUCAAUACUGCACUUGUAUGUUGACAUUUGUAUUUUCUCAUAAAUAUGCACUUGUAAAAAAAGAUUUACUAUUUAUUCAAAAGUCAGAGUGACAGAAGAGAGACAGAAGACAAAGAGGUCUUCUAUCCUCUGCUUCACACCCCCGUGGCCACAGUCGCUGUGGAUGGGACCAGCUCAAUGCCAGAAGCCCAGAACUCCAUCUGGGUCGUCUGCAUAGGUGGCAGAGGCCCAAGCACUUGGGCCGUCUUCUGCCUUCUCAGGUGCGCUAGCAGGGAGCUAGAUUUGAAGUGGAGCAACUGGGACUCCAGCUGGCACUCCCAUAGAGGAUGCUGCUGGCACUGGCGGCAAUUUAAGCUGCUGUGCCAUGCCAGCAGCCACAGGUUUUCUCAAGUUGGUAAUUCUGCUGUUUCAGGAUGAUGUUCCUGACUCUGGCUUUUCCCCUGCCCUGGCUGGCGUAGCUGCCAUGGAGAACAGUGAAGAUUUGCCAACCUCAUUAGCUAUCUUCUAGAAGACAGUGCGUUUAUUUGGGGGUGGAAAGGAAAUCUUAGAAUGAAGCUAUAUUCUUAGCCUUGAUGAAAUGUCAAGAAUAUUUAAGUCAAGAGUAGGAGAAUGGUGCUGGGGCGCAAACUUGUAUUAGUUUUUCAUGUGGAAAAUACUAAUUUUGAGUAUGUGGGAGGAUAGACAGAACUCUAAAGGGUCCCAAGGGUAACACCUUAUUAUAUAUACCUCCUAUCUAGUUAUCUAAUUAAACAUGAACGUUAGGGUGACUCUGAAGAGAUCCCAGUAGAGGUAAUCGUGGUUCUAAGUGAUUGGCCAUAAAAUGGGGAAAUUAAGAGUAUCCUGGGCUGGGGCGAUGGCUCACUAGGCUAAUCCUCUGCCUGUGGCUCCGGCACUCCAGGUUCUAGUCCCAGUUGGGGUGCCGGUUCUGUCCCAGUUGCUCCUCUUCCAGUCCAGCUCUCUGCUGUGGGCCAGGAAGGCAGUGGAGGAUGACCCAAGUGCUUGGGCCCUGCAUCCGCAUGGGAGGCCGGGAGGAAGCACCUGGCUUCGGAUUGGCACUGGCUGAAUUUGGGGGGUGAACUAACGGAAGGAAGACCGUUCUCUCUGUCUCUCUCUCUCCCUGUCUAACUCUGCCUGUCCAAAAAAAAAAAAAAAAAAAGUAUCCUGAAUGGACCUGACUUACAUGAGCCUUUCAAGGCGCUGGAUACUGCCUCAACGUAGAUGGGAGCUGUUGGGGAGAUUGGGGCACAUGGCAAGAAAUACAAGUGUCCUCUGGUCACUGAGUGUCCGGCAGCUGAUAAUGCAGUGAGGAAGCAGAGAUGCCAGCAGUGCAGCCACAAGGAGCUGACUUCUGCCACAUCACUGUCCCAGGGCACCACAUGCAAUAUAGACCGACUCACCCCCAGAGAGGUCCUGAGCCGACGAAUCAGACUCUGCAUGACUUACAGAACCGUGAGCUGAAAACUAGAUGCUGUUUGAAGCUGCUGUGUCUGUGCUAACUUAUUACAGCAGUAAUGGAAAACUAAUAGAGGAGGGAAAUUUCAUUUUACAAAAAAUCUGGGGAAAACAUACCCCUAAGGAUUUAAACAUGAAAUGCAGUGUACUUUCUGGAGAAAAGUCUUUCUUUCAGGUAUGUAGAGUCAGCGUAGCAUCCGUGGGCAGUGGGAUCCAGCUCAGUGCAGCUUGCUUUGCUCCGUAGAGACCUGGUUAAAUGAAUAGGAGAAAUGUUUUUUUAAUUAGUAGAUCCACUGUUUAUAAAUUAAUGGGUAGCUCCACUGUACUAGAGACCUAAAAUAGUUUGUGCCAAGUGCUUUAUCUAUUCUUGGAACACCCUUAUUCACGUAUUAUAAUUUGCUUAGCAGUCCUUUCUUCAUAGACAGCUCACGAAGAUUAGUUACAGCCCUGCUCCUGUCUGAAUAACUGUAUUUCCCUUAUUAGUAGAGUGAGAAUUGAUAGCCUUUAAAAAAAAUGACAGUAAAUAGGCAUUUAAAAUUCCCAGUGUUGCUGGUUUUAUAUAAAGAGAGAACCGUUUGUGAAUGUUAUGAUGUCCCUAGAAGGUUUUCUGCAGAGGCAUGUUUUCAAAUGGGUUUGCGUAAAGAAGAUCACUUUAUUGGGACUUAGGCAAAGCAUCUUUGUAGAAGGUGCACUCAAUAAACUCUUGAAAGUGACACUUUGGGAAGGACAUCGCAAAUGCAUCCGAGGGCUGGCUUGUGGAUGAAUGACAGCGCAGCACUGGGAGUGUAGAAGGCCAGGGGCUCUGCCAUUGCAGGGGGGCCCCUGCCCCGCUGUGCAGGCCACUGCAUGGGGCUGCCCUCCCAGCAGGAGUGUGUAUUUGUCCUGGUGACUGAGGACUGUGGCUUGGCCUUUCUGUUUACAAGAGAGAGGAUAGCAGCUUGUGUCCUCCAGCGGCUGUGAAAACAGUGCUGGAGAACCAGACCCGAGUUUCCACUUAAGAGCUCACCCUGGAAAAAAGCACCACCCGAGCAAACAGACCUUCCUAAUGAAAGACCAUCUGGGUUCAAAUACAGACCACUGGGUUAGAACCAGAUGACAGGAAAACGUAAUGAGAAUAGUUGUUCUUUAGCAGACUUUCCAAGUGGGAUUUCCAUAUAUUAAGCUGGAAGAGGGCCCAGCCGUGAAAAACAGGAAACUGACUGAAGCCAGUACGUUCAGUUUGUAAGCAAGAUUUCAGCAGUGGAAUCCACUGUGCAUGCUGGGUAAAGCACGCCCAUAUCAGAAGGUCUCUGCAAAGUGAAAUGGGUAGCCAGUAUCUGGCUAAGUAUGGAUGUGGUGAGGUGGCUCUCAGCAUCUACACGGGAAAGUGCCUAGAGUGACACUGUCACGUGCCAGGAACUGGACUGUGAUGUCACGGAAUACUUCUGAAAAACACCAAGAGUUCUCAUUUUUCUGUUCCAUUGGAGGAGAUAGAAAAUAUCAGUUAUUUGUUACUGGAAUUGAAGCAAUCAUUAGAAAUAUUUCUGUGAUACCAAAGAAUCAGCCAGAGCAGGGGUGGGCAUUGUGACGCAGUGAGUUAAGCUGCCACUCACGACACCCACAUUGCAUACCAGAAUGCUGGUUCAAGUCCUGGAUGCUCUGCCUCCAAUCCAGCUUCGCUCUGGUGCAUCCUGGGAGGCAGCAGAUGAUGGCCCAGGUUGCUUGGGCCCCUGCUACUCCUGUAGGAGACCUGGAAGAGGUUCUUGUCUUCUUGCCUUGGCCUGGCCCAGUCCUGGCCAGUGGAUGGAAUAUCUUUUGCUCUCACUUCCACCCUGCCUUUUAAGUAGAUGAAAUAAACACACACACACACACACACACACACACACAUAAAGAAACAGCCAACCCAGUGUUUCAGACUGUGCUGUGUGCUGGCAGGAGAAGAUGCGCAGGGGCAGGAAGAUAAGGCUCAGAGAAGGCCUCUGAGGAACAGUGUAGGCAGAGACAGGAAUUGAGGGUGAACCAGCCCUGAGAAGAGCUGGAGAAGGAACAUUCCAGACCGAGGAAUGCAUGUGGGAAUACUGGGGUCACUGCAGCAGAGCAGCAUGCUGGUGUGCACUGUAAAAAUCUCUGCCUGCCGAUAUAGCGAAUAGAUUCUAGAGGAGGAGGAGCGAGCCGGGGAGGUGAGUGAGGGAGCUAUAUCGGCAGUCCAGGUGAGCAGCAGUGGUGACCUGAAUUGCAAGGUGACAGUGGCGGUGGCAGAUGGCGAUGAAUCGGAGCAGUGCACUGCAGGAUUGCUAUCUGGCCAUGGGGACUGGGGAGAAGGGUGUGGCAAGGACAAGGGUGACUCCCCAGGCCGUUCUUUCCCUACUUCUCUAUUACCCUGUCCUUUCAUUUCCGCCAUCACUCAGAGAAGGGUUGGAGUUCUGGAUCUGAAAUUCUGUGCUGAACACCAGGAAGUCUCUGGACACUGCUAUGGAGCAUGCGCACUCUGAGAAUCAACACCCAGCUAAGCAUACUGUAGGCAGGAACCACAGUAUCCUUCACACCACACAUCUCUUCAUUACAACGUUACUACCUUGCCUGUAGUGUCUAUAUGCGUUGCCCUAAAGACUCUCGUCCUAGUUCAUCAUUGGUAACAAUGGCAUUCCCCUGUGGGGAUGUGGGAGAAAUCUUGGGAAGCUGACAGAUCACUGAACAGUUUGCUUCAGCAGGAAUUUAUUUUCUAGACUCUGUAGGUCACCCACUAAGGGUCCAAAUCACUGCUGGUUUGUAUGUGUGUUUCAGUGUUCUAUCACAGAGGUUUAGAAAGAUGAUUUCAGAGAGAUAGAUUAGAGGCCUAACUAGGGCAUUUGUUGUAUAGAUUGUGUAUCAGGUAUAAACAGUGUGUUGCCUGGACUAGAUAACUAAGAUCUGGAGGGAAGCCCCCCCCCACCACCAAAGAUUAAUUAAUUUAAUUUAUUUGAAAGUUAGAGUUACACAGAGAGAAGGAGAGGCGGGGGGGGUGGGGGGGAGGUAUUCCAUCUGCUGGUUCACUCCACAGUUUGCUGCAAUGGCCAGAGUUGCACUGAUCUGAAGCCAGGAUCUUCUUCUUGGGCCAUCUUCUACUGCUUUCCCAGACCAUAGCAGAGAGCUGGAUUUGGAAGCGGAGCAGCUGGGACUUGAACCAGCACCCAUCUGGGAUGCUGGCACUGCAGGCGGUGGCUUUACCUGCUACGCCACAGUGCCGGCCCUGUGUUUUUGUCAUCUUUUCCUUUAGUAUCCAUCUAUCAUGAUGUGCCAGGUUCUUUUAUUUCCUGGAGUGUGUUUUUCUCUUUCCUGAUAUUUGGGAUUACAUUAGUCAUCAGACACAUUUCCAGAACUUUCACUACUUGCCUUUUCAUAAACCCUCCUCCCCCCACAAAUUAUCAUAAAAGUACAUCCCUGUCAUUAGUAAUGGGGACAGAGAUCAUUGAGACCAAAUGACCCCAUUUGUUUUUUUGCUUAACACAGUAAUAUUUUCUUCUUGGCCAGGGCCCAGGACCUGCAGCAUAGGAUCGCAGGAGAGGCAUGUCUCUUGGUGUCAUUUCCACGGUAUCCAUGUGGGGCUCUGCUGGUUUCCCAGAUGGACCCUGCGGUAGCUCUAGGUCUCUGACUUUGUCUCCUUGUAUGUAACAUGGUAAUGACAAUACCUGUUCGACCUCUAUCACUGGUUGGAGGGAAAAUCAAAUUUCAGUGGCUUUGUCAAUGGUGGAGCUCCCUGGUACCAUCUGUGUUUGUUGGUGUUAUUUCUGGACGAGUCAUCGAUGUGGUUGAGUAUGCCCCAAACCAAACUUUGUCUUUCCAGUGUGUCUGUUUGCUGGUGAUAAUGACUACUUUAAAACAAACACCAUUCGGUCAGCACUAAAAGUGUGAGUCAUGUCGCUGUGACAAGUUUGUAGAUAAACUUAUCUGGGCUGUCCUGGGAAUGUCUGGUUUAUGAUUCCUAUAUAUGUCUUUCCACUCCACCCCAUCACAUCCUUGUACAAAAACGUAAGCCUGGUUUUCUUUCUUUUCUUUCUUUUUGAUUUCAUUAGUUGAGAUAAGUUGUGAUUUGUAGGGGAAAAAUUUCAGAUAAGAAGGACUUUUGCAGUUCGACCUCUGGAUUCCUCUGUGUGUCCUAGCAUUUGCAUUAAAAUUCCAAAGGGGUGAUGUACUGGCUGAAAGCGACUGAUGGAGUGGGGAUGCGGAAGAAAUCAUUAACGCAUUACUCAGUUUUUAUCUUGCAGCCACUUAGCAUAAGUGUAUGUGUAAAAUAUGAGGGUAAUAGUACCGCUUCAGUUACAACCAGAAUGUGAUUGUUCAGAAAUAAGUAAGCAAGGGGUUGCCACACGUUCACCUUUGAGCGGGCAUCCUGGAUUUUUGGUAACCAGCUCUGGCCACCCUGCCCAUGAAGCAGAGCAUACAGUGGUCUCCCACUUACUGAACAGUGCCUACAUGUUCAUCAGCAACGAGGCUCCUACACCGUCUCGGGUUAGAGCAGACAUGCAUUCCAUCACCUUCCUCCAACAGAUUCUCUUGGCCAGGUCCUAGACACUGAGCCAAGAUUACCUCUGUUGACUGUUGGGGUCGGGGGUUCUUUGUGUUGGAGUGAACCUCCUAGUGGCACUGUGCGUUUUCUUGUUUACUCUAUUGGUUGAUGCCUGGAUUAUGCAUGGGUUCUCUAAUUUUGGGGGAGAAGGAAAACCUGGUGGCUGAUUUCAGGGCUUGGGGCCUCAAAUUUAAAUCCUUUGUUAUGGAACUGCCAGGCCCCUGUUCUUGUGCAGUGGGUGAGGCGAUAUUUAUCUGGAUCUUUCUCACACCCUCUCAUCUGAGGUUUAGAUCAAUAGGAAGACAAUGAUGGAGAGGCCCCCAAAUCCAACUUUGGGAUUGACCAAUGAUUCCUUUUAUACAAAAGUUAAUCUUCCCCUUCCGCCAUCUGUGUUCGUUUCUCCCCUUGUAUGUGCUUUUUGUAUCUGGUUGACAGAUUUAAAACUACUUGUGGUCUACUGUGAGCCCCACAUCAUCUUCUCAAAUUACUGACUCAUUCUAACUCUAUCCCAGCAUCUGGCAGUUUCUUUUCCUACUGACACCUUCUUUACUCUACUACCUGGUAGGUCCCUACAUAAGGGGCAGUUUGGAUAUGUAGUUGAUGAUAUGAAGAACCUUAGGAUUUAAAGUCUUCACAAGACUUAACACAUUGUCAAACAACUGGUGCAUGAGUGAUCAGUUCCAAAUUCUAUUCUCUGCAUCUGGGAGUGCAAACAUGAGAACCUCAAAGCCCAGGGCCUCUUUCCCUUGAGGGUUCAAACCUGGGGUACUGCUGCUCUUACAUCUUUUGGGGGGAGGUAUCUUUUGAUGGGGAUGCGAGAGGCGUGGUCCCUUUUUUUUUCUGACCCUAGUAAGUCUGUUCAUCAACUCCCACUUGAUCUCUAACUCCUCUUCUCCUGCUACAAUGUUUUAUGAUUAAAUCUCCCAGUGGAGAUUUAUUUCUAAACAAAUUUGUGUUAACUUAGGAUUUCUUAAAAGUAUAUUCUUACAUGAUGUGCCAACCCUUAAAUGUGCAACCUGAUGAAUUUCUCUGUGUGUAGACACCCAUGUAAUUACCACUAGGUUCAAGAUACCAGACAUUCCCAGUCCCCUGUAAUGCCCCUCAUGCAUUGUUCCUGCCAGGAAUUUCUUCCACAUGUUUGUAGAUUUCACACUGUAUCUAUUCGUCUGUGUCUGGCUUCUGAAAGUCAGCAUUGUAUCUGGGAGGUUACUCCUCGAGAUUGUGUUUCCCUGUGGUUCAGUCUUUGCCCGGCUGAGCAGUGUUCCAUUGUCUGAAUCUACUACAAGUGUGUUUACCCAUUCUGUUGUGGGUGAGCAUUCCAGUUGGCUCCAGUUUGGAACUGCUAAUGAAUAAAGCAUCUAUGAAUAUUCUUAUACAUAUCUUUUGAUGGAAUCAAACAUUUAUUUCUGUUGGCUGGAUAGCACCAAAUAGAAUUGCUGGGUGGUAUGCUGUUUGCUUGGGAUUUUUAAUGGGAGGUAACAAAAUAUGAUCUUGAGAAUGACGUGUAUCUGUAAGCUUGUUGGGAGUAUGUUUUCUGUGCAUUGACAAAUAGCUCUAAUAUGGGUGUGGAUACAUUUUCAUUUAGUCUAAGAUAAACUGUUUCUCCAAAUUGUCAAUGUCACUUUGAGGACUAAUUCAUUUUUUUAAAGUCCCAGACCAGCUGAACUUGGUUUAGCUCAUGUUAGUGCAGUCUAUGCUAGCCUCCUUACUCUUCCAGCAUUCAAAUAAUUGUUGAAGAAAUAAUAAUAUGUGGUCAGAAUCUUUCUUAUAAAACUACUCCUAGGUUGCCAUUGAACUCCAGAUGACAAGUUCGUCAAAUUGUGAGAGGUAAUAUUAAUAUAUAAGGAAGUUAAUUUUUCAGAUGGAUUUAUUUGGACAACAGGGAUUUAUGAAGCACCAGGUGACACCAUCACUCUGUCAGGUACUGCAAAAAUAUAGCCAUUAUUUGCAAGGAACCAACAGUUCGGUAUUAGGUGCAGGAAAAAAAAAACAAAAACAAAAAACAGUAUUUACUGUGUCAUUUAAAACCCUGCCCUGCGUGUUAGGAGGAUGGGGUAGGUUGUGGAGGCGUGAAAAUAUGGAUGAAAGCAGCAGCUUCAGGGACUCAGAGCUUCUUGAAGGAGUAGGUUAUGAAGGAAAAGUUACUUACUUGGGAAGCUAAAGCGGGGGGAUGAGGGCUUUGUACCCUAGGCGAAGGGACCAACUUACGUGUUUAAAGGAAUGGAGGCAUGAAAUAGUAUGAUCUAUCUAGUAGUCCAUCUAAGUGAGAAAGCAUUUUUUAUUCCAUUGAUGGUAUUCAUAUACAUUUCUGGAAUACCUCUUUUGGAAUGACUUUCAGUCCUAAUUUUCAAACCCCACUCGAAAAAUCACUUGAUACAUUUUAGCUUUGAACCAAAUGGUAUUUCCCAGCUGGAUGUUCACCAGAUUUGUCUCCUAACACUGUUGGCUCAUUCCAAAGAAAUAUAAUCUGUCUUCAGAAGGUUUAAGGCCCACCACUAUUGAGAACAUUCAGAAGUGUGUGUGUGUGUGUGUGUGUGUGUGUGCGCGCGCGCGCGCAUGUCCCAGAACUAAGGAAUCAAUUCUGAAAGAUGAGUUGUGAGCAAAAAGCACUUAUCAUUGGAAUAAGUCUAUAACCUCUUAAUAUUAAGGCUUAGUUUCUCAAAGCCUGAACAGCCAUCCAAGUUUCUGUUUUAGAGAUUUUAUGUCAAAAUUGUCUCAUUUUUGUAUCAGAGGAUGGGGGAAGUAGAUGAUGGGGAGAGAGUGGGUAUGUUUUAUACUAAAUCCAAAUUAUUUUUGUAAAAAAAUCCUCAGAUUUGGUUAAAUUGCAUUAUACACACAAGAUUAUCUGAGACAGAGCAAUGAAAAGUAAAAUCCAGGUAACAAUCAAUUCUGGUAUCCACAUGAUUUGGACAAGUGAAAAUACACAUCUGUGUAUCCAUAGAACAGAUGGGAAGAAUGGGGAAGGUAAACAGAGUAGGGAAAUGGGAUUGAGGGGGCUGGCACUGUGGUGUAGUGGGUUAAGCCCCUGCCUGCAGUGCCGACAUCUCAUAUGGAUGCUGGUUCAUAUCCUGGCUACUCCUUUCCCAUUCAGCUCUCUGCUAUGGCCUGGGAAAGCAGUAGAAGAUGGCCCAGUGCUUGGUCUCCUGUACCUGUAUGGGAGACCUGGAGGAAGCUACUGGCUCCUGGUUUUGAAUUGGCUCAGCUCUGGCCCUUGCAGCCAUUUGCAGAAUGAACCGGCAGAUGCACGACCUUUCUCUCUGUUCCUGUCUCUCUCUAUAACUCUGCCUCUCAAAUAAAUACAUAAGUCUUAAAAAAAAAAGGGAAGGAGGGUUAGGGAAGGUAGAAUGUGCAUUGUGGAGGUCGAGGAAGCUAGCCCAGCUCAGACAACUGUUGGCUUCAUCUCUGCUGUACAUUUUGAGUUGACCUCUUCGUAGUUCAGUGAGUAGUAAGACUUAUAAGCAGAAAUACACCAAAAGCUCUCCUACUGUCAAUGUGGAUUUGUCUAUUAUUUCCUAGCUGUUUAUCAACCUUAGUUAUUUUUGAAUAUGGGGAUACUUCUAUGACCCAGUGGGAUGUGAGGGUAGGGAAGAAUUGCAGACUGUGCACUUUGUGUACUAACUUUAUUGCUGAGAGAUCAAAUAGUGAGCUGGUCUACACUUCUCCAAAACUUACUUACACUUCUCUGGGGUCAUUUAUUUUCACUUUUCCAAUAGUUUGUUGAAUUACUUUCUUUAUCUUGAGUUGAAUAAAAAAAUACUACACACCAGGUAUUUCUGAGUAGUGUCUACACAGUUGUGCUACUGUCUUCUAGCUGUGUUUAUAAGCUUUUUUUGCGGUGUAAAGGCCACAAAUUAAGUUGCCAUAACAUUGGUUUACUUGUAAAUAUCCAUCAAUACCUUUAGCAGUGGAGAUCCUGAAGGUUGCUAGAGUUUUCAUCUGUUUGUCCACACAGAUUACAUAGCCCCAUACAGAGCUGGUUAAAGCAAUAGCAUCAGUCAAAGCCCCCUGAGCCCAGAGAGUUUCCGUAGCUCUUGCAGUAGAAGUGGAGGGACUUACUGCAGUGUCCAGUCUCCUGUCACUCUAGCUAGUACCAUGUGCUGCCUUCAGCUCAAUGUUUAAUGAGGUUGCCCAUACUGAAUCAAGGUAGGGCGUCCGGAGAUGAGAUUUCACUCUUACACAUAUAAGCACCGGCACUUAAUUUCUCCCAGUAUCGGAUAUUUUACAGUGGCUUAUGCCCUACCACAUAGUUUAUUUCUGAGAAAGGUGGUUCAGCAUUAAGGUAAGGUCAAAAGAGAUCUGUUCUUGGUUUUCUGAACCUUCUUUGAUGCGAGUGAAGCAUAAAUUUGCCACCAUAAGUUAGAUGUGUACGGGUGUGUGUGAAUUGUGCAAAACUGUGCAUUUUCCCCCUGAGUUGGAAAAAGAGGCACUUAGAAAAUAAUGAAGUUGCUCUUCUGACACUUAUUUACCUCCUUCCAACAUCCGAGCAAGAGUGAUUCCAUAUAUUGUCAUCUGGCAGUUGACCUUUCUGUGUCUACCUAUUACUUACUAAUUUUCUUGUACCCAGCACCUUUGCUACACAUUUGCUUUUCAAGUAGAAAGCAGUAAAUAUUUCUUGACGAUGUUUACUGCUCUGAAAAAUACAUGGGCAGAGGUUAUAAAAUAUUGAAUGUCGCACAACAGAUUCUUUAGCUGCUCUAUGGAAAUCCUGGACCCUCUCCUGGUGCCAGACUCCAUUUUGUAUUCCUCUUGUUCAAGUUGUCAGAUGUUAUGAAUAGUCCCUCUGCUGAUGCUGAACACAUUGACCUAGACCUCAAGAAUGUCUUUUUGGAAGAAAUCAGGAAAGAGGGUACCAUUUGCAAAGCGAGUUCACCCAAGUGAUGAGUAAGCAUCUCUAAUUUUCGUGACCACAUUCAAAUCAUGCAGUAGAGAGGCGGAUGGCUGACCAUUCUUUGUCUCUUUAUCACUAAUACUAAGUUGAAAAGUUUUUUGCUUCUUUGUGGUUGAAUUAUUAAUGAUCAUGAAGAGUUUAUAAACUGGAUUUUAUCUUCAUUAAUAUAUAAAACUCAAAGAGUAAUGGUCUUUUCACUAUAAAUAGACUACUUCUCUAAUUUACCCUCACAUCUGCCUUUCUUUGUUCCUUUAGUUUUCAUGGUGCUUGUAAUUCCCAGAAGAAUGAUUUUGACUGGGGAACAUACAUUAGGAACUAUUUUGGGAGUUUAGUCCCUGCUAUAUUUUAUGACUUGGACAGAGUUUAUUAUCAUUUUUCACUUGAGGAGUUUGCCAUAGUUACUCAGGCCUUGGGAACAGAGCGGGUGGAAUAGUGUUACAGGAGAGUUGUAAUGGAUGCAUUUUCUUAGAAUUUUUAUUAUGAGUGCAGUGGUAUGGUUUGAAAUGAGGCCAGGUGUUUGCAGGCUAUUCUGUUUCCAAACACAAGAAAGGAAAAUCAUUUUGCUCUUUGUAGGAGCUGUGGGCAAGAGGCACUGGGGAGGACCUGAGAGGCAAGCUGGGUGGCCCAGUGCUCCCUUGCAGGCUGGAUCCAUGCAGUAUGGUGCCUCUGUAGGGAAAGAGGCCAGGAGAAGACACAGCAGGGCUAGAGGACUCUCUCGGUUCCAAGAAUCCUACAGAAGAUUUCUCUGAGGUCCUCCAUCCUCCUGAGAAUUCUGAAAGAUUUUAUCAUUACUGCCUUAAUUUUUCCACCUGGAAAAAGCUGAGAUUAACCAGCAUUGCUUACACUGCUAGUAAGCAGCAGGAGGUAGCAGAAUUGGAAUCCUUGUGUCUGUGUUGUGAUCCACUGCGUGCCCUCUGUUAGUGCAUGUUCUCAGUUCGUUUCAGGGAGAUUUGGAGUUCAUCUCAGUCAGAGUUGCAUUUGUGAAUUCACAGUAUGAGCAUAGAGAUCACCAAGAAUUUAUAGACAGUUUCUUUUUGUUCACUGAACCAAGUACCUUGGGAUCAGUUAAGGGUCCUUCUUUUAUUUAUUUAUUUAUUUGUUUAUUUGACAGGCAGAGUGGACAGUGAGAGAGAGAGAGACAGAGACAGAGAGACAGAGAGAAAGGUCUUCCUUUUCCAUUGGUUCACCCCCCCAAUGGAUGCUGCAGCCGGCGCACCGUGCUGAUCCAAAGCCAGGAGCCAGGUGCUUCUCCUGGUCUCCCAUGUGGGUGCAGGGCCCAAGGACCUGGGCCACCUUCUACUGCACUCCUGGGCCACAGCAGAGAGCUAGACUGGAAGAGGAGUGACUGGGACAGAAUCCAGUGCCCCAACCGGGACUAGAACCCGGUGUGUCGGCGCCGCAGGUGGUGGAUUAGCCUAUUGAGCCGCGGCGCCAGCCAAGGGUACUUCUUUUAAAUACAGAUUCCUGGGGCCAGCAUUGUGGGGUAGCGAGUAAAGCUGCCACCUACAAUGCCCACGUCCCAUAUGGGUGCCAGAUCAUGUCCCAGCUGUUCCACUUCUGAUUCAGCUCCCUGCUAAUGGGCCUGGGAAAGCAGUGGAAGAUGGCCCAAAUACCUGGGCCCCUGCCACCCAUGUGGGAAACCUGGAAGGAGAGCCUGGCUGAGCACUGGGCAUAGUGACUUCUUGGCGAGUGAACCAGCAGAUGGCUGCCCUCUCUGUCUCUCCCUCUCUCUAACUCUGACAUUCAAAUACAUAAAUAAGUAAACAAACAAACAAAUCUUUUGAAAGUACGCAGAUUCGUGGGCCAUUGCUCCCACCAGUUAGGUCAGAUGUUCUGGAGGUGGGUCCAUGUGGAGGCCUCCCUGGGAGAUUCUACUGUGCCCUAAAAUUGGAGAGCCAAGCAAUAAAACCUCUUUAUGGUGCUUCGGUAUGAAAAUGGUCUUUGGGAUAGGGAUGGCUCAACAGGGAUCGCUGCAAGCUGCCAGUGUCUGAAUUUUCCCUGGAAAGCAUCAGGUUCAGCCCUCAUUUUACGCAGAAGGAGACAAUGGUUUAGAAGUUUUAGUCACUCAUGAAAAUUCUCUCGGCUCAUUUGUGGUGGAGCAGAGACCAGAACCGGUCUGCUUCCUUCACACCAUAGCUUGCUGCCUCCAGCUAAUCAAGGUCACUUGGAUCUGUUUCAGUUCUGUCAGUGAUCGCUACACUCGACAUAAAAAAUGACUCCUGUGAGAACGACCUUUCUAAUUCACACUCAUUUGAAUGUUGAAAAAAACAGUGCAUUUCUUCAGAGUUCUCUGUAGGAGGUGGAAAUAUUCAAUAAGGUUGCUAAAAAGUUUUCCAUCACACACACACACACACACACAUACACAAACA